AAUGUCGCGCCAACUACACAAACUUACUUGAGUUUUCUUUUUCAGGGGGCUCCCAAACCCAUAGCCAUCGAACCCUGUGCAGGAAACAGAGCUGCAGUUCUGACGGUGUUUCUUUGUCUACCACGAGGAUCAUCAGGGGCCCCACCACCUGGGCAGUCAGGUAUGGUAAAGGAGGAGACAACAGCAGUUAGACUGAAAAGAAGAAAGUACUGCUAAAUAGCACAGUAAGGACCUUUACAGGUCCUAAUUUAGAGCAUGCUAAAAUUUUAUUAGCAUACAAACUUUCACCCUAGGGGACUUGUGCAUUUGGGGUAUUUAGUGGCAUCAGAGGAUGAUAGCUUGAUAUAACCACCUCAGUGCAUUUAUGACACAUUCUUGCUCCCAAGACUAGACCAGUGGAGUCCCUGGGCCAGGUGAACUCGCCCUUAGAAUAAGUGUAGCCAGUUUUUGUUCAGAUUCUCCUUUGCUACCUGAAGAGCACGGUCUGGUCUCAGACGUAAUUAUAUGUAUCCUCAUGGAUGUUUAUUCAUUCCUGUGACAUUGUCCAUUUUGUAAGUAUAACUCACAGUCAGAUCACAUGCCACACUUACUUUUCUUCUUAUACAUCCUCUUCCAUCUAUUUAUAAUUUCUACUAUUUUUUCUCUCCUUACUGUUUUCUCUACCCAACUCUUAGGGGAAUGGAUGUUUUUGAAGGGCAAGGGGGAUUUCAAAUAUUUCUAUUCAAUUCCCCUCAGAUCUGGCAGGUUCUCAGCAGCAGUAAUUGAUGAUGAACUUGCCUCCCCAAUUAUUUUAUCUUUUCUUGCUGCCCCAGUUAGCUUUGACCUCACUCCUCACUUUUCUUGAUUUGUGUUCAUCCACACACUAAAAGGGAAAAAUAUACUACUUUAUACUUGUAAGCUUUAGCUAUUCAAGUAGCAGAAUGUUUCCCGUACAUGGGAACAGAAGGUUUCUAUCAUUCAUUAUACCUAAUGAUAUCUUGUUGAAGGAAUUUUUAGCCAAAGUUCAUUUUUAGAUGUUUAUGCAAAUAAAUGGACAUUCUCUGCACUUUCUUGUACAUUGAGUGAAUGUCUUGCUCUUCUCCUUCCAGCAGCACCAAAGUAAAUGGCAUGCAGUAGUAGAAGAGUUUGGCCCUGGUCAGAUAAGAUAGAUAAUUAUAGGUCCUGUGCCCAGCUAAUGGAAGUAUUGUUUUAAAGCUGGGAUGAUUUCCAAAACAAACACUUUACUAAUGAAAACAAGUCUCUGUGAUAUACCCCAAGGUUCUUCUAGAUCCUUGACAAGAUGACUUACUGAUGGGGAGAGUGAAGACAACUGCCAAUACUCUGUCCCUUUAACCUUUGAAAUCCUUUUUGGAUGAUUUUAAAGAGCCAAGUAGCAGUGUGGACCAUCAUUUCUGCUAUUUUUUUACAGAUGCUUUAUGAUUCUUAAUGCCAUCUUGGUGCCAUCCUAAAUGGUGUAGAACUAUACUCUUUGCAAACAUUCUCCUAUUUUUCAUGUUUGGUCUCCUUGAUAAGGCUAUAAAUAGGUGAUAUAAAAUUCUCUUCAUAAAUGAGAGGAAUGAUGCAUAGAAAGCACUGUAUUUCUACAUUCAAAGACUGGUGGCGGGGGUAUACUAGAGGGUAUAGUGAAGAACAAAAAAUGCUUACUGCCUGCCUUCCAAGUAAUCCUUCCUGGUGAUCUAUGGCAAAGAACUUACUGCUCUACAGUCAACAGCUCAGGUCUUCAGAAAGCCAAGUACUUGGAUGAGUACUGAAAAUGUCUACAAGGUUGAUAAAGGGAGACAAAACACUGAAACAGCUAACAUGCAUCUUCCAGAGGCAGAAGAAUGAAUGAUAAGUACUGUGUGCAUAAUUCAGGAUGAGCUGGUUUCUUGUCUUUUAGAAAAUCAAAUAAUUUUUCUAGCCAUACUUUUAGAAGUAAGACUCUUCUUUGAUUCUAUUCCUUUAAAAUACAGUAUUAUCUCUUGUCUGAAUCUGUUUUGAAAUGUAGUAAAAAUAUGAUAGAUGAGUAGAUGGACAGAUAUAAAACAAGAAAACUGUUAAUGAUAGAAUCUAGGUGAUGGGAAUAUACUGGUGUUGAUUAUAAAAUUCCCUCAAUUUUUCUAUAUCAUUGAAUUUUUAAUAAUAAAAUGUCAGGAAACAACAAAACAAAAACUCUUUUGACUUCAUUGCAAAAAGAAGCCAGCAUGUAUAGAAAGAAAUUUUCUAAUGUUAUCAUCUGUUUUCCCUGAACGAGGCAAAUAGUGACAUCAAUAUAAAAACCAAAUGGAUAAUUUUCUCCACUCUUUAUCAAAAUGUUUGGUGUGUGUAUAUACCAAACUAAAACUUAACCUACAGUCACCCAAUAUUUGAGCAGAGAUACAUUCCAAUGAUUAUUGGGAGCUUGGGAGGGAAAGGUUGCCAUUAACUAUUUCAUUGCUAAAAUUUGAUUUAUUGUAUUUUUUUUUUUUUGGUAACAAAAAGUCCACACAUGUUUUCCUGCUAUCCUUAUGCCAGAAAGGAUGUUCAUAAUGCUCUUGUUGAUGAAGAUGGUGGUGGUGGUAGUGGUGUGAUCGGAAGCCUGGAAAAUGUGACUUUCAAAAAGAACUUCCAUCUUUGAGUCUCGGUUAACUUAAAUGAAAUGAACAAUUGGAAUAUAAUUUAUUCAUUGUUUCUUAGGUUCCUCUCCUAAGAUCCCUGUAUUCUAGAGAGCCUCUCUCAGGACUGAUGCUAGGUAGGAGGUUGGGGACAUUGAGGAGGAGUUACAGGAGAGUCUUCAUGGACAAAAAUACCUGCCCUUACCCCCACUAUGUGAAAGACAGAGCCCAGGAGUUUUCUCUUGGCAUUUGGGCUAUUUAUGUCUUCAGAUAUUCAUGUAGCUAUUCAAUGAUUGAAUUAGUGUUUAUUUUAGGUUAAAAGUCUUCUUACAGUAUUUUUUAAAAUCUUAUACUUCUUUGAAAUGUUCCUCCCUAAAUGUUAGUGUCAUAUGCAUUAUUCAUUGCCAUGAAUAAAAACAUUUAGGAGAGAAUUUGGGGAUAUGGGAAGCAGAAGCACCUGUGAGCAUGGAGAUUGGAUUAGUCUGGGUGCUCCAGAAAGGCCCAACCAAUAGACCUUACACGUAGGUACCUGAGAGGGGAUCAUGUGUGUGAUGAAGUCCUGCAACAGGUGUCUGAAAACUGCAGAAUCCUGUGGUGCUGGUUAUGGCUGAGUCCAAGUCAAAAGGCCUCAGAGUUGGGGAAGACAAUGGUCUAACUAUCAGUCUGAGGCCAAAGGAUGAGAACUUGGGAACCACUGGUGUUAAGACUGGUAUUAAGAAUCCAAAAGAUGGAAAGCUGGAGUUCUGCUAUCCAAAUGGAGGGAAGGGGAAUGUGUCCCAUCUCCAGGAUAUACUCAGGCAGAGAUUUACCUUUCCUGUCUGUUCUCUUGGAGUCCCCACACAAUUGGAUCGUUGUGGGUGGAUCUUCCCAUCCUGUUCACUCAGAGUCACACUCUUAUCUCUCAACAACAGCCUCACAGACCCACUCAAAAACAUUGCUUUACCAGGUUUCUAUGUAUUCCCUGAUCCCAGUCAAAUUGACAAUUAAAAUCAACAUUGUUAGCACCAAAAAAUGAGUGACUUAGAAACAUGCAGGUGCUAGUCUGGCCAUCUCUUUUCAGUAGUACCUCGUGGUUUAUUUCAAAUUUAAAAUGGCAUUGUCUUUGGAGUUCAUUCUCUUUCUCCUAAUAACUGUUUCAGUAAUGUUUAACAAGCAACAAUUAGACAUGGCCCUGUUAGUGUCUGUCUGACACGUGUGAACCACCUUCCCCACGGCUUUCAACUGAUCAGAGAUCAAAAGAAAAACUCUACAGAUUCAUCCCUUAGAUUACCCAAGCAUUAAUCUUUUUAAUUUUUUUUAAUAUAAUGAAUUUAAGUGCUUGUGAGCAAUUCUCCCUCUAGGUGGCUGAGAAUAGUAAAGCAGAAGAUUUUAAACAGGUUUUGUGGCAUUCCAAGAGCUGGACUCAUCAAGUUCCCUGCUCCCCCCACCAGUAGCCCUGCGGCUUCCUUCUGCUCUGCUGUGAGCAAGCCCCACAGAGCAUGCCAGACUCUCGUGAGCUCAUGCAGAUCUUUGUUGUUGGCACAUGUUCAUUGUGCAGCCACUUUCUCCUCUGACCUCAAAGUCAUUACAAAACUGGCAUUCCCAUGAAAACAGGACACAGUAAGUAACUCUGGUGCAUGACACGGACAACCACGCGUAUCUCCAGUCACCCUGGACAGCACUGUCCCCACGCAUUUUAGAGUCAUAUUACGAUGAAAUGUGGUUAAAGCAAAUAAAGCUCUUCAAAAGCAUAAAUUGAAAAUGAUAAUGACCACUGUCACUUUGUGAUGGAAGAUUAUGGAUUUCACAAUUUAUGGAUCCUUUCUAAUGAGAAACAGACUAACUUCUCUCACUUGGAUUAAAAAUCCCAGGGUCCCAAAUGUCCAUGGUUGCAAAGAAGCUAUGUGCUUCAACUAAAUGUCAAAUUUGCCAUGAUUCUGUCCCAUGUAUGAUUGACUCUGACAUUACCAAAGAGAAUACUGCUGGAAAGCCUAGGGUCUUGAAAUUUUCUACUUUAGGCUUAGAAGUUUUAGCAGGAUGAUCAGUUUUUUUAGAAUAAUCUGGAAACACUGUAUAAUGUUUAAAACAAUAGUAUACCUACCCAACUGUGUCAUGAAUGCUUUUCUUAUUUAUAACAAUGACAAAAAGAACUUUGUCUUACCCAAAUGGAAAGAGGUGGAGGAAGAGAACUAGUAAUUCUAGUAUUAGAAGCUUUCUAUGUAUAUUCAUUGGUUUAACCCUCUUAAUGACUCUGAGAAGCCGCUUUUACUGAUGAAAAAACUGAAUUCCCACAGGGAUUAAAUGACUUGCCCAAGGCCACUAUAAUCGCCACUAUAGCCACUGACUGAGUGAAGCAGAAUUCAAACCCAGGGCCAUUGAAUCCUCAGCCUGAAUGAUAUAGUGCUUCUCUGGAUGAAGACAGGGAUAUUCUGGGUAGCCCUUAUUCCUGAAGAAGCUUUAAACCCAGUUAAAGAGGAAAGCCCAAUAAGAUCUCUACUGAGCACUGGGCUUAAGGGGGCAAAGAGGACAAAUUUAUCUUUCCUGGCAAUUUAACUGCAGCAAUUAGGUAAAAUAUGUGCAAGCUGUGGCACAUCUGCUAAUGAAACUAUGAUUGUAUGUAAUAGCAACAGGGGCAGGCAGUCAGAGGAAAAGAAUUUAAACUUGUAAGUUUUAACUACAGACUUAAAGUCACAAUCCUGGAGACAGAGACCCAGCUCUGCCACUGGAUAGCUGUGUGAACAGGGCAAGUUGCUUAGUAUCUGAGCCCUGUUUUCUCAUGUAUAAGAUGAUGGGAUUGGGUUGGACUCCUAGAUGUAUUUCACUCUAGCCCCUUGGUAUAGUUUCACUACCAAAUAUGUUAAGACAUAUUGGGAAAGGAAGAGCAAGUAAUUCACUUUUAUAAAUAAAUAAAUAUAUAUAGUUGUAGAUGAACACAAAAUAUUUAUUUAUUUAUUUAUUUAUUUAUUUUAUGUGGUGCUGAGGAUUGAACCCAGUGCCCCAUAUGUGCAAGGCAAGCGCUCUACCCCUGAGCUCAGCCUCAGCCCCAAGUAAUUUACUUUUAAGUUGUAUUUUUACUUGUCUUUCCAACUACUCAAGACUAGUUGAGAAACCUUAUUUUCCUAUGCCUUGCUUGUCAGUGACAAAAAUUAAUGAGCAUCACUCCUUAAAUUUAAAAAAUCUAAAUGAUCUGUUAAUAAAGUCUAUUUCUCAAUAUUCUUAUAAGGAAUAAAAUAUAUGUUUGAAAGAUGUAAAUAGUUCAUAGUGCUAAUAUUAGCUUUCCAUUUCUGUGACGGAGUACCUGAGAAAAUCAACUUAGAGAAGAAAAGAUGGUUUCAGAGGCUGGCUCCCUUUCUAGGCCUGCAGUGAGGCCAACUAUCAUGGCAGAGGGGAGUGGCAGAGCAAAGCUUCUCACCUGGUGGCAUCCAGGAAAUAGAGAAAGAAGAGAGGAAGGGGCUGGGUACAAUAUAUACUCUUUCAAGCACACCCUAGUGACCUACUUCCCCCAAGUAGGUCCUACCUCCUACAGUCUCCACCCCCUUUCAAUACUGCCAUCAAAUGAUGACUCCAUUGUAAUUCAUCCACUGAUGAGAUCAGAGCCCUCUUGAUCCAGUGGUUUCCCAAAAGCCCCGCCUCUGAACACUGCUUCAUUAGGGUCUGAGAGUUCAACAACUGAACCUUUGGGGGACAUUCCAGGUCCAAAUUAUAACAAUGCCCCUAUUUUAGAAGGGAGUGAAAGGAAUCUCAAAAUGCCAGUGAGAGGUAGAAUGUUCUCCAUGAUCUCAGAGACAGACUCCAGGCCUGCGGGUUUUCAGUGGAGUAUUCUUUCCUCUGAAGCCAGUUUUUAAAAGCAAAUCUCCAUUUUCCAGAAGCCUCUGGAGUUUCUGUCCCUCUGGACUCCUUUUCCUUCAUAACUCUGCCUCUAUAAAUAUCUUCACACUUGUAGAGACACAUCUGUUGAUCUAAUCUUAGCACUUCCUUUGUUAGAGGGAGCUGAAUAAGAAAUAGAACUACUGAGUUGUAUCAAAAAUUCAUUAUAAAAAUUCUGGCAUGUUAUGUUCUUACCCUCAAAUCCAAAUAUUUCUUAUAGCCAGUACAUGUGUCUUAACAAAGGAGAAAGAAAAAAGUGGCAAAAUAAACUAUAAAAUUAGGCAAAAGGCCCCCAAGACAACAGUGAUGGGAAUAAAUGUCUGAGAUUAUUAUUGAUAAAUAUUACUCUGCUUCAAAAAAUAUCUAAUAUUCAAAAGACCCUGAAAUCAAUAGUAAGAACAACUUUUUCUUCUAUCCAAAAUGUGGUCAUGUGGAUUCUUAUUUAUUACCUUUAUUCGUUCAAGAAAUAUUUGAAAGCAUCUGCUCUGCGCCAGCCCUUGAUAUAAAAUAAUGAACACAAUGGUGCUUCCACCCUUGGGGAAGUUAUAGCCCGUGUGAAUACAGACACAACACAAUCAUGCAAAUAAACCCAUAAUGACAAGUUUGUGGUAGGUGCUAGGACAAAAAAAGAAAAAAAAAGGAAAGUCAAAUAGUUUUCUCUUCUAGUGAGAGUGAUAAACAAAAAAGCCCUUUCCUGAGUCCUCUCUCAUCACCCUGUCUCUGUGGUGUUUGGUGAAUAGGCCCCAACUUCCGGAAACCUCCUCCUGUGGUGUUUGGUGUCCCCAUGGAUCUCAGGCACUGACCUAGGGGAAUGUGCUGAGAGGCCCUGACCUCAGAGUGCCUCCCCUCUGUAGGGCCACUUCUCCUGCCCAGUUACACACAGGAGGUGUCCUCAGGGCCCUCCUCAGGGGCUGGCAGGCCCUCUGCACCCCCAGGGGUACUGCUCUUGCUAGCUCCUGACCCUGUGGGGCGUCACCAACACCCCUCACCUCUGCUGAGCAGCAGCACCUUACCUGGCUUUCCUACUCUUUGGAUGUGAAGUCACCCUCCCUUCCUCCUCUCCCGUCACCUCCCCCCUUCCCCAGACCAGCUCCUCUCCGGACUUGACUGUUUCUGUGAAGUCCACUUCAGAGUGCCUCAGGCUGCCACCUUGGAGUCAGUCCUCCUUCUUCUCUCUCCCCUUUUCCUUGUAAGCAGGGCAGAGCUCUGUAGACCUGACCCCCGCACCAUAGAAAGCACAUCUUUUUUUCCAUUUUUCCUCCCUCCGUGGCUUUGUUCAAGCUGCCAAAGGAAAGCACAACUCCAGUCCCAUCACUCCUUUCCUUGGGAACCUUGGAGGACUUCUCAUGGCCUGUUGAACCAAGUCAAGGCAUUUAUUUAUUCUGGGGCAUGAGCCCAUCCUUGACCUCCUACAGCCCGCCUUCUAGACAGCACCACAGAAUCCUCACUACGCCUACCUGUACAGCAGCACUGGCCAGCUGAGGCCCUCGGGCAAUUAUUUUAGCCUCUCAAACUCUCAGAUUCCUCAUCUACAAAGUGAGGAAGAUGACUUAGUAGAAUGUCUUUGGGAUCACUGCUACAAGACCAUACCUAUUUUCCUUCCUAUGAUCCUGUGUACAUACGUGUUCUCACACUUACUGUUGUCCAGUGUACUUGAAAUGCCUUCUUCCUUUCAGUGCCCUGUUUUCAAAGCCCAUUUUAUAUGUCACUCCCUCUUCCACAAAGCCAUUUCAGUCCCCUCAUACAAGUGUGUCCUUGCUCACUGAGAAAUCACAUAGGAUUUGCUGGUUCCCUUCUUUACUGCUUUUUGACAUCUAUCAAAGUCACUGUGUAAGUUUCUUCACUUUCUCCCCAGAUAGUAAGCUCUCUGAGUCCAGUGGCUAUGUCUUAUUUUAUCCUUGAAUCCCUACUCGCCAACAAGUUCCUGAUACUUAGUAGUUGCUUGGUAAAUAUUUAAUUGAUGAACAAAAUAAAUUAUAGACCUUCUUCCUCCAAAAAGACACAGAAAAGAUAUAUAUGCACAAAUGUAGUGUAUUUCACCUCAAGCCCAUAAUCUUGGUAAAAUAGAUUUUGUUUUUAUGAUACAUAUUGAAUUCAAGCUACAUAUCUUAAAAACCAUUAGAUUUAAACUUGAAAAAGCACAUCUGAGUUCCACCUUUUAUGAAUAGAAAAAUAAAUGAUUUUGAAUCUCAUGAAAUAAAGGUUCACAUAUUAGAUACAUCCAGGACAGAUAAUCUCACAAAAUAUAGCUAAUAGAUCAAAAACAUUAAUUGCUUAGUCCUGGGGCUUAGGAAACUUACCUGUAGCCACAUAGUAAAUAAUUAGGGAUUAAGAAUUUAAGACCAGAAAAACUCACCCCAAAGUACUCUCCUAAAGCUUUUCAGUUUUCUUUAUUUGUUUAGCUGGAGGGGAGAAAUUAUCCUCUUACUUUUGAGCAUAGCACAUACUUUUUCUCUUAUUGACUAGUGUCACUGUGACAUGAUAUGGUUAUAGUCCUCCCAUUUGAGAUUUUAAAUUUUAUCUUUGUGUGAUGACUAAUUGAAGUGUUGUGGCAUUCUCACAGAGAAUCAGGGCACGAAGGCAUUCAGCAGGAAGCAGCAUUUAUUAGUGCCAGCACUGGCCCAACAGAUUCACAUCCAAAGGCUGAGCACUGAAAGCAGAAGGCAUUGGGUUAUAUACCUCUUAUUAGUUCCUCCAUACUUGCCAGCUCUUUGUCUCCCAUAUAGUAAUACACAUUCUGAUUGGGCAUUCUAUUUCUAUAGUAUAGAGUUGCAACAAUGUUACAACAGAGUUGUGGUAUGUGCACAUUGAUACUAAUGGUGCCAUGUUAUCUUUCCUUUGUUUGGAGAAAGUCCCUACCACAAGAGAAAUUGAACAAUGUAUAAUGGAAGCAAAGAAAAAAAUAAGGACAAGAAACUCAAAGACUAGAAAACACAAUCAAUUCAACAUGCUGCAGAAAUGAGUUAGCCCAAAAAGUUAACUCAACUGUUUUUAAGAUAAGCAAUUAGAAACAAACUCACAUGAGAAGUCAAAGAUUGAGACAUGAAAAAUGAGACCAACAGCCCUGAGACACAGCCAACACAUUUUACUUUUCCUUUCCUUCUAUCCUGCCUGUCACUCUUUCUAGUACUUCUAGAAAUGACUGGUAAAUAAAAAUUGACUGGUUAAUAAAUUAUUGUGGUCAAAGAGGAAAACAGGAAACAAGUAAAGCUCAACUUACAAAGCUAAAGGAGAAAAUUAAGAUUUGUUUACAGUAAGCACACUAUGAAGCAAAAAACACAAAAUAAGAAUUUCAUGGGUAGAUAAAAGAUAAAGGAUAAAUUAUUUCCACCCCUGGUAUUUCUUGUAAUAGCCAACACCAUGGUCUGUAUGAAACUGCCUAUUAUUUAUAUUGUAAUUUAUACUUUUAAUUGGUCAUGAAUUAAAGAGAAAGCUGCUGUCUCAGUGAGUUGAUCUGCACAUUAAAAUACUAGUGUAUGGGUAAAUAAAUCUUUAACUAACAAAGAUGUAUUUCUCAGAGUUCCAGAGGCUAGGAAGUCCAAGAUCAAGGUACCUGGCAUAACAGUAUAUGUUGAAAGUCCUCUUCCUGUUUGCAGAUGGUCACCUUCUUUCUGUAUGCUCACAUGAUAGACAGAAGGGCUCUGGUCUCUUCUUAUAAAGGAACUAAUCCCAUCAUGAAGAUCUAUCCUCAUGAUUUUAUCUAAACCUAUAUACUCCUGCUCAAAGCCCCCCCCCCAUCUUCAAAUACUGUUGCAUUAGGGAUUAGGGUUCCAACACGUGAAUUUGGUGGAAGGUGAGGAGAGACACCAACAUUCAGUCCAUAGAGGCUGCUUUCUGCAUUUUAAGGAUGGAUGGGUAAUUCUAAGUGUCAAAGAAUGUUAGCAUUUUUAGAGCUCUGGAAAUGGUUUUAAAAGUCAUUUAUUUCUACUUCAUAUUUUUACAGUUUUUUUAGUUAUAGAUGGACAUAAUACCUUUAUUUUAUUUUAUUUAUUUAUUUUUAUGUGGUGCUGAGAAUUGAACCUAGUGCCUCACACAUUCGAGGCAAAUGCUCUACCAAUGAGCCAAAACCCCAGCUUCCUACUUCAUAUUUUGAAAAGAAAACCAACCUGGAGAGCUAAAGAUGGGGAGAGAUAUAUCUGUGAUCAAUGUGUUUGUAGGUGAGCAGGGACUAGAACCAAAAUCUUUGAAUCCCUCAUGCAUGAAAGGGCUUUAUCCCUCCCUCACAUUUAUUGUACCAUGCUGCAAAAUCUAGCUAGAAAAAGAAAAUAACAAUAAUUCACCUCUUACAAGGCAGUACUGCACAAUAUUUUCCACACAGAGCCCAGAAAGGCUGACAGAAACUUUCUAGAUAAUAAAAGAAAUUUAAGUAAUCUUAGAAAAUAAUUCUUCUUACCAGCAAAGUGUUGAAAUGCUAAUAAAAUAAGGGGUUUCUUCUUUCCACAUAAACAUUUUUCUGAGGACCAUGUCAUUAAGCCAGAGGUUCCACAGAAUAUCUAGAGGGAGUGUGUUCAAGUUUGAUAAAAGUUCUGGGUUGAAUCUCAGAUCCUGUCACAUAUAGUACCAUGGUGCCAAUAGCAUUUACCAAAGGUAUUUUUAUCCCUUAUUCUUAAUGAAAGUCCCAGGGGAGGAGCAAGCACCAGCAAUAGAAACGUCAUUCUACAAAUGGUGAACGUUGGCUAUAAUUGCAUCAACACCUUAAGGCCAUAGUGAUCAUUCUCAAAGGGCUUUUAGGGAAAAAGUUAAUGGCCCUCAGAAAAAUGAGUAAUUCAUCUCCAUUUGUCCAGCUUAUAAUCUGCAAAUGAGCAUAGCUCAUGCAAAUUAAGCAAACUUCCUUAAUUGAUGGACAGCAUGUCCAGAGCAGUCAUGCCUGAAAAACACCGGCAAAACUCAAGAGAGACUUCCUUAGCUUCUUCCUUGAGAGCUGGGACUUAAAUUGGUCCACAGGACUCCAGAGAAGUGGUUUGAGGAUUCCUACAUGGUCCCAGGGAUCAUCAUUUAGAAGCCCUGGGAAAUAAAUGGAUUCUUGUCCCCUGGACCUGCUGUCUGAUAUAAUUUGAAUUGAACCUUGAAGCCCCUAAAAGUCUGGAUGUAGUGACCAUACAUUCAGUUCCAUUUAUCCAACAAGCCAGGCAAGGAUCAUCAAAUCAAUAACAUGACUGUGCCAUCUGCCUUCCCCUUGCUCACCAUCAUAAUGAAAAAUGACUCCUUAAGUGUUCUGCAAGGCAAUUAGCUCUGAAAGCAGAGCUGUAAUGGGGAGAGGCCAAGUUGCAUUUGUAUUCAAAACUUUACUGGUAAAAUGGAAAGGAAGCUGUUGUCCAUAUUAAUAGAUACAUAAAAUGUAUAAAUGGGGUAAUUUGGUAUUACUCUAUUUAUGCAUAAUAUUAUACAACAGCAGAAACAGAGAGCUAGGAAGGGCAAUGAAAUGACAUCUGGCUCCUCUGAUGGCCUGUAGCCACAGCUGGUGACCCUGUCCAGAAUCAUCCUGGACAGACAGACUGUUUCUAAAGACUUCCCCAAAAGGCGUGCUUGUGACUUCUGGGGCUAAAUCAUCCUGUUAUUUAACAGUCUUCAUGCAAUUUGAUCCUAUUCUCUUUUGUUCUCUUUCUUCUUGUUCUCAUCUCUCCAGAAACAGAGAACAGCUGAUUAUGCUCCCUAAAUAAUUUAUCACGUGUACAAGGCAAUUUUGAAAUCACCUCCCAGCCUUUGGUUCAGGUCCCAUGCAAGACUCCAGUCUUCUUCCAUCUGUGCCUUGAAGGGCCCAACUUCCAGCUUCUCCUCUCUGACUCUCAGAGCCCUUCAACCUUCCUAAAUGUCACUGACUCGAGGAACAUGGGGUAUGAAGGGACUCUAGAGGUAGUUCUGUACCUUUGUUUGACAUAUGAGGAAACUGUGGCUCACCUUGAAAAGACUUCCUCCGAGUUUGCCUUCUCCUGUGUGGCAGAGGCAGUCCAAGGGCCCUGUUUCUCAGUGCCUAACCUCUGCUUUAAAACCAACUUCCAUUGGUUCCAUCUUCCCAUUGGCAGUUCAGUAGGACUUCUCUGUCCCUUCCUGGGCUUUUCUGCUAUUUUGCAUUUUGUAUAUAUGCCUCACUGUUUUUCUUGCUCAAGAAAAGAGAAGCAGUUGAUUUCUCUGAUAUUCCAGGGUCACUUUUGAAAUUUAUCCUAUCCUAUCCAAAAUGCCAUUGGCUUUCCCUGACCCUUUUGAUGUUAUUUGCAAAUACAAAGAUUUUAGGAGAAGUCAAAUGCCUCAAAGAGCUGGAUUCCAGAGAGACUUUAAAAAUGCAGUCCUGGGCUGGGGCUGGGGCUGGGGCUCAGUGCAGACUGCUUGCCUUGCACAUGAGGCACUGGGUUUGAUCCUCAGCUCCACAGAAAACUAAAUAAACAAAAUGAAGAUAUUGUGUCCAUAUACAACUAAAAUUUGGAAAAAAAAUGCAACCCCCCUUGCUCCAAAAGUACCACUCCUCUAUACCUUUGCAUGGACCAGUCUGUCUGCCUGGACUGGCCUCCCAAUGGCCCCCUGCACACACUCCUCUUCUUUUCCUCCAAGAGAAUUUCUAAUUUAAGCUUCUCUUCCUCUGUGAAACUUAUUCCCUUCUCCAUCCAUUCUCUGUCAACUACUUUUGAUUUUUCAUAUUCUAUAAAAUGUUCAUUAUACUCUCUCCAUCCUACCUAGGCACUCUAGGGGUGGGAAUUUCCCCUGAUUAUUAUAUCCCCAGGGGUAAAUGGCACCUAAGGCACACAGAAGUCAGUGCGCAUGUCAAUCUUUUUCCUCCUCUUGUGCUCACCUGCACCUGUUGACACUAACUUCCCAGAGUCCACCUCUUGAGCUAGCUGUGAGUUCAUACUGUCUGCUGCACUUGAUCAUGUAAUUGGUCUAUGUGCCUUGAUAUAAAUUAAUUAUAGGUGCCUCUCAGUUUGAAAAACAAAUGAAAAACCUCCUUAAGUCUCUCACUUCAAAUUCGGUUUAUGAAAUUAGGGCUAAAAACUUUACUGAGGUUAAAGAUUCCUCACUAUUUGCUGGGUUUGUCAUUUUAGCCCAUCCUGUUUGUCAAAAGACUAGUUAGUCAUUUUGUAUAGCUGUUUUUCUUCUAUGUUAAAUGGAUUUCUUUGAGUCUUUUUUCCAUGUGUAAAAAAAAAUCACUUUGAUUGUUUUUAUUAUUCAUAAGAUCAUUUUUUGAUUGUUUAUAAAACUCCCUUUUCCCUUUCUGGAAAAUGAAUGGUUCAUUGAUUCUUCUUCCUUCUCAGGGCUUAAAGCAGGCUCAGAAUUCCUACUCUUUGUUUGGUGACUUACGGGUGCGUCACCAGACUGCUUCUCGUGCCUGGACCAUCCAUUUACAGGUUCUUCUUAUUUUGGCUUGACUAUAUAGCUUCUAUAUCCUUUCCUAGGAUUUUUAUUAGAUCACAGUUGCUCUUUGAGGCAGAUUUUACAAAUAUUUUAAAAGUCUGUUUUAAGCAUUGUUUAUUAUUAGCCUUUUCUCUUGUAUGUAAAAACGAGUCAAUCUUCUUAAGCCUAUCUUAUACCUAAUGCAAUACAGAGUUUUCCCUGUUUGCCUUUUCACCUCUAGUAGACCAUUUUAGUUCUUGUAUUAUUAUUGCUUUUUACUUUCUCCAGUGCUUUGAAAUCUCUUUUGCUAGGCUUCUUAAGUAACUUGAAAUCUUUUUGGGAUUCUCCUAAGUUCUAUUUUACCUCUUUAUGCAAUUCUUGCCUAUCUAUCCAAGACUCCCUUCAACCUUCUUUUUCCAUCUGCAUUAAAAAUAUUACUCAGGAAUGCAAAUUAAAACACUACUCAGAUACUACUUCUCACCUAUCAUGUUGUUGAAAAUUAAAAAGUAUGACAGCAUACCACUGGUGAGAAUGCACGCUGGUAUAGCCUUGCUAGAGGGGGAUUUGGAAAUACCUAACAAAAGUACACAGGUAUUCCUUUGUCCCAGCAAUCCUACUUCUCAGAAUUGUAGUAAUAUUGCUCCAGCAAUAUGAAAAUACAUAUGCAGUGGUUAUCUCAAUAUUUUUUGUAAGUACUUGUGUUAGCUUUCCAUUACUGUGACAAAAUAACCAAGAAAAACAACUUAAAUAGGGAAAGAUUUAUUUUGGCUCACAGUUUCCCAAGGUUUCAGUCUACGGUCAGCUGGCUUCAUUGUCUCAGGCCUGUGGUGAAGCAGUACAUUGUGGCAGAAGGGAUGGCUGAGCAAAAAUGCUCAUCCCAUGGUAGUCGGAAAGCAGGGUAGGGGUUAGGGACAGGGAUUAGAUGCACUUCCAGGCAUGCUCCUGGUGACCUGCUUCCUCCACCUGGGUUUGCCUUCUAUGGUCUCUACCACCUUCAGAUAAUACCAUCAAAUUGGGAAUCCAUCAGGGAAGUCACUGGUGAGGUCAGAGUAUUCAUGAUCCCAGCACUUUCCCACAACCCCACCUCUGGACAUUACUGCAUUGAGGACCAAGCAUUUGAUACCAAGCUCAUGUCUCCCAUGAGCCUUUGGGGGACACUUCAUUUUCAAAUCAUAACAGCACAAAACUCAUAAAUGGCUCUAUUCAAGAACAGGAAAGGAAGGAAGGAAGGAAGCUAGAUCUCUAGGAACUAAGAUGAAAUCAUUUCCAAGAACAUAUUGCUAAGUGAGAAAAGUAAGGUGCUUAAAAGUAUUUUCUGUUGCCCUUGAUGUACAAAAUAGAGAAUAUAUGAAAUUUGAAGAUAUCUCUUCAUUUAUUCAAAAAAAAAGAUAUAAAAGAAUGAUAAACCAGAAAUUAGAAGGCUGGUUCACUGAAGAAAGUGGAGUGGAUGUGAGUUAUAAAGAUGGGGCAGUGAAAGGGAGCAGAGGGCAAAGAGGGGUGACAUUUGCUGAGUAUGUCAAUUUCCUAUGGCUCUGUUCCCUUAGCAAAUCAGAAACAUGAAGUUUUACAAAUCCAGAAAAUCUGUAAACAUAAUCAGGAUGAGGCAGAAACUAACAUGGAAUACAAACUAAAAAUUGAAACUAAUUAUACUACAAAUAAACAAACAAGUGUGUUACAGGGACAGGGAGAAAAGAAUAACCUAAGUUACUUCAGGAUAUAAUUACUUAUGAAUUAUGUAAGGCAAAAGGUAAAAAUACCAACAAAGAACUAUAUCCGAGCACACUAGUGCUGGUACAUUUGUUUCUUCUACACACAGGGGCCUGGGUGUGAUUCUGACACUACUAUGUCUAAGCUAGGAUUAAACAAAGCAAAUACACUGUGGCUUCUCAUUGUCAGGGGAAAAAAAAUGCACGUGAGAAAAGUGAGAAGACUAGAGUUAAUCCUGGGGUGUCAGAUAGGAAUUGAAGAGAUCAGUAUGAACGCACUCACCCAUAGGCAGCUAUUUAUAGAAAUACAGAUGUGCCCAUGGGUGUAGUGUACAUCUGUGUUUCUUAGCUCUGUCCACUGAGGGACUAGAAGCAAUGAUAUGUCCAUAGCAAUGAAUGUACUUAACACCCAAUAUCUUGUUUUCUUACAACUAUUCUCCAAUAAAAGGAACCAAGGCUUUAAUGUAAAUGGUUAAUCCUGAGCUAAGAAGAGAAGAUACAAGUUGAGCUUGGAACAUCUUAUGGUUCCAGAAAAUAAUUUAGCACUCAAUAUGAGAACAUAUUGAAAGGACACAGAAGCCGAACUGAAGGAGCCAGCUGAUGGCCAAAGCUGUGACAACUUAAACAAAAUAAAUUAGUGUUUGAUUAUAAUUCAAAGAGUAAAUUAAAUAUCCAUGAAUCCAUACUAACAGAGGUAAAGCCAACUAGAUAAAGAAGUGGAAGAGAAGGGGAAGCACUUCCUUACCAUAGAAUUCUAACAAAUGAGUAUAGAAAAAAUGAAGGAAAUGGAGAGGUCACCAUUAGACAAAAAACACAAUAGUAAUUAUUAAGGACAAGAACCAUUAAUGGAAUAUAAAAUUAAUAGGACAAAAUAUGAUAGAAAAAAACAUAUUUUCAUAGUUUCAAAAUAUCUUCCCAGAAGUCAUUUAUUGAUUAGAGAGGGGAAAACUAAACUUUUGCAUGAACAUAGCAGGUGUAACCUCAUUCAAAUGAACAAGGUUAAGAUGACCAAUAGAAAAAGAGAGAAAUCCCGGCCCCUCUCUCAUGUUACAGUAAGAAGUGCAGAAAUCACCUGUGUGGUACUCUCAAUAAAUUCAUAACACCAGUGUAAUCUCCCAAUUGGAUAAUACAGAUUGAGGAACAGUCUACAAAACAAUAUGGCCAGAACUCUUGAACAGUGCCCAAGAAAGGAAAGACAAUCAAAGACAUAAGCACCAACACAGAUUAGAGAGUAAUAAUUAUACAUGUAGGGGGGAUCCUGAAUUAAAUUCAGGACCAGAAAUGAAACAUAAGUGGGAAAACUGGUGAAAUUCAGUUAAAGUCUGUAGCUUACUCAGUAAUACUACAUCAGUGUUUAUUUCCUGAUCAUUUUUUCCAAUGAUUUAAAAUGUUUCAUUAGGGGGAACGGGGUGAAGAACAGAUGAGAACUUUUUAAAACUUUUCUUUGUCUAAAAUGACCUCAAAAUAAAAAGUAUUUUCUCAGGCCUCAUUUGCAAGUAGGUCAUGUUCCAAAGGUUAACCUAAGAUUAUAGGCUGCAAUUAUUUUAUCACUGAAAUAAUUUUUGUUUGGUUAUUUGGUUCCAGGGUGAACCUCAGAAGCUUACUUAGCCUGGAAUUUGGUGUGCAUGUGGUCUCUAUUUAUUUCCUAGUCCCAUUGUAUUCUAGAACGUGAACAAUUUCCUAUGGCUCUGUUCCCAAAGCAAAAAUGUAUCCCUAUUUUAAGCUAAAGAAAUGAAGUUUCAGAGAGGUUGCUCUACUUGCCCCGAUUUCUUAUUUUAAGGCUUUAGAACAAGAGAACUGCAGAGCUGAUUUUAGAGCCAGGUCUGUGUGACCCCCUGGCAGCACUAUUUUUGAAGUAUCUGAGGCCCCCUCAUCUGACAGCCUUCUUGUUCACAAAUUCAAGACCCUGAAAAGGAACAGAUCUCAUGGAUGCCUCUGUGCUCUCCUCUUUACUCCCUUGAUUUUAAAACUACACAUUCACCUUUAUUUUGUUCAUGAGAAUGCUCUGUUCUCAAAAUAUUGAAUUUUAAAUAGUUUGUGGAUUUUUUUCUCUAAUUCUGCUUUCCAUCUUUAAAUCAUAUUUUAUAGAUGAAUCACUGUUGAAUCUCUAAUGCAUCAUUAGGAACAAGGUUCAUAAAAGCUUUAAACAAGAUGAAAUAUAUUUACUGAAUCACAGUGUGCUUACAAUCUGUUACCAUAUUUUUUUGUUAAAAUUUUUGGAAAUGUUUAAAUAAUUAAGCAUAUCAAGACCAUGAUAUGAGACUAAGAAGCUCUUCCCUAUUAAAAACAUCCAUAAAAUAUGUUGACAUGAACACAGUGUACUGAGCAAUUAUAAGGAGCGGGGCUUCUAAUGCAAAUGUUAUUUCUAUUAUGACUCUUUGUCAAUUUAGAAAGUAUGUUUAAGUAGUCUUAAGUGUCCACAUAAGCAGAGAUACCCACACAGAGAACAAAUCCCCAAAAAACAAACAAAACAACACCACAAGAGCACUUACCAAGUGUUUUUAAGUCAAUCACUAUAAUAAGUUCUUUCUUAUAUUUUCUCAUUUAAUUUCUCAGUAAUAACCCCUGUAAGGUGGAUACUGCCAUCUCAAUAUGAGUAAAAUUAAGGCUCAAAAACUCACCAAUAUUUAUAGACCUCAUAAUGGAAGGUACCAGGAUGUGAACCUGGUUUAUUUUUUUCUUUCCUUUAGUUUAUGCCUUUAAUCCCUGUAUUCUAAUGUUUUCCUGACCAGCAAAUAUUAAAAACAGCAUUGAAAACUAAAAAAGAAAUCAAGGUACUUACACAAAAUAUGGUAAGCUUACAUUUAAUCUGCUCUAUUUUAUAAUGUUUUUAAAAAAUUGCAGAAGAAAAGCUACACAGGAUUUUAAAGUGAUUCAGAGAUCAAACAUGAUUUUCUCUUUGUCCCAGAGUGCUUCAGAGUCAAACCCACGGCUUCAGGGCCUCUGGUGCACGUCUGCCGCAGGGUCUCGUAAUUGGUAAAUUUGCAUCAUGUAUGUCGCCAGCAGCUUAAGAAGGCACAGAUGUCAGUUUUAGGAAAUACUGGGAAUUUCAGUCUUGCUCAGACUAAUUGGUUCAAUCGAUAAAAUGCUAAUGAGAAAAUAAAUCCAAAUCUUUACCUUAAUAACCCUGAAUUCUGACCACAAAGAUUAAUGCAACUGUCUUUCUGAAAUCCCUAUAUUUUACAGGGUAAAAGAAAAAAAAGACCAAAAAAAAAAAAAACCACUAUUUGUUAUCUAGUUGUUUUUUCUUUAAAAAAAAAAAAAAGCAAAACCAUAUUUGUCCUUUAAAAAAUGAUCAGUGUUAAAUUCGUAAUAGGAGAAUUACCAGAAAUCUUAGUUGAAAACAUUAGCUGGUUCAUCAAAUUUAAUUUGAUAGUUACAUGGUCUUAAAACAAUAGAAUUCCAUGUUACCACUUCUUGGCUCUAAGGUCAUCUUGAUAACACUUCUAGAAAUAUCAAGCAACUAACUGCUGAAGCAUUAGCAUCCCUUUUGUCUCAGAUUGUCAGAGGGCACUUCCAUUUUUUUUUUCCCCACCAUUUGUAGUGGAAAGAGGUCCUUUGGAUGGCGACAAGGACAGAGACUUCUUACUGCAAGCAGCAGCCUUGAGGGCUGCUAGGGUUCCUGGGAUGCUUUUCUCCCAGUAAACUGGUCCUCUUUCCUCUUGCAAUCUGGGCAUCAUUAGCAUAACAGGAUCAGACAGAGGCCGUCCUGUUCGGCCCCCUCUCCCGUCCUGUGCUGCUUCCAUCUCAUAUUUUUAACAUCUCCACAGACCGAGACUAUACUGGUUCUCACAGUAAUAAUUUCCAGAUCUUAAUUUCCUUUUAGUGUUUGGAAUGUGGCCACUUUGUGAUUGAUUUUCAUCCACACGCACUAGAGCUUUUACAUUGAAUUGGCUGCUGCCCCCUCAAGGCUGCUACCUUGCAAGGUUAAAUGGUGUUCUUGCAGAGAUAGCAUUUAGACAUGGGAGGACUCUGGAACUUGGAACUCAUCCUAGUUCUUACCUUUCUCUUUCAUCUUCUUCCCAGCAAACUCCUUAUGUUAGUAUCUAUUAUCACCUUUGCUCCCAGACCACCAGCAUUUGACUUCAGCAUCCACUUCUCUAUUCAAACUUUCCUGCUGGGGUCACCAGUGACCCCCAUAACAGGGCCUCUUUGGUGAUCUCCCCUAAUCCAGUCAUCGCACAGCAGUUAUUUAUUUUACUGCCUUCCUGGCUGAACCAUGAGCAACACCGAGGUAAAGGCAAUCUUUCCUUAUCACAGUGUCAUCUAUGUAUAGCAGGGUCCCUGCCACCACAGGACAUCAAUACUUAGCUGAAGGAGUGAAUGGGUGUGUUCAUAUAUUCCAUGUCUCAAAUUUUAUACAUACAAAACCAGAAGCCCUAAAGAGGGCGUGCAGUUUGCCCAAGUUGUACGGCUGAUUAUCACUAGAACUUGUCAGGUAGUCUUAAGUCCAAUAACUCCUAGGCCAGUUGGUGUCAGACCAUAUGAAAAAGUUUGACUUUUCUUCAAUUGCUUUCAAAGUCCAGGUAUAUUCUUUUGAAACUAUGUAGUGGCAAAUAUUUAUUAUUUAAUUGGUGCCUUUUAUAUUUGAGUUCAUCCUAAAGCCUCUAUGAUCUGGCCUCGAACCACCUUUCUGUACUAUCUGCUUGGGCUUCACACCACAGAAAUAUAACACAAAGUUGGUGUCCCCAGCUCUAGGACUUUGUUCAUGAUGAUCCCUCUGCAGGAUGCCCUUCUUCUUUUACUCCCCAAAUGCCAAAACUUCCUACCUCAGUUCAUGUUCUUUCCAAAACAAGUAUUUGAUGUGUAAGGAUGGAGGGAGGAAGGAAAUGAAUUGGGAGGGAGAAGAACUCAUGUUUGCAUAUAUUUUAUUUGAUCUCACCACAUGGAAACUGGAAGAUGUGUAGCAACUUGGUGUUCAGUAAAGAGGGAGAGACAAUGAGCAUCACAACCUAUAGUGCAUUACAAAAAUGUGUAAAGCCAUGUGUAACAGUCCUGUCCUGUCCUGUCCUGUUAGAGCCUAAAGGAUUUCAGGUCUCAGCUGGGUUAAUUUGCAUAAAAAUACUCAAUGAGAUGAUCUGGCAGCUCCUGUCUGUAGUUGCCAGGAACCCAAGUUUUGUGGAAAGAGCUAGGUGAUGUUGAUAGCCAGGUGUUUAUAGAUGUGUGCACAUGCGUGAAUACAUACAAGUACAUGCAGGGUACAGGGGAAUUGGGAUGUUUCUGUGGAAGGAAGGCAUCAUUUCUCUUCUGCUGCCCAAUUCUGUCCACUGUCCACCAUAACCACAGACACAAAUAUCUGCCAGUUCUUCUCCCUCCCAAUUGUGGGUAUUUGUGAUAUUUUAUUGGUUGGCUUUCUGAUUAUAAAAUUAAUGUACUUUCAUUUUAAAAAAAUUGGAAGAGAAACAAAAGUCUUACAAUCUAGAGAUAGCCCCAAAUAGACAUGUUUCAUUUCAGGAUUUUAGAAAACUUUAGAUUUCUUUCUUGUAUAAGUGGCGUCAUUUUUAAUGAAAUUCUGUAUUCUGCUUUUUCAUUGCAUGUUAUAUAAUGAGUAUUUCUCAGUGUCAUUAAAAAUUCUUCAGAAACAUAAUUUUAAUGACUGAAUAAUAUUGCAUUUUAUGGAUAUAUCAUAAACAUCUUAAUUAUUUUCCUCUUCUUGGAUAUUUAUGUUGUUCCCAGGCCUUUUUAAUAUUAUAAAUAAUGCUGUGGUAAAGAUCCACGUAGAAAACUUUUGUCCACAUCUCUGAUUAUUUCCUUAGGAUACAUUACUAGUUCUAAAACUGGUAGAUAUAAACCAUAUUUAUUAAAAAUACAUAUUGCUAAAUUGCUUUUUAGGAAAACUUUACCAAUUUAUUCAGUGAACUGAGACAUUCUAAAUGCCAUAAAAACCCCUCUAGUAAAUUAUGGCCACAUCCCUCCCUAAUGAGAAUGCCCCUGGGACAUGGAGAGACAGUCGGGUUCUGCAAUCAAGGGGCUGAUCGUAAUGGACGGUUCACAGGCCUCUAUAUCCAGCACACCAGAAGCCUGGCAGAGGCAUUGCAGAGGAAGAAGACCACAGAAGCCAUCUAAAGGUCACCCUUUAGCAUAUGAAAGACCUGGCAGCAAAGUUUUCCUCUAUAUAUCUAGUGCUUUUAUAACAUGCACUUUAUUUAGUAUUUGACACACACCUGCAUCCUAAUAGCAAUGGUUUCCUAGGACCCAACAUCCUGGUGGACUGUUCCCAGGAGCUCCCCAGCCUGCAUAACUGAGUAACCAGAUUCCAAAGCAGAGAUUAUUACCUUCAUGUUCAGUGUGACCUAACCAAUUUCAACUUGACUUGAUUACUGACAAUAUCAUGGAUAUCUUUAUACAUCAGUCAAGCUUUUAUGAAAGGCAGUAAAAUAUUAAAAUGGUUCAGAGCAAAAACUCUGGAGCCAGACUGUCUGAAGUUAAAUUCUACCAUUUAAUAACUGUGUGAUCUUAGGCAGGUUACUUGAUCUAUCUGUGCUUUCAUUUUAUAAUCUAUAAAUUGAGGAUAAUACUAGUCCUUUCCUUUGGAGUUGUCAUGAGGAGAGAAUGAGUUAAUACAUCUAAAGUACUAGGAAUAUUGGAGAAGAUAUGCUAAGUGAAAUUAACCAAUCUCCUCCAAAAAACAAAUGCCGAAUGUUUUCUCUGAUAUAAGGAGGCUGAUUCACAGUGGGGUAGGGAGGGGGAGCGUGGGAGGAAUAGACAAACUCUAGAUAGAGCAGAGGGUGGGGAGGGCAAAGGAAAGGGCAUGGGGUAAGAAAUGAUGGUGGAAUGAGAUGGACAUCAUUAUCCAAAGUACGUGUAUGAAGACAUGAAUUGGUGUGAAUAUACUUUGUAUACAACCAGAGAUAUGAAAAAUUGGGCUCUAUGUGUAUUAUAUGAAUUAUAAUGCAUUCCACUGUCAUAUAUAAAAAAAUAAUAAGAUAAAGUACUAGGAAUAAUUUUGGGUUCAUAGUAAAUGCUAUGGAAGGACCUCCUAUUAUUAUUAAGUUGCUAAAAAAUAACUUCAACAGAGGAACUAAUAUCAGAUAAUAAAAAUAUUUUAAAACAAUUGCUUGAGCUUUGGAGACAAAAGAAAAAUUUUUCCUCAAUCAGAUUCCCAAGAAUAUUUUAGUUCUGUCCUGGAAAAUUUUUCUUAAUGACAACUAUAUUUAGUAUUUUUGAAUCUCUCAGAAAUAUUUGAAAGCAGUAUCUUAUGCUGAAGGUGAGGACCAUUUGCAUUAGCAUCCCACCUGAGAUUUUCUCAUUCACACAAAGACAAAUGAUGUACUUCAUCAUAAGGCAUUAAAAAAUAAAAUCUAUCCCUGUAUUCUGUCAGGAAUGUCCUGAAUUAACAUUUUUGAAUGAUACAAUUUUCCCCUGCUCUCACAACCUGGAUAUAACAAUGUCAGCAACAACAAAAGGCAGGCUUUCUUUCAGAACUUCUUGUGAGCUGUACCUUUCUCUUGGAUUCACCUGGACAAAUCUCACUAUGGUUGAGGUUAUCAGAGUGUGUCUGGAAUUCGACAGCACCAACCCUGCAGAGGCUUGUCAGAUUCUUUACACACACACACACACACACACAUAUGUAACUUCUGACAAUGAACCAUUUGAAAUAUAAUUCCACUGAAUGAUCCUAAGGAACAAGUAUGCUGAAUGAAUAGCAUCCAAGUAAGGGAGCUGUUCAAAAAAGUCAGGAACUGCUUGACCAGCAGAAAUUGGGCCAUGGAGUUGAGAAUCUAUGAACUCUGGUCCAUCAUGGACAAUUGAAAGUCAUAAUCUUCCAAAGGGCUUUAAUUGAAUAUGUAGAAAUCUGCAUGAAAAUUAACUGAGUCGACUAAAUCAGAAUAAACACAGCUAAACUAAACAGUAUAAAUCUUCAGAAGAAGAACUCUAAUUAAAAAGAAAUAUUGCACUUCCUGGACCUUGCCAUUCUGGUUGUUUUCAAUAUCACGCCACUGGGAAAAUACAACCAUUUCUAAUCAAAUAAUUUAAACUCCCAUGCUGGGGCUUAAGUGUGGGUUCUCCCGUUUUCCCCUGCCUUACUUGUUUUGGGGAUAAAGCAGUGCAAAUUCUUCAGACACCAAUCAGAUUUAUCAUCCUGUGCCUUUUGAUGACAUCCAUCUGUUUAUCUAAGAAGCCAUUAAAGACUUAUUGAGUUACAGAGCUAGGGAGAAAAUUGGGUUAUCAUCUAUGGUUAAAUCCAAUUCUUGCAUCUGCCAUCUUUUCAGCUUAUAUGGUAUAUUUCGAAAUUACCCUGAGUUGCAGACCUGCAGUACAAGAAUACAUUUGCUUCAUAGCCUUUUUAUGUCAUUUCUAGAGAAUUUCUAAUGCAUGAGCAAUUUGUGGUUCAGGAAAAUGUUGACAGAGAGAUGUCAGUGCUUUCUCUUGUUAAAAGUUCAAAAGCCUAUCCGGGACCGUGCCAGCUUAAAAGUCUUAUUCGAAAGUGGGUACUGUUCAAUUCCAAGGUUUAUAUUUUGACAAGCUUAUUCAAUGAGAAAUUUGACUCUAGGUCACAAAGGUAGAAUUGUGUUAAUCUGAAGAUAAAGAUAAAUUAAUAUCAAGUCAAAAUUCAAACGGACCAAAAAAAAAAAGUGAGAGCUCAUCACAAAUGGUGUUAAAUAAAUACCAGCGGGUAAACUGAUAAGACACAAAGGGUCCAAUCUUGCUAGGAAUGACUAGGUAGGAGUUCAGUGCUUAUCUCACAAGUCAAGCAGCUUAAGCAAUGCUAAAAGUCAUGUUUUCUGAGCUGGCUGAAGAGGCAGUGGACUGUGUGGAGAGAACUAAUUGAAAUAAAGUGAAUAUUUGCAGUUUCCUGGAGUUGUUGUUAUAUCCUGACUGCAGGAGCGCCGAGAAAGAACAACUGCAAAUCAGGCAGCUGCUUCGUUUUGCCAGUUUUCCCAGCAUUUGUCAGAGAAAUAAUGAAGAACCCAGAGUAAAACAUUUCCUUGCAUUGUUUACGUAGAUCAAGCCAGAAUUCUGGGAAGCUUAGAUUUUCUGGGAAUAUUCAAGCUUUGCAGCAGAGCCACUCUUCCUUAAAUUCUAGCCAUGCACACUAUUUAUUGGCCAUUUAAGAAGAUCCUUCCGAUCAUGUUUCACCGUGUCCUUUCUUUGUUUACCUCCUCAUAAGAUAAGUGCCCUGAAAUGGGAGGGACAAGCCAUGCGACAGAUGAGCAUAAGCAGUUGAGACUUAUGUGCUGGAUGUGGCUGGCUUCAGAGCAACAUUCCUUCAUCUGUCUACCUGUUUGCUUGCCUGUGACCCUCAUAGAGCUGCUCUCUGUGCUGUUAGCAGAGAAACUGUUUUUGUAAGUUACUGUGAUGCCACAUUGAAAGAAAGCUGUUGCCAAGGCAAGAACAACCAAAAACCAGGACCCAGAACCCAAAAGUGGCAGACAUGGGAUAGAAGAGUCUCCUGGGAGUAUUUCAUGGCCUUUCAGUAGGACUGAAAAUUACACAAGCUUUCUUUCAGCAAGAGGGGUUGGACUUUUUAUGGUUUUAAGGGCUGUGGUCUUUGUCUCUUCAUGACCUUAGUCAAUCCAUAAAACACUUCCCUAACUUGCUAGAGGAUGAAAUUCUGUAAUUAACAAUUAAUUUAUUUGGCUCAGGCUUGGUUAACCUUUUACCACACAGGUGCAUAUUGCUCAUUAGGUCCUUGCCUUAGGGUAGCUUCUGGUCAGGGAAGGGAGGAGUGAGGCUCCUCUGGACAAGAAGGAAAAGACAUUGUGUUGCUCCAAAGCUUUGGCCUGUGAUUUAUUCUAUUGAUAUUCUAUUAGUUAAGCAUUUUGAUUUUUAAUCAGAAUGUCAGAGGAAAAUAUAUUGGCAAUUUUUCAGUCAUUUAUUCAAAGGCCAAUUGCCAAACACCUAUGCAGUAUUUCCCAACAUUUUACUUAAUGAUUUUAUUAAUUUUGGUGUGCAGGUAAGAGAAAUGAUACUGUGAAUUCUCUAAGGAGGUUUUUCAGUAAUUCCAUUCAUCAGUUAGGGAUGUUCACCUGGAUGCAAAUAACUGCUAGGAUGGCCAGUGUCAAGAUUCUGAAGGCAUAUUAGGAAAUGCUAGAGGUGAUUCUCUGAGAGAAUCAAAGUGAGACAACGUACUGGUACCUGGGAUGAUAUACCACUCCUGCCUUCUUCUCUCCCAUCCCCAGAUCUGCAUGCAUCUCCGUGCCUCUCAACUUGGGACAGAUGUAGCUGUUCUCUCUCUGACAACCAGCUAGAAAGGAUCCGUUGCCUUUUCCCAGUAUCUGUGACACCCUCCCAGGUAUCUUGAAUCUGCCCUGUGGCUUCCUUAGAAACCAGAGUCCUUGGCUAGAGGAGCCUUGUGUUUUGGGGGUCGAGUCCUUCUAGUGUUACUCUUACUCCUUGAAUCCUUGCCACUCCAUGGCAGUUUCCAUUCUGACACCCAGCAGGACUAACUGAAGGUAAUAAUAUCGCCUUUUGAUAGUCAUAUUACCAUGUGGUACUGGCUUGGUUUCAGGUCCACUUGAGUCCACUUCUCAUGUACUAGCCACUAUUGGAGAAAGAAAUUAAUGUUAAUUAUAUGCAGACUUUAGGAAUACAAAAUAAAAUUCAGAUAAUAACUUCUCUGUUAAAGAAAGUAUAAUCUCCUUGGGGAGGCAACAAAUAAAUAAAACUUCUAAUUACUACAAAAGAUUAAAAUGUAGGUAAGAUAAAAAGAACACUUUCUAAAAGUUAUGUGGAGUCAGCAGAACUUGAGGUUUUCCGGUGCUAGGUAGAACUUGGGCAGGCAGCAUAGAAAUAGAAGGACAAUCUAAGCAGAGAGAUACAUGAGCAAGAAAGGCUAGGGAAUCAGAGUCUUUGGAAGUGGGACGUCACUAAGGCAGAAGAAGAUGGUAGGAAGUCCCUCAUCCCAAGAUGAGUUUGAUUUGACCUAAUGGGAAUUGGGAAACCAUUAUGGGUUUCUGAGCUUCAAAUGCAUCGUUUUAAGAAAAUUACUUUUGUUUCAGUAUAUAAGCUCAGUUGUAAAAUAACUUUAAGACGAGAAGAUAAAGAUCAGUUAGUAAUCCAAGCAGCUAAGUGUCCUGAUAGUUGUAGAAGAGGAACGGAUCUGAUGAAUUUGAAAGUUUUUGCAAAAAGGGAAUUGACAGGAGUUAGUGACAAAAUUUAAUUGAUUAAUAAAUUAGUUAUUCCUUUGUGUAUCUCAGCAUUAUACAUUUCUACUAGUAUACUCAUUAAAGAGAUUUUUAUGUUAAUAGCAAAGUUCCUUAGAGAAGCACUUAAGAAUUCUUCCAGUUGAAUAAGGUAGUGAGCUGUUGGAAUUACCACCUUAAGGAUCUUAGCAAACAAGGAGGCACUGACAUCUUCUCUGCCAUCACCAAAAAUAAUAUAGGUAAUCUUUAUAAAGUAUUUGGACAAGUAAAACUCGCUGUCAUUACCUCGCUUGGGAAAGCAGAGGUAUUGGCCAGAUCAGAUAGCACAUUAUUAGGUUAUCCUGAGGGGCAAAUGGGGGAAUAAGUUCAGAGUCAAGUUUUCUAAGAACAGGCAAAAAAGGAACUCCAAAAGAGUUCCUCCAAACCAAAAUAUCAGUCCCUGAGAGAAAAUGGAAGGUGCUGUGAGAAGAUCCAAAGCUUUGUAGUUAAUUUAUUCAUAAGGCACUAAUAUUGCUAAUGUGUAUUGAGUACCUAUUUUGGUGCUGGGGGUUUUAUAUAGACUGUUUGUUUCAUUUAUAAAUAUUAAGCACUAACCAGGUAAUAGCUGAGCAGUGAACAAAUCAGGCAUAGUCUCUGCCUUUGUUAAAUUUAUGGUCUGGUAUAGGAGAGAGGCCUCAAGAGAAUAAUCACACAAAUACUUAUUAGCAAAAUAUAAAUUGUGACCUUUGCAGUGAAGGAAAUGACAGAGUGCAAUAGGGAGUAAAUAAGGACUGCCUAUUGAAACUGACAGAGAAGCCUCCCUGAGUAAAUGACAUUCCAGGGGAAACCGUGGAGUAUGACCAGAAAUUAUCCAAAGACUCUUAGAAAUAUUUUGGGGCAAAAGUGAGGCCAGGGUUUGCAGAGGUAGAGGGCUGGCUGUUGGCAUCCCAAAGAUGUGAUGGACAUCAAGAGACAAGUUUAUUGACAGCUGACUCCUUGAGUGUAGGGCCUAGAGCAAGCUGAUCAUUAAAGACCAGGGGUUGGGUAGGGCCAGAUUCAGUGAGAGGACAGUGAAGGGCAAAGCAGAACACCAUACACUGGGAUUCUUGCAGUAGAAAUUGGGAAUUUCAAACUCAAAAACUUUUUCUCUGCAAAAGAAACAAUCAGUGAGGUGAAUAGAGAGCCUACAGAAUGGGAGCCCAUUAUUACCACACACACAUCAGAUAGAGCACUAAUCUGUAGGAUAUAUAAAGAACUCAAAAAUCUUAACACCAGAAAACAAAUAAUCCAAUCAAUAAAUGGGCCAAGGAACUGAACAAACACUUCUCAGAAGAUGAUAUACAAUCAAUCAACAAAUAUAUGAAAAAAUGUUCAACAUCUCUAGCAAUUAGAGAAAUGCAAAACAAAAGUACUCUUAAGAUUUCAUCUCACUCCAGUCAGAAUGGCAGCUAUUAAGAAUACAGACAACAUGGAGCUGGGGCUGGGGCUGGGGCUCGCAGAAGCGCACUUGCCUGGCAUGUGUGAGGCAUUGGGUUCGAUUCUCAGCACCACAUAUAAAUAAAUGAAAUAAACGUCUAUCAACAACUAAAAAAAAAUUAAAACAAAAAAAAAGAAUACAAAAAAACAGUAAGUGUUGGUGAGGCUGUGGGGAAAAGGGCACACUCUUACAUUGCUAGUGGGACUGCAAAUUGGUGCAGCCAAUCUGGAAAACUGAGAAUGGAACCACCAUUUGACCCAGCUAUCCCACUCCCAAAGGAUUUUAAAACACCAUACUACAGGAACACAGCCACAUCAAUGUUUAUUGCAGCACAAUUUACAAUAGCUAAGCUGUGGAACCAACCUAGAUACCCUUCAUUAGAUGAAUGGAAAAAGAAAAUGUGGCAUAUAUACAUAAUGGAAUAUUACUCGGAAUUAAAAGAGAAUAAAAUCAUGGCAAUUGCAGGUAAAUGGAUGGAGUUGGAGAAUAUAAUGCUAAGUAAGCCAAUCCCCCCAAAACAAAAGCCAAAUGUCUUCUCCAAGGAUGCUGAUUCAUAAUGGGGAUGGGGGUGGAGCAUGGGAGGAAUAGAUGACCUUUAGAUAGGGCAAAGGGGAGGGAGGGGAGGGGAGGAGACAUGCGGGUUGGAAAGACAGUGGAAUGAGAUGGACAUUAUCCCAAGUCCUGUAUGAAAAUGGUAUGAUUCUAUUUCGUGUUCAACUAGAGACAUGAAAAAUUAUACUCUUUUGUGUAAUAUGAAUUGAAUUUCAUUCUGUUGUCAUAUGUAACUAAUUAGAGUAAAUAAAAUUUAAAAAUUUUUUAAAAUCCCUAUCCUCCCAAAGUUAUGGUCUAUUGGUGGGAAAAAUGAACUGAUACAUAAUCAUAUACGGCAGGUAAUGCAUAGAGUUGUAAAGAAGGAAUAGCAACCUUUUUACUCCCUGCGUUGGUCAGCUUUCCAUUAUUGUAACAAAAUGGAAGGAAGGAAGGAAGGGAGGGAGGGAGGGAGGGAGGAAGGAAGGAAGGAAUUGGGAAUUUGGCUAAAGUUUUGGGACAAGGUACAACUGGAACUGUUUUCUCUUUUGAUGGAUUUUAUUAUUGCAUUAUUAAUUAUGCAGAAUGGUGGGUUUCACUGUGGUGUACUGUAUAUGUGUAUAAGGGUAGUUGAUCAAUUUCAGUCUCCAGUAACACCCCUUACCCUCCUGUCCUUCCUUCUCCUACCGACUUCCUCUAUCCUAUUGUUCUGCCUUCUACUUUCUUGACUAAAAUGUCCUCUUAUCACCUGCCCCCCAAAUCUAUAAGCAUGAUGAGCUGAAUGGGAAAGGUGGUAUCUAAUGGCCACAGCAUCACGGCUUCAGAUUUUCAGCUGGAUAAUUGUGGACCACUUCUAGUGAUUUAUCCUGGGAAGACACCUAGCCUUUCUCUGCUUUAAUUUUUUAACCUGUAAAAUGGGGAUAAUGCCACUCUCUUGGGGAUUGUGAAAGGCUCAAACAGGAUAAUGUCUGUAAUGUACUGCAUUCAGUGUCUGACAGACAAUAUAUGCCCUUCCUUCCCAUGUCACCCAUUCUCUUACUAUUCUGCUUGGUUCUUAUUUAUCUGUGCAAUAACCUGAAGAUUUUACUACAUACCUAGUAAAAUGUAUGAGCUUAAUAACUGGCAUUUUCUUUGCUGUUCAUGAGCUCUUCUGAGUCUUUUCUACCUAUUGCUCAAUUUGUAAUUAUGUUUCAUAUUCUUGAGGCUCUGAAGCAAAAUCUCCAGGUUGGGGGGAGGGUGAAGGGAUUGGUAUGUAAAUUUACUCACUCAGACAUAGAAUUUAGGGUGUGCUUAAUUAACAUUUGAUGGAUGAAUGAUUACUAUAUAAUAAUAGAGAUUUGACAGUGAUAAGCAUAGUUAAUUAAUUGCUAAGAUAGUGUACAUUAAAAAAUAAUUUCAAAGCAUUUUUUGGUAAUUUGUGUUUUUAAGUGGUUAGUAAACUAAAUUCUAACCUUUUGCUCUCUGAACAUUCUCUUAGCUAUAUGUCUACCAUGUUUUAAUUAGAAAACUGUUCUGACAGUUCCGGGAAAGGAAACAUUUUUUCUGUUUAAAACAUUUCUAACAUUUCAGCUAAACAAUUUAUCUAGAAUGAUUUUUCCUUUAAAAGGAAUAGUAGACAAUUAGAGGCAUAGUACAGUAAAUUUUCUGCCUUAUGGAUCCAAGCCAAAAGCCAUACAACUUUUGUGCUUUAUAAGCAAUUGCAAACUACAAUGAGUAAAUGGUAUAUUGUAAUAGACUCUGCUUUGAGCUGCCAUUACCAUAGAAGACAUUUCCGGCUUUCUUAGAAGCAUGAGAACAAAAUUGAGAAGGAGGCUCUAUCUGAUUGAAACUAGGAUGCUCCUUGCAUUGUGCCUCACUUUAGGUAAAAUGGCAGUCAUUUUAUUUGGUAUAAAUUUGAAUGGAGAUAUCACUUCUUUUUAGAGUAUAGCCUGCAAAAAAGAAAGAAAGAAAGAAAGAAAAUUGGUAGUAGAUACAUAUGACUAGAAAUGAACCUGUCUGCAUAACCUUAGACACCUCUGAGUCUGAUCAGACCCUGAGACUGUUCUAGAAAUCACAGCGGAAGGUUAGAUUUUCUCAGACCAACAAUGUCUGUGAAAGAUACUGAAACCUCCAGAAUCCAGAAAUGGGGAUAAACCCCAUCCAGAUCAUCCUUAUAUAUACCUAUGUAUGCAUGUAUGUAUAUGCAUAUUGUGUAAAAUGUUGGCUCAAAUAGGCUAGUGGCAAGAAGCUGGCAGAGUAUACUGGUAUUCAGUUAUUUUCCCUUGAUAAUAUCUGAAUGAGAUUAUUUUAUUUGGACUUUAGAAACAAAAGUAUUACUUAACAAUAUUGAAAAUCUCAUAAAUAUAAAUAGUAACAUACAUUUACACAAUUAACUUGAAAUAUUUCAGUCAAUUUCCUAUCUAUAUAAACACCAUGUUGGUCUCUUUCUAGGGACUCAGCAGUAUUUCCCUUUGACAGGAGGAUUUCAAGUAUAUUUUAUUCAAAAAUAUUUAUUGCACGCAAGCAUAUUCCUAAGUACUAUGCAAGGAAUACACACCUAUACUAAAAUGGGCUACUAGGCAUACCUGACUAAAUGGCCACCUGUAGGGAGACAGACAGGAAUCACAUGGUGCCCCCAUAGCCUCCCUCCUCAGAGGAAUCCAGCAGAUGGAAAAGGACAAGCUGUGAUUCGAGGUUGCAGGUCCAGAGAGCUGCCUGCUUCUCUCUGCACUCUCCACACACUUCUGUCAGGAGCAGCAGAUCUAGUUUGGAAACCACUUCACAUGUGGUCCUGGCUUGCAGAAAAAAUGGAAGAAACUUUGCUGCACAGGAUGCCAUCCUGGCUAACUCUACUUCAGAUCCUUCUGGUCAGCCUCACCACACUGGCCACACAACCAAAACACAGAACUUAAUUGUCACCAACUGAAAACCACACCAUUUGUCAUUAUGUAUUUAUCACAAUAUCUUAGGCAGGAGAGAAUGCCAGCAAGAGUACUAGGUAACUAAGUAACUAUAAGACACUAUAUAAUUAGAAUAGGUAACUAGGUAACUAUAAGACACUAUAAAUAAGAAUAGAUACAACAAGAAAUCUGGAUAUACCUGCCCCCCCCCCACACAGACACAUCAAAUGCUGUGAACCUGAUUCUCUAUACUUGCCAAUUAGAUAAUUAGAGUGGUAUAUCUCUAGUCUGGGUAUAUUAAUCUGGAGCAUGGGUGUAUUUUUCUAUUUUCUGUGGCUAUAAGCACUUUUCUUGCACUUUUUUAGCUGUCCAAGACGUCUUUGUAUUACAGAGAACUAAGGAUCUGUUUCUUUUAUGAUUAGGGUAAAAAAGUUCUGUAUGACAUUGUCUUGAGGUCCUAUGGUUUCAAGAGUCUCUGCUGCAUAAUUUCUGUGUUUUGUUAAUGCUAUUAAUACUAAUGCUCCUGAGACUGUGUAUAAAUGGGGCUUACAAGUUGCUUUUGGACCAGCAGCAACAUGGCCUAUAAUUUACCUCUAACCCCUUAAAUAUUAAUUAUGUUUUUAAUUGAUUUUUUUAAAUAAAUGACAGCAGAAUGCAUUACAAUUCAUAGUACAUAUAGAGAGCACAAUUUUUCAUACCUCUAUUUGUAUAUAAAGUAUGUUCACAUCAAUUUGUGUCCUCAUACUUGUACUUUGGAUAAUAAUGUCUAUCACAUUACAAAGCCUGAUUCCUCUACUCACUGGCUAUGUGACUUUGAAUAAAUGACUCAGUUUCUCUGAACCUCACUAAAAUUGGAAUUAUAAUGCUAUCUCAGGGAAUUCUUCAGAGGAUUCAGUGAAACUAAAUGGACUGGCAUCAUGUACACAUUCCACUGCAAAGUCUCUGAGGUGUUUUCAGUAUUGAUAAAAUAAAAUGCUGGGACUGGGGUUGUGGCUCAGUGGUAGAGCAUUUGCCUAGCAUGUGUGAGGCGCUGGGUUCCAUUUUCAGCACCACAUAUAAACAAACAAACAAACAAAUAAAUAAAUGUUUAUAAAGUAUUUUCCAACUUUAAAGAAAAUGUUGUGUUAUUGGAGAAUAGAGAGAUUCCAUUGGUAGGAAUGAGAAAAGAUGAAAAUGCAGCCUUUGAGGCAUAAAAGUAUUCAAGAGGAAAAUGAUAAUGGCUGUCACAUACAUGUCACAUAUUCAUUCUAUGCCAAGCAUUUUUUAAAAAGGUAUAUGUACGUUUAUUUAAAUGAUCACUUAAAUACUGCAGUAACUCCAUGGAAUAAAUAUACCUAUUAUUGAAAUUUUAUAGAUGGGGAAGGGCCUUGCCCAAAAUCACAUGACUAAUAAGUCACAGGAUUUGAACCCGGGCAGUCUGGCUAUCAAGUCAGUCUUGCAGCAUGAUGUCAGCAGAGCCCUGUGUGUAGGCAGAGGAGGAGGUGGAUAUAGUCUCCGAGAAGAUGUGUAACAGGGUAAAGGGAACUAUGGGGACUUUGAGAGGAAUCGAGGAAAAGCUUAAUGGGAAGACCCUGACCAGCAUGUUUAACACUGAAAGUAAAAACAAUACUCACUUAACCACUUUAAAUCCUUUUUUAGAAAAUAGAUCUUGGGUAACUUAUAAAUAAAUAAAAAUCACCAUGAGUUUUUUUCGUUUGUUUGUUUUUAGGAACAUUAGAGAUUUGGUCUUUUGUGGUUCAAAUGGCUGUAGGGAAAGCAUUUUCACCCUGAAACUGGGUUGUAUUCACUCACAGACACCAAGAAAGCAGGGGAGCCAAGAAGCAGCUGUGGAUGAUGGAGGGGAACAAAUGAGAAGAAGAGUAUGUUGAAACCUAGGGGUUGGAAGGGAGCACAUUUUUAGAAACUAGAAAUCAAAAUUCACUAGCUGGUAAAGGCCAGCACAACAGAGGUAAUGCCGAAAAUGUUUGGAGAUGAGCUGAGGAGAGCCUCAGACAGGAAGCAUCUUAUGUACUAGACCAGGAGCCCAAAUUAGUUCCCAGCAUAAAGUCAUCCUGCUCAAGCCUUCGAGGAGAGUGCUCACCCAGACUGGCAGGUACUGUCAGCCAAGGAGAAGACCUGUAGCUUGUAGUGAAAGGAACAAAGGACCUGCAUCACAGGGGUCAAAAUGAGCCUGGCUGUGGAAGAGGGUGGACCCAGGAGAAAGGAAAGGGAACCCCAGCUUACUGGCCAGAGAGACCUGUGAUGACCAGACAGAGGAAGUACUGGAAGGGCCCGCUUCUCAGCAUCCAUGGGAGUCUCAGAUUACCUGUUCAUUGCCUUCAACUAAAUGUAUUCCUGCUCCUGAGUUCAAGGCCUGGCAUAGAGCUUCAGUGGUGCUUAUCCCUUAGCUGGGAUUCCCCAUGCAGUGAUAAUCUCAGCAGAGGACCUUACAGAUGUCUCCCAUGGGAGAUGUAACCUACAGGCACACCAAUUCCAUAACUUCACUCCAUAGCUAACCAAGAUAUUAAACCAUCUUUGAUUCUUCUCGCACCUUUAUACUCCAGGAAACUCUAGGGUUGAGACCACUUCAUUUCCUAAACACUAUUUCUAUGGUUCAAAAAGCGAGAGAGCAGGCGUCCAUAGAACCCUGCUGUGUGCUAGGUGCUUUAGAUCUCUUUUAUGUAGAUAAAAUUAUGUCCAUUUUGUAAAUAUGGAAACUGAAGUGUGAAGACUGUGUACCUGAGCUGUUAAGCGCUCCCUACCCAGGUCAGUCUGAUUCUCUCAAGCUCUUUCUUCUGUCUGCAUUGCUUUGUUCAGCAGUUUGCUCCAGGAUCUGCCUCUAGAUGAAUUUCCUAACCCCAGAACUAACUAACCUCCACUAGCCGUCUUCCACACUCAUGCUAGAGGGAACUUUCUUAAAUACACACAGUGUAUUCUCUCACGGAAGGAUGGCUAGGGCUAGCCAUUCCUAAAAAGGUAAAGUUAGCAGGCUAUGCAGCCUUUACUUAUUUCCCCAGCCUCCUUUUCUAACAUUCAGGCCCCAUUUCCAAUACCACCACACAGACCAACACACCAAGGUCUUGAUCCUGAAGAUGUCACAGGAUCAGCACUCAGCAUUCAUGAGCAGGGGAUAUCUCUGAGGUAGGGGUUUGGAGAUGGGGAAUCUGAGCCACAAAGGCCUGGAAUAAACCCUGAGAACUGAGCCAAUGAGUGCAAGCAUAUGGCUGCAGGGAGCACAGACGGAAAGGGUGUGUGGAGGCACAGGGAGGAAGGCCAGCAGUCAGGUCUUUCACUGAAGUGAGUGGCCUUAAGAGCCCCAUUUGGGCUCUGACACCUGCCUGGCACUGCCUAGCCGGGCUGACCUAGUCCUGCUUCCCUACGAGUAUCCAUAGUUCCAUAUUUCCAUCUCUUCACCCAUGCUCUCUAGCAUCUAGGGCCUUUUGUCACCUGGAAAGAUCCCACCACUCUCCAGGCUCAUGUAUCAUUGUCACCUCCUCUGCGAAGCCUUUCAGACUCCUUCUAGGUAGUGUUAAAAUGCUGCUGGAUGGUUUCCAAACAGAAAGGAGAGAACCUUCUGGUAAGGGAGAGGCCUGACUGGAGAGUGAGAAGCAGGUAGGGAACGUGCUCCACACAGGGCUCUCAGGUGUUUGCUCAUUCUGCUGCUAUAGCAUCAGCCUCUUUGUAUGGUGACUAGUUUUAUAAAUAGAGAGAUGUCCUCAGGUCCUUCAACCCCAACAGAUGGCAAGCCUUUUGCACUGCAUCCCAAAGAGCUACUGGUUAUUUCUGGGAGUCUCAAAGGAAUAAACCAAGGUUACCAUGUAACUUCAGCUCUCUGACUCCAGAAGUCCCUUGUCCAUGUCCAUUGCCAUAAACCCUUUACAGAUGUCACAGCACUCCCUUAUCAGGAACAGAAGACAGCAACUAUCUGAGGCUGCAGCCUCUCAGUAAUCCCAAAUUCUUGUUCUCUUAAGCACCAAAGCUAGACUCGGCUUUGUGCAGAUGGUGAGAAUUAGGGAUGCAACCUCUAGAUCUCAAACUCUCUUCCAUCUGACCAUGAACCACAUCCAGAUGAGAACCUCUUUGCCCUCCUGCACAAGGGACUCACAUCUAGUCUGUAAGCCUGAAUUGGGGAAAGACUCUGCAUUUCACUCCAUCUCAAACCCAUCCUUACUAAAAUUCUCUUCCCUUCUGUUAUAGAAACAAAGUUCUUGUGUACAUGAGUGAGUGAAUUACAUCUGUCAAGAGUUAGUAGGCCAACUCUAUCUUUAGGUAUCUAGCUUAUAGAAAUGGAAAUAUAUGGGGUACCAAAGGACUUUUACAGGAAUAGUCAUUACAACCUAAUUUAUAAUAGCUAAAGAUUGGAAAUACUCCAAACUUCCAUCAAUAACAGACGGAUAAAUGAAAUGUCAUAUAGUCACACAUGGGAAUAGCACAUGGCAAUGGAACAAAUACACUAUUGCUGCAUGCAACAAUGCAGACCAGUCAGACAUACAUAUGGCUGAGCAAAAGAAGCCAGCCACAAAAGAGGAUGCACUGUGUGGUUCCACUAUAUGCUCUUUACAAAGGACAAAUACUCAAUAGUGGUAGGAGUCAGUUUAGUAGUCCCACUUGGGGAGGAGAGAACAGAAAGGCUCUUGUAGGUUUUUGGUGUAGGAAGAACCGUGACUUUGGGGGUGAACAUUAUGACUAAAGCUUGGGUCUUCUGCCUGGGUAAGGAUCUCUAACCCAUUCAGAAAUGGUCAGAUGGACAUUAGAUAUAGAGUAUAUCUUUACAAACCAUCCCUUCAAAGCCCGUGGCAGGACAUUAGAGGGGACACGGAAAAAGACACUUUCAGUAGCUUGGUUUCCACUCUAUUCAUUGGAAGGAACCUAGUGAUUGAGUCUAUAAGUAAAAUUCCAAGGGACUAUAGUGUGCAUUUAGAUUGGGGCUCUUAUGGCAGCAAUACUACAGCUGAGUAAGAAGAAAACCUGCUGUCAUAACAGGUCAAAGGAAGUUUCCAUCUGGACCUUUCCUUUAUGUGGCUGUGUUAAACACCAUCAUUCCAAAUGAAUUUGAACCUGGAUGUUAUCUCAUUACUCUUUAUAUGUGGCUCAAUAUUUCUUUUAGUAAUCUAUGCUUGUGAAGCACUUAUAAACAGAUCUUGGCCUAUUUUCAAGGAUGGGAGAUAUAACACACCAAUUAACUAGGAAGAGUUGAAUUUAGGGUGGUUUUAUUUCACCAUGCAAAAUGUGCAAGCUGCAUCUCAACCUAGCUGGCUAUUGCAAAUUCCAGUACCAGAAUCACAUUAUUCCCACAGAGGAUCCUCUGGCUGUCAGGAGAUUCUCAGCAAACAACAACAACAACAAAAAGCAUUAAGCUGCUUCUUCCUAAUUAUGUCUCUCUCUAAAUAUCUAAUUAUCAUUGAGAACAAAUUGCAUGUUACAGAGAUAAUAUUGUGGGGAAGCGUUAAUCUGUUGGGCUUCUGUUUUUGAAUUCCUGAGUCGGUGCUGCAGCUGCUGGAGCAAAAAAUUUUGCCACCUGGACACUUCAUUAUGAUUUCAUAUUUAAAUAAAAAACUGCUGAAAACAGGUUCUAUUUAUUGGGCUUGCCUUCUUCAGGCAUUCCAUGCUUAAGUAUGUAUCACAUGUGCAGGUUUUCCCAGUUUCCCAGGAAGCUGGGAAUAGUGAAUAAUUGAGCACUUAGAAGGACAGAAUUACAAGGGAUCAAUGGGAAUAGAAUAAUACUAAUAAGGUGAUAGUGGAAUUGACUUUGCUAAUUAUUCUUUUAUCCAUGCUCAAAGGUCUGCAGCAUUUUUUUAUCAUAUUCCUCAGCAACUACAUGGGAUUCCCUUAAUAAAUGCUGAUCCAAAAAAUACACAUUCCCAAAUACUACCUGAUAAUUGCACCUACCGUAAUAUGCUUAAGGCUAAUUAACAUUCAAUUUUCACUUUGGAGAAUAGAAAUUACCAGGUACUUAUCCUAUAAUUACAUCUUUGUGCACUCCCAAUUGUAAUCCAUGGCUUUUGCUGUAUAAUUAAGUGAUGAACAGUGACUGUACAAGUAGAGAGUACUUAUGUGAAAUGUGCAUCUUAUCCAUAAAUAAAUAAAUAAAUAAAUGGAUUCAAAGAAUCAGACCUUUUUGAAAUUUCAUUUUUCUCAAGGAGAUUAUAUAGCAUGUCAAGAAUUUACAAUAAUAUCCUUAGUUCUCCAGAACUAGGAAGAAAAUGGUACUGCCCUACUGUCUAGAAGAUGCCUGCCAUGGUCUGUCUCACCACCAGGAAGGAGUUGUACCUCCUCACUCCUUUUUCCUGGUUGUGCAUCAAAAUAACAAGGCCUUGCAAUUCAUCCACUAAAAACCACCUAUCUCUAAGCUAUUACAUCUAGUAGUUUUGUGUCAGACGCUUUGUAUAAGAAUUCAUUUUUUUAAAAUGUUACUUUCUAAUCUCAGUGUUCUUGUAAAUUCAUUGGAGAAAGUUCUAAAAACACUGUCAAAAACAGAAAAAAUAUAUAAUUCACUUGUAAUUCCAUGUCAGUGUUAGCUUUUUACUAUGCUUGCUUCCAGUCUCUCUUAUAAUGGCUCUCGUGCCCACACACGCACGUGCACACACAUACACAGACACACACACAUUCAUGUAUACAUACAUACAUAUAUACAUACUCAUAUAGAUUGCAACUUGCUUUUUGAUUAUUUUACUAGUAAUUACAGUACACUUUAUUUUUUCCAUAUUUUUGUUGGAGCAUUAUAGUUGUACGUGUGGUAGGAUUUGUUGUUAGAUAUUCAUAUAUGCUCACAAUCUAACAAUAUAAUUUGGCCAGUAUCAUUCCCCAGUAUUUCCCUUUCCCUGCCCCUGGUCCCUUUCCUCUGUUCCACUGCUCUUCCUUGGAGUUGCAUGAGACUCCCACAUCACCUUUAUUUUCCUUUUUCUUCUGCAGUAUCCUCAUAUGAGAGAAAACAUACGACCCUUGAUCUUCUGAGUUUGGGUUAUUUCACUUAUUAUAAUGUCCUCAAGUUCUAUCCAUCUUUCUGCAAAUGACAUAAGUCCAUUUUUAUUUAUGGCUGAAUAAAACUCUCUCUCACACACACACACACUCACUCACAUAUCACAUUUUCUUUAUCUCUUCAUUCACUGAUGGACACCUAGGCUGGUUCCAUAGUUGGGUUGUUGUGAAUGGUGCUACUUUUCACAGAGGUAUGCAUGUACUGCUCUAUGAUGCUGGCUUUAAUUCUUUAGGAUAAAUACCAAAGAGUGGUAUCGCUGGAUUAUGUGGUAGUUGCCUGUCUACUCUUUUGAGGAACCUCCAUACUGAUUUCCAUAGUGGUUGUACUAAUUUACAAUCCCACCAACAGUGUAAAAAUGUUACUUUUUCUCCACACCCUCUCCAGCAUUUAUUAUUGUUUGUAUUCUUUAUGGCUGCCAUUCUGACUGGAAUGAGAUGAAAUCUCAGUAUAACUUUGAUUUUCAUUUCCCUAAUUGCUCACAAUGUUGAACAUUUUUUCAUAUAUUUGUUAGCUGUAUUGUUUAUCUUCAAAUGAACUGUUUAGUUCAUUUGCCCAUUUAUCUAUUAGGUUAUUUAUUUAUUUGUUAGAUUUUUCUGAGUUCUUUAUAUAUUCUGGAUAUUAAUCCUCUGUCAGAAAAGUAGCUAGAAAAGACUUUUCUCCCAUUCUGUUGGUUCUCUAUUCACAUUCUUAAUUCUUCCCUUUGAUGAGCAAAAGCUUUUAAUUUGAUGCCAUCCGUGUAUUAACUCUUGUCAUUAUUUCCUGUGCUUCAGGGUCCUGUUGAGAAAGUUGUUGUCUUUAUCUAUAUGCUGGAGUGUUGACUCUAUGUUUUCUAGGAUUUACAUAAUUUAUGAUGUAAUUCCUAGGUCUUUGAAUUGAUUUUUGUGCAUAGUGAGUGUUACAGGACUAGUCUCACUCUUCUAGAUAUAAACUACCAGUUUUCCUAGCAUCAUUUGUUUAAAAAGGCUAUCUUUUCUCCAGAGUAUAUUUUGGUACCUUUGUUAAGUAUCAUUAUGACAGUAGAUGAAUGGGUUUGUCUCUGUGUCUUCAGUUUUGUUCCGCUGGUCUGUGUGUCUGUUUUUAUGCCAGUACCAUGCAGUUUUUGUUGCUAUAGCUCUGUAGUAUAAUUUGAAGUCAGGUAUUGUGAUGCCUCUAGCAUUGUUUUUGUUUUUUGUUUGUUUUGUUUGGGUUUGUUGUUGUUGUUGUUGUUUUUGGCUUAGAAUUGCUUCGGCUACUGUGGGUCUCUUAUUCUUCCAAAUGAGUUUUAGGACUUUUUUCUAGUUUUGUGAAUAAUAUUUUUGGUAUUUUGAUGGGAACUGCAUUAAAUCUAUAUAUUGCUUUUGGUGGUUUGGCCAUUUUUAAAAAUAGUAAUUCUGCCAUUCCAUGAACAUGAGAGGUCUUUUCAUCUCCUUGUUUCUUUUUCAAUUUCUUUCUUCAAUGUUCUAUAGCUUUUAUUGUAGAGGUCUUUCAGCUCCUUGGUUAAUUUUGUACUUGGCUUGUUUGUUGUUGUUUUUGUUGUUGUUUUAAGGCUAUUCUGAAUUGUAUUGUUUUCCUGAUUUCUUUCUCAGAAGAUUCAUUAUUGGUUUAUAGGAAAGCUACUUAUUUUGUACCCUGAUUUCAUAACUUACUACUUCACUGAAUUUGUUUAUUAGCUCUAGAAAUGUUUUGGUUGGUUGGUUGGUUUCUGCAAACAGUAAUAAUUUGACUUCUUCCUUCUCUAUUUUUAUCCCUUUUAUUUCCUUCUCUUGCCUAAUUGUUCUGGCUAGAAUUUCUAGUACUGAAACAUCUACAAAUUAAAUACACGAUAAAGGCUAUAUAUAAUAUAAGAGUGGACAUCCUUGUCUUGUUCCAGAUUUUAAAGGAAAUGCUUUCAGUUUUCCCCGUUUACCAUGAUAUUGGCUUUGGUUUCUUUGUAUAUAGCCUUUAUCGAGUUGAGGUAGGUUCCUUCUAUCCCUAGCUUUUUCAGUAUUUUUAAUGGAUUCUGAAUUUUGUCAGAAUCUUUCUCUGCAGUAACCUGCUUUUUAAAAGCAAUAUAUUACGAACAUUCUAAUGAAAUAUUUUUCCUUUUAUUUCCUAUGACCCCAUUAUAUACUGUAAUAUUGAUAAUCCUUAAAUUAUUUAUUCAUUAUUUUCUUUCAUUUCUUAUUGGUAAAUUAUAAUUAUAUGUAUAGUGGGAUUUAUUGUGCCAUAUUCAUACAUGCAUGUAAUUUGCUUGGCCUUCUUCCCCACCAUUUUUAAAGGUCACUUAGGUCAUUUAGGAUUUAGAAAAUCCUUGUGAAGGAUUUUCUAAAAGAGUUUUCAUGAAAGCAUAUUAAAGAUCAUCCAUUCCAAAAACUUACUUUGUGGCAAUUUCGGUGCCUGAGUUGUCUUCUGGAUUCACAGCCCACUGGAGGCAGUAUUUGUCACUUUAAUUGUUGUGGACUGGUGAGAAAGGGCGGCAUCUACUUUAUAAGUAAAUGAUUAUGUGCUUGACCUUAUCAGGUGAGUGACACCAGAAGUCCUCAUGGUGUGCAGGACAAAGGCAAGCUCAAAUAGAGGGAAGGGUGUCAGCGCGGAGCAUUACAUGGCAGUAGCAGGGAAUCAUCAACUCCCAAGCCUCCAUGUGGUUGGUAUCAAAUUCACAUAAACCAGCAGCAAUCAAGGUUCACAUAAAUAUCAUCAGUCGCCCUAAAUUAAUUUUGUUGAUUGAAUUUUGUUUUGUAAAUAUUGUAUUUAAUUUGUAGAUGUUUUACAUUUGUUUGGGUUGUAUAAGCACCAUAAUUUAUACAGUCAGUAUGUAAUUUCAUAUUUUUACACAUUUAAGUAACACUAAAAGUAAUUUUAAGUCAACACUGUGGGGGUAAGAAUUUUUUCUUUUAAAAUGGAUCCAUACAUUUUCUCAACUGGGGUAGUACUAUUCUCAUAGCUAUAUCAUUACGCAUAGCAUUAGAAUAAAUUAUUUCCUUAGAGAAAUUUCUCAAACAGAAAAUUACUGUCAAAUGUUAUAAACAUUCUAGGCUUUUGAUGUUGUCAAAUUUGAGUACAGAUUUCUCAAGUUACUUUUUUUCCCUUUAGUUUGGUCUUCAUUUUUAAUACUUUCCACAAUACCUAUUGAUUUUAGUUUGACAAAUAACAGACAUUGUCAUUGCCUGCAAAUGUGUUAGGGAUGCAGAAUCAUGGACACUAUCCCAGACCUACUGCAUCAGAAUCUGCAUUUUAACAAGAUCCCCAGGUGGUCUAAGCACAUAUUCUUUUUUGAGACCAACUAUUAUAAGAAUCAGACCCAGAGCUAGAUUGCCUCUCCUCCGCAUGCUCACAGUAAAAUCACCUCAAUCCAGCAUGUGUGUUCUAGUGUGUGGAGACCACUGUCACAAAACACCAUGAACUGAAUGACUUAUGAACAAGAGAAAUGUGCUUCUUACAGCUCUGCAGUCCAAGAUCAAAGUACCAGAACACAGCUUGUGGUGAGCGCCAGUGUCCCUAUUUCAUGGGGGGAUGAUGGGGGGAUGACUUCUCACUGCGUCCUCACAUGAUGGAAGAGGCAAGACAGUUCUCUGAGCCUCUUUUGUCGGGGUACAAAUCUCAUUCUUGAGGGCUCUGUCCCUGUGACCUAUCACCUCCCACAGACCCUACCUCCUCAUACCAUCACCUUGGUGGGAGGUUUCAACAUAUGAAGUUGGGGGACACGAACAUCCAAGCUGUAAUUGUGUUUGGAAUAGCACUCAUUUUUUUUCUCCACCAUACAAGGUUCUUUUUUCCAGUCUCUUUUGUCUAUCACUCUCUCACAUAAAGCAGAACACUUCCUCUGUCCUACACCCCAUGUCUAAUUUACCUCCAAGUUGACCAAGCUCUCAUCCUCUUUCCUCCUCCCUCUCUCUCUCCACUGCCACCAUCCUUGUUGAAGCUACCAGUGUUUAUUACCUGGACAUUGUGCAGAAUCUUCCUAACUGGUCCCUUCUUCCAUCCUUAGCCCCCUCCAAUUUAUUUUACAAAAUAAACAGUGGAAAAGAGUUAUCUUUUAGGUAGAAAUGCUGGAUCCUGUCACCAUCUUACUUAAAACGUGCCAAUGACCUUUCAUUGCUCUCAUGAUAAAGAUGGAAACUUGUGAUGUUCUCUUGUGAAAUCUCACUUCUGCCUGCCUCUUGAACUUGUCCCAUGCCAUAUUCUAUUCCUUCCUUUCUUUCUUUCUUUCUUUCUUUCUUUCUUUCUGAUAACCACUCUUUAUUAGCAAAGAAAAGAGAAUAAAGCAAAAAUUAUUUUUCUUUUUUUUCUACAAGAAAGGUAGAGUAUACUACAUAAAGAUAAUCCAGAACUUCCCCAUAAGGACAGUAAGACAAGUCCAACAAUGGAUAAAUGCUCACUUUUUAAUGGCAUAUCAAUCUCAGGACUGCUGUGAAGUUAUAUAAAAAUUAAGCCUACCUGCAUAUUAGAGACCUAUUUCCCUCACUCGUGGCCAUAUUCUCUCAGGUAGCAAUCCUCUCAACUUUGCUCUCUCCUCACCUUGCAACUUACCUAAUCAACUCCUCUUCUUCCUUAGAUCCUGGUCAAUCAUUUCUUCUUCAUGGGAUUUUUCCUGGCCUUCCAAAUUAGAUCCAUUCCUCCUUUUCUUCUUUUUCUUUUUUUUUUUUUUGAAUUUGUUUUAUAUGACAGCAGAAUGCAUUACAAUCCAUAUUACACUCAUAGAGCACAAUUUUUCAUACUCUAGUUGCACACAAAGUAGAGUGUCACCAUUCAUGUCUUCAUAUAUGUACCUAGGUUAAUGAUGUCCCUCUCAUUUAGAUCCAUUCCUCUUAUUCUGUGAUGCAUAUUUGUCACAGGUGUAACUCAGUGUUGGUUUUCUCUUUUGGUAUAUUUGAUUCUUUGAUUAAUAUCUGACUUCCCCAUGAGAGAAUAAACUCUAAAAGGGCAGGGACCAUGCACGUUUUCCUUUUCUUCCUAUGACAGUCCAACAGGUAGGGCCUGGUGGAUGAGAGGUGAUUUCCUGCAGGUACUUACCUCUCUAACUCUGUUCAUUAGUGAUUCUAACAUGUGGAAUGGGAAUGCUCUUUACUGUCACAUAGCUAAAUAAUACCUAAUUUUUAAGACUGAACUAAAAUUACUUCUCCUUCAUAUGGUCCUCUCAGCUUAAGUUCUCUUUACAUCUUUAUAUGGUAUUUAUUACCCUCUACCAAAAUUAUUACUAUACUUUUUUCUCAAUGUUAAUUGGUAUACGUAACCAAUUAACUUACUGGAAAAGUUAAACAUGUUUAAUUUCACUCACUCAAUUUAGUUUCAGCCAACUGAAGCACUCCAUCAAGUGACUCAUGGAUUUAGGUUUCUUAUAAGUUAUGUCAUUGUCCUAGCAUGUUACUGACAAGGGUGCAUCAGAGCAUGGAAAUCUCUCACAAUCUCUUGAAAGCUCUGGCCCACAAAUGGCAUGUCACUUCUGCUGACUUUUCAUUAGCUGAAACUAAUAAUGUGACCCCCCCCCCAAAUGAAUGGCUCAAAGGAGUAUGGUCUUCCCAUAUGCCCAGGAAGGUGCAUAGAACCAGACGAGUGAAAAAAUAGUAAUCUCUACCAUGCUAUAAACCCUUGAAAGAGGAUAAGGUUUAAAUCUCAUUCACCAUUACACUGAUGUAUUCAACCUUUCACAUAUUUGGCAAUUAACACAAAUUGCUGGUUCCAUGGGUAGUUGAAGAAUUCACAUGAUUAAUAAAAGGGGGGAGGUGAAACAAAAAUCAGAAGAAAAAAAAAAAAACAGAAAAGCAGCCCUAGCAGACCACCUCUCUUUCACAACCCUUUGCUAUUUGCUUCAGUUGCUGACACACAUCUGGGCAAUUCUAAGAAAGCUGAUCAACAGUCCGCUGACCCCACUAAAACAAGUUGUAAUAUUGCCAAUUCCUAUGCUGCAAUAUUUAAAAAAAAAUGUCUACAUGCUAGAUAGUGUGUGAGGUAUCAUCUACUGUGAUAGUUCUACAGUACGACAUUCUUAGCUCAGAGCUUGUGUGUCUUGAUCUGGACCACCCAACUCCUGACCACCUGCCUCAGGAUGUGGAUUUAGAUCUUUCUGAUUUUAUAAUCUAUGCUCUUACCAUCACACCAUACUGCAGUUCAUGAAACUCCUGGAUUUAACAAUCCUGAGAAUGAGUACAUGUAAGCGUGUAAUUAACCUACCCAUUGUGAUCCCAUGACCAGAAGGAAGGGCACACUUGUAGAAUUUUGCCAAGACUAUAUCCAUAUUCUAAAGAAUUUUGCCAAGACUAUAUCCAUAUUCUAAAGAAUAUCCGUGCAUUUAAUUAAAUUGGUUACAUAUUCUAAAGCCAAGGUGAUAGUCUCAUGAUGGGUAAUGUUAUUUGGAUAAUGUGUUUCUGGUGUGUGGGACCCAAGGUGUAGGAGGGCGAGUUUCUAGCUGGAACAAUGACCACAAAGUCCCUUGUCAUUUCUUCCUUUGAUAUAUAUACUCAUCUUGUGUUUCACAAAUAAGAGCAGCUUCUGGCUUUAUGCUUAGCUUUGUGUUUAUUUAACACAUUAAAUCAUGGAGGUCCCAUCACAGGAAAGUCAAAGAAGCCCUCGGAAGUCCUUUUAUCAUUUUCUGUGCACCCAGAUCACUGAAGGUGGUAGACUAUUGAGCUCACGGGACAAAGUGGCAGUCUGUGUAAUAUUAACAAUGUGGAACCUAUUAAGUACAGAAUGAGGAAUUGAAAGAUCUCAUUUUUCACCAGCUCUAAUACAGCUAAUUUUUAAAACUGUUUAUGGAACACAGAGACAUUUGAUUGAGCACUUGGUAGUAAGAAUCUUUCUCUACCCCUCUCAUUCAUCAUCUGUAUUCGCCGUAUCUUUGUUAAAAUUUGCAGUAAUGGUGCCAUAUAAAGGGCCUUUAUGUGACUCACAGUGCCUAUAAAAUAAUGUUUUUUCCCCUCAAAUCAUCUUUUCAAGAUUGCUGUUGCUUGUUAUUUCACAUUAUUUUUUUCAAGUGCACUAAGUUUACCUGCUACUGGAAAAGAUUAUUUAGAGAAAUGUACACUCUCUAUUUCCUUUAAUAGCUAGUGUUAUGAUAUGUUUGAUAGUUCAUGAAGGACACUGUCAGGUUUGGAGAAUGAGCCAAUAAACUUUAGGUGCUAAGAAAUAUAGCCCCAUAAUGAUGCCUACUCAUAUGCAGAGAUAUUUUAUCAGCUUAAUGGUACCUUUUAGUGUCUGACACCUUUGGUUUACAGGUUUGCUCAAUGGCCUGUUUGCCUCUGUGCCAAAUUAGUGUUGAGGGAGGUUUCUGAUGAGAAGAAUAUUCAGUGUAGGCAUUAGAGUUAUGGCCAUCAAAUUGGAGGUGGUCACUCUGGUUUAAUCUCAGUUGGUACCUUUUAUUGCUGAUGCCGACUGGGACUCGUGAAAUGCCCACAAACUCUUGUUUGGCUUUAAAGGUGCUAAUCAAGGUGUGUGGGCAGGUGAGGAUAGUGAGGAUACCGUCUACCUAUAGCAUUAACGGGCAUCUUCUUUUGUAAAAUGUGUUCUCUCUGCCCCAUAAAAAACAAGUCAUAUUUUCCUCUUCUUUUAAACACAUUGUUUUCAUGGCAAACGAAAGCUUGUGAUCUGUGAAGAAGCAUCCAUCAUUAUAUUCAAAACCUGAGUGGCAGAGGAAGGAAAUUAAGAGUGAGGAUAUGCACAGAAGGAAAACAUCAGGUCAGGAAGCAGAGGGCAAGGGGUAAUGUUCUGGAUAAAGUCUGAUUGUUAUCUCUAACCCGCCUAAGCCCGUGAACUUCAUCCAAGGACAGACUUGGGUCUGGGCUUGCUGGCUUUUUCUCUUUAGAAAUACAGAGUUUGGCUAAAGAAUGGGAUGUCUCAUUAUCUCAUGUAAAUACUUCAUGUGGACAAUACAGCAAGAUAAGUUGUACAUACAAUGAUGCACGUGUGAUGCACACCCAUGUUUACAGCAGCAUAAUUCACAACAGCCAAACUCUGGACAGCCAGGUGUCCAUCAACAGAUGACUGGAUACACAAUGGAGUUUUAUUCAGUCAUAAAGAAGAAUGAAUUUAUGUCAUUUGGAGGAAAAUGAAUAGAACCAGAGACCAUUAUGUUAAUCGAAAUAAGUCAAACUCAGAAGGUCGAGAGUCCUGUGUUUUCUCUCAUAUGCAGAAGCCAGAGAGGAAAAAGGAAAAGAAGGGUGAAGGUGGAUCUCAUGAAAUUGAAAGGGAGAGCAAUAGAGGAAAGGAAUCAAAGGGUAGGAUGAAGGGAGGGAGGGGGAAAUACUGGGGAGUGAUACUGGGCAAAUUAUAUUGUCAUACCAUGUGCAAGUACGAAUAUGUAGCAAUAAAUCCCAUGUGUAUGUACAACUGUAAUGCACCAAUGAAAAGGUGGGAAAAUAAUAAUUUAAAGAAAUAGAAUUAUGUGUGUUUGGAGCAAUCGGCUGACUACCAAGGCGAGUUGCUGCGGGUCUCCUUUCGGGCGUUCCUCUGUCCUUGAUCCAUUCAGUAGACAUUAUUCUCCACUUUCUUUUCUUUUAAAAUGCAUCUCCCACUUGAAUCAAAGUGUGGAAUAUGAUAUGUCAAGAAAUUUGUAAUGUUUUGAACAACCCACAAUAAAAAAUUUAAAAAAAUAAAAUAAAAUAAAAUAAAAUGCAUCUCCUCCAAGUACUAUAAGAUCAUUCAGUGACUUGUUUUAGAGAAUUUGUCUCCUCAAAUGGACAGGAACUUUCAAAUAUCACAAGAAAGGGAAGUAGCCUCAGUGUUCUCUGGCGAUUAGAUGAUGUGACUGUGGAUCAUGUAACUUAGGUAAGCUAAUAAAACUGUUCUUCCUCAGUAAGACCCAUGUGACUUUGUUGCAUCGACCAGUUAACCUUGCAUACUCUAAAUAUGCUACAGUGCAAGUGGCCAUUAUUAAUUCAGCUUGUCAACUCAUCACGAAUGAGUGGUGCCGCGGCUCACACACUCACUCACUGAGUGACAGAUGCAGGCCAAGCAAAGCAAGUCCAGCUUGAGGGCACUCAGGAAUCAAGAGCAUGUUCAUGUGGACGGGAGUAAACAUCCACUGUGUUGGCUGAACCCCAGAUAGGUUUUGGUUUUGUUUUCUUCUGCUGUACUCACUCCAUUUAUUCUAAAAUAGGGCUUUGGGAGCUUUUUCCUUUUUUCUCUCAAAAGAAUAUUUCUGAAAUUUCAUGGAAUUGCAAAGGUGGUUUGGUUUUCGUUAAAGCAAAAUCUGAUGGCUUUCGUCUUACAGAGUUGCCAGACAGCAAUGGCAGUGAGUUGACUAUUUCCUGCUGAAGGAACAUGGUAAACUUCUGCGUAACUCUGUACCCAGUAAAGGGGGAUUUACAUUUCUAAAAGUGUAAUGUAAAAAACUUCUUGAAUUUCUCUUUGUAGUUUAUAUGUCUGUUAGAAAACUUUCUGUCCUGGGGAGCUACCAGUAUUUUCAAUAUGUGUAGUCAGUUCUUAACUUUCAUGUGAUACUGCUUUCCUUGUUGUCUUGGAACAAGAAUAGUGAAUUCAGGACAUUUCAUGCUGAUAAUAUGUUUUUGGUCAGACCUGUGGACUCUGAAAGCAGCAUGACAAGUCCAUCAUUUAGAUCAUUCUGUGUAUGUUUGUGGAUAUUACAGAGAACCUAAUCCCCUCAAGCCACCUGUAUUAAACAGCACUUAUAUAUUAUGUAACAAAUUUCAAUUUUGAUUCAAAUCAUUCAUAAUCAGGAACUAUUUACUCUAGACAGAGAACCUUCAGAUGAUUGGGAACAGAUAAGAACAGCUGUUUCACCAGCCUGUUGUGCCCCUGUGCUUGUGAUUGUAAACUCUAAUUAUAUUUGUACUAUAUUAUAAUGAAGUGCUCUAAUUAAAUAUUUCAUAAACUGAUAAAAUGUUAGCUCAUAAGUUGUUUCUAUUAAAAUCAUAUUAAUACUUUAGAAAAAUUGAGAUAAGUUGCUUUUUAAAAUUGCCAUUGAAUUCUCUCAGGAAACACAGAUGGAAACCUAGGGAAGAGAGGGUUUCAGGAGGAGGCCAUGUUUCACUGGGUGUCAGCACUUCAAGAACAGGAAGAUAAAGAACAUGAAAAGACCGCAGGCUAGGCAAUCAGGAACCAGUGCCAAGCUUGCAGGUUAGAGUUUCAUUAUGUGGAUGAGAGAAAGGCUAGAUUUCAAGAUAAUUCACAUUACAUGGAGAGAAAUAUAUGUAGGAUGUGGAGACUAUGACUGUGUGGGUCCUUCAGAAGCCAGGUCAAGUGGAGAGGGAGAAGUGACAGACAUUGACAGUCAAUAGCUGGGAAGGGUUUCAGAAGGGUAUGAGAAGAGUUUUUGAGAGUGUGGUGCAGAGGCAAGAGCAAGGCUUUGUAUUUGCAAGCUGUGUGACUUUAAGCAAUGAAUUUAGUCCCUGGAAUAGCUAUUUGUUCCUGAUUCUGUAAAACUUAAAUAAUGAUGUGUUAUUCAGAAGUGUGUUGGAUGGAUGAAAUUAAAUGUAGACUACAUGGCAGAGUCUUGACCAACAUGAAGACUUUGUGUCCCACAUUGAUGGUUUAGCAUAGCAAUUAGGGAAUAGUUGUGGGGAAGGCAGAGCUGCCCUCCAUUUAGAGCACAGAGACCUUGCCACUCCCAAAGAUGGCUAGGAGCCAGUGCUAAGCAGCAGAAGGGAGCCAGAGCCAGCAAUGAGACAAACAACUGGCAUAGUGUGAAAUGGGAUUCCUUCCUGAGGAUCCCCUUCCAAAAUAAAACUUUGCAAUGUCUAUGGAACUACGAAUGUUCAGUGUGGACAUACUGUGAACCAAAUAAGGACCAGAAUUAAUAAAGUAAAGGAAAUUUCCUAAAGAACCAGAAUUCAGGAAAAUUAAGGAGACAGCUAUCAUCUGAUCUUCAAUAGACCAAAAAAAAAAAAUCUUUAGAAGGAAUUUGCACUUCUGUAGGGCUAUAGUUUGGAUCUUGAAUGUCCCCACAGGGCCAUGCAUGGAAGGUGUAGGCCACAGCCCAUGGCACUACUGGAGGAAUCUUUUAGAGGUAGGCCUAGUGGAAGAAAGUUAGGUCCUGUGGCUUGUCCUUGAAGAGGAUACUGGUACCCUGGCCCCUCCUCUUUCUUCUCUUUGCUUCCAAGCUGGCAUUCUGUGAGCAGCUUCCUCUGCCAUGAACUCCCACCAUGAGGUACUAUCCUAGUCACAGGCCCCAAAGUAGUGCAUUCAACUGACCGUGAAUUGAAACCUCCAAAACUGUGUGCCAAAAGAAACUUUUCCUCUUUACAUUUUGGGUUAUCUCAGGUAUUUUGUCACAGUGACAGAAAGCUGACACACAUAGGGUAAAGAAAGAGUAAAGGGAAAUAUAAGGAAAAGUCAAUAAGAUCUCAGGGGGCAAGGAAGGCCUGAGCUGACUCCUAGGCUACAUAUAAUGCCUAGAGCUUUGAACAUGAUUGAUAUGGAAUCAAUGGUAUUAAUUAGUGUAAUUGAUAGAAGAUGCACCAGUGGUGAUUGUUGAUGGUAAUGGUCCACUGUCCACAAAAUAGUUGUAGAAUGGGACUGAAAUGAUGGUUUUGUGUGUGUGUGUGUGUGUUUUGGGGGUAUUUGGGGGUCAUAGGCUAUUCAGUUAAUGACUAGAGAGAGCUUUGGCACUAUUCUGCUUUCCUCUGACUCUGUUGUUCUUUGUGAAGUCACGUUGAGCUUUGCUCGGGAACUUGCUGGCCUUGUCAUGAUUUAUCCAGUAAGCAAUGCUUUAGUCUCACCUCUACAAAAAUCUAAGAGCUUUGAAAUUGGCUGCAGACAGGUGCAAUAUAUGUAUGGCAGGUAGCACCCAAGAGAAUUUUUAUUCCUUCCUGAAAAUUACAAACACAUAUACCAAACCUCUGAAAAAUGCUGGAGUUGUAAUAAAAAUGUGCUGGUGAUCUCCAAAAAAAAUAUCAAGGAAAAUUAGUUUUUGAAGUACCUACAAAGAUAUUGACCAUUGUUGCAUUGCAAUAAUGGUCGACAUGUGUUCUUAUAUGUCCUAUUUGUUUAAGUUAGCAGCAAAAUCAUGGCACCUGUGAAGCUACCACGGUAACCUGGACAGAGAAAGGCGAGGUUAUUUCCUUUAAAAUCCACCACAAAUAUUCACCUCCUUCUGCUUAUAGUCAGGCAGCCAUAAUGGCUGUUGCUUCUGGCAAGCUAAAGUAGCAUGUAGGAUCUGUGCAGAAACACUUGGAGUCCACAAAAUAAGCUUUUAGGUUUAUCCCCUGGUAGUUAAUUACUAUACCUCUAGGUCAAUUAGAUGGCUCCUAAUUGCUCAGUUGUAACUGUGGUUUCACUGGCAAACAGUGUGUGGUAAUUCUAGUUUACUUGUUUUCUUAAAUAAAACUCAAAUUGCCAUGUGCAUGAGAUCCAGAGUAACCAUCAAAACUGAAGUAUGCCAGAGUGGGCCAUGUAAUUAGCACGAUUUCAUCAAAAGCUUCUUAUUUUAAAUUGCUGUUAUAUUGUUAAUGUUCUCUUGACUCCUCUAAAGAUCAUUUCUUUAAAAAAUAAAAUAAAAAGAACACCUUUGACUUCAUAACUUGCACACAAAUGAUCUGAAAUGAAGCAGGAGAGACAGUCCAAGGUGGCUGUGUGCACUGAAGUAGCAACUCUGCUCUGACCUGCUGGGGACACUGCUGAGGUACUUGUUGCAAUCCAGUAUUCUCUAGUGUGAUUCAAUCCCAGGUGCCAAAAGGUGGGUCAUAAAGCAACACGUGGCACAUGACUGUGCUCCUCUGCUCUUCUAAGGUGAACAUGCUAUUUCAAGCUGUAUGGAAUCUCCAGCAAGAGUUUAAGGUCACUUCCUACUUCCUCUUCCUGAGACUCCUCCAUUGGAGAAAUCCCAGUGAAACAUCUUUUCCCCACCUCUGUCCAUCUCCCCUCAGGAAAGCCACAGAGUGGCUUUGUACUUUGAGCAAACACAUAGUAAGCAUCUACUAUAUACCAGAGGCUGCUGAAUUCCAGGGAGAUGAAGGUUGAGUGAGACCCAGACCCUGCAUAAACUGUCCCACAAGUAGGAAAGUCUAAAUGAAGACAUUUAGACAAGUAAUUUCACUAAACUAUAAAAACUCUUUUAAUUGAAAAGGGAACAUGGAAUUGUAUUCAAAGGUGACGUGCAAAAGAGGAAUCAGAGUCCACAGAAAAGCCGAGGCUUGAACGGGUUCUGGAAAGAUGCAAGGACUUUGACAGGUGGGCCAAAUGAGGAGUGGAGACAUGACCAGACAGAGGAGAGGCCUGUGCAGAAGCAGAGAGCAUGGCUGUAUGUCUGCCCACCCCAUCUCCCAGGUGCAUGAGGACGCCAUAAUCCAUGACAGGGAUGGAAACAGGAAAGGGGACACGUGUAGGAGCCCCGUUAGCUUUCUCUACAUCGUCAUUAUCAUGGCCAUCAUCAUCAUCAAACCAGAUUUGUAAAAUUCCCCCAUUAUGUUCAGCCAUGCUGAUAGGAAAACAAAAGGAUUCCCCUUUUUACUUGGAUUCAGUGAUGUGUUGUCUUCCUUAAAUAAAAUGUUUGAUUAUGGUUCUACUUAUAUAACACUUUUGAAUUAUAAAGAAACAUAUGACCCACAAGUAGGAAAGUUUAAAUUGACCAAUCAUCAUGAAGUAAUGUUGGAAAGCUCUUUUAAUAUACCACGUAAAAAGUGGUGCUAAGCUCACAUGUUCUUACAGGGAUAUUAUUUUAAACCUUCAAGAAGUAAAAUUUUCUAUGCCCAUUAGAUGGUUUCAGAGCACAGAGAAAAAUGUCAGCUUUACCUGGAGGCCAUGAAAUCGCAGCCAAACCCAACAAAAGGAGCACAGAGAGAGGACCCUGAAAAAAAUGGUCAUGGGUUUAUAUAAAAGAGCAAAGGCACAAAAAUAUUAGUAAAACUCUGGAAAGAAAAUAAUGAGGGGCUGGGGUUGUGUCUCAGUGGUAGAGCGCUUGCCUGGCAUGUAUAAGGCACUGGGUUCAAUUCUCAGCACCAUAUAUAAAUAAAUAAAAUAAUAAAAAGGUCCAUCAACAACUAAAAAAUAAUUUAAGAAUAAUGGAAAAUAAUAAUUGUCUUAGAAAUUAAAACAUAAAACUACAGAGGUUAAAACGUGGAGAUUAGCCUACACUAAUCAUAAAAAUAAAGAAUACAGAAAUAGAAAUAUAUAUGUUCAUUUAGUGUACUAAUAAAGUCAAUAAAAUAAAUGAGCUAGUUGGUAAGAUACUCUUAAAAUAUGUGAAUUUAGACAUCAUCCCUUAUAUUAAGAUGGAUCAAAUAGUAUAUUAUGAAAAGAAGUAUGUAAGUACCUUAAAUCAAAAUAUAAGUAAAUAUUUUUGCAGACUUUUAAUAAGGAAUAUAUGGGAAGAAAAAAAGACUAAUGACUGGUGAGCACAAUACUGAUACAUAAAUUCGAUAGUUGGGAAACUAUUUACAUUUAUGACAGAGUCAAUAUCCUUAACUUAAAUUUUAAAAAAUAAAUGUGCCAAUAGAAAACUAGGCAAAGGAUAUGAAUAAGUAAUUCACAUACAUACAUAUAUGCCAAAGAAAGAAAUAGGAAUGACCUAUAUCAAUAUGAAAAUAUAUUCAGAUUGCUAAUAAGCAAAGAAAUGUAAGAUUUGACUAUAAUGAAUGAUCACUUGUGACCUACUAGAUAAGCCAAGAAGAAACAAAUUCAUAAUACCCAGUCUUGGCAGCAUUUGGAGAAAUAGGCACACAAAUACUGUUGGAGGAACCGUCUGUCAUUUUAUCUCAAAAUUUGGAAGGUACUUCAAUAAUCUCUCUUAGGAAUUAAGGAUAUUUGAACAAGUAUUCAAGCCUGUUGAUUUCAAUUUUGUAUAUAUUAAUGAAAAAUUAGAAAUAUCCUAGAUGUUAAUCAGGAGAAACGUGAAGGCUUAAAUGCCUACAUGGAUCACAGAGCUUGUUUAGUGGGGGAAAUAGGUUAGAUGUGAGACAAUAGGGAGUGAUGGGGACUGUAGAAAAUGUUACAGCAUCUUCACAAGGGCACAGCUGCUCUCAGCUCCAGCUAUUUGCUACCAUUAGGAGUUGCUGGGCCAGGCUGGCAGAUUUUGUAUUUUUCUGGAACAGAAGCUAGAAAUUUGAGGAUGCCACCUCCAGAUUCUUAAAUUAUAAAAUAUAAUAAUUAUUAAAUUAUUAUGAUGAUUCUUAAUCAUGAAACACUAUGGAUCCCACCUACAUAUACAUAUACGUGAACUGCAUAGCAGAGUGUGUGCAAUUAUCCCUACCCACUAGUCAGGCUCAGCCACACAAGUAUUAGUGGAGGUGACACAGUGUAUCCAAGAAGCUCUAAGAGCCAUUGCAAGAGUUCACUGCACUUUUCAUUCUGUCUGUCCUAAAUAGGAACUUCCUGGAUCCUGGUGUGAAACACUGUGUGAAGAAAAGUCACGUAGGUGACCCCUGACCCUUGACAUAUUGUGCAAUUAAGAAAUAAAUGUUUAUAGCUAUAAAGUCACUGACUUGUUGAAUUUAUUACAGCAAAGCUAUUAAGCAAUUUUUAAAAUAUGGCUAUUUUAGUAGACAUGAAAAGGCUUCUACAAUAUAUUGUUGAGUGUAGGGGGAAGUAAGCAGGAAAACAGAAUGCAUAAGGUGAAAUUCUUCAUAUUUAUAAACCCUCCCCAUGCAGGUAUAUGUAUUAAAGAAAAGUCUGGAAGAUAUGCAAAAAUUAUUGAUAGUGACUAUGUUGAGAGACAGGACAUUUUUUUAAACUUUAUUUUAUUUAUUUUAAUUUUUUUAGUUGUAGUUGGACACAAUACCUUUAUUUUAUUUGUUUAUUUUUAUGUGGUGCUGAGGAUCAAACCUAGCACCUCACACAUUAGGGGAACACUCUACUGCUGAGCCACAACCCCAGCCCCAAAAGACAGGACAUUUUUUUACUUGGUUUUCCACUUCCCUAAACUCUGGAUUUCCUGUUAAAUGAAAAUAAUAUUUUACAUGAUUUAUGGUUGAAAGAUGCUUAAGAGCCACAUAAAGCAGUAUAUAAAAUAAUCUAAUUAGAAGCUUCUACCUUCAGAAAAGUAGAUAUCUUUCUACUUCUAAAAGCUUCAUUGUGGAGCAAAGACCAUCCAAGGCACUUCUGAAACAGAUCACAAUUCAAAUAUUUGCUUAUUGAAAUUUAAGGAAUAUUUGUGAAGCUAUAUUAACUGAGACAAUGUGGUAUUGGCUGUACAGUUAAUGGUCCAACUUUAAAAAGUGGAGAGUGUAUAUAUAUAUAUAUAUAUAUAUAUAUAUAUAUUCAGAAAUGAUUCACAACAGUUGGCAUUGUAGACACAUAAGGAAAAAAGUGUACAUUCCAAUAAAUAAUGUUGAAAAAUUGGUUGUCCAUAUGAAAAAAAAAAUCCCUGAAAUUGGGCCCCUAUCUCUCAUGGUAAAUCAAAAUUAAUGCCACGUAGCUUAAAAUUUUAAAUGUGAAAGGUAAUAUCACAAAACACUUAUUAUACAGUCUACAAAAGAUCUUAAUGACUUUGGAGAAAGGGAGGGAAUUUUUAAAAAUAUAAAUUUUAAACUAUAAAGAAGCUGAUUAAUUCAACAGUUACCAUUGAGAUCUUCAGUUCAUCAAAAGCCUUCAUUUAGAAAAAUGAAAAGAUAAACUAUAAAAUAAGAAAUAAUAUUGUUUUUCUAAUAUUUACUCUGUGACAGAUAUUAUAGGAAGCUCUUUCCAUAUAAUAGUACAUUUAAUUUCACAACAACCCUGUGAAACAAGUAGCAUAUCGUUCCUAUUUUACAGAUAGCACUGAGACACAGAGAGGUUAGGAAAGUUGCUCAGUGCACACAGUGGUAGGACUGGAACUUGAACCCAGGUAGACUGGCUCCAAAGUCCCCUCUUUUAAUCACUCAAAACUAAUUUUACUUCUGGGCACAGUGGCAUGUGCUUAUAAUCUCAGCAGCUUAGGAGGCUGAAGCAAGAGAAUGGAAAAUUCAGCCUCUGCAAUUUAUCAAAGCCCUAAGCAAUUCAGCAAGACCCUAUCUCUAAAUAAAAUAUUUAAAAGUCCUGGGGGUAUAGCUCAGUGGUUAAAAACCCUGGGUUCAAUCCCUGAUACCAAUAAAAAUAAAAAACUACAUUUUUACUGACUCAGGUAUAUUAAACAAAGGAUGAUAAUGCAAAAUAUAUGAAUAGCUAUAAAUCAAUAAUAAAAUACUAGCAAUUCAAUGUAAAGGGGCAAGAGAUUUAACAGGCAUUCCACUACAAAACUAGUAAUCAGUGGAGUACAAAUCAGACCCACCUGAUUGACAACAGUCAGUUUCUGGGUGUAAAAUAACAGCGAGAACAUGGACUUCUCCGCAUUGUCACAGGAUAAAUAUAUAAACAUCAUCUUUCUCAUAAGAGUUAAUUCACUAAUAUUUUGGUCCUACCAUCUAAAGUUUUUGUGGAUAAAACCUCUGUAGGUUGCAAAUUUUAAAAUGUAACACAACAUUUUAUUUCAUAUGGACACAUGAAAUAGUUCCAUUUAAAAUAGAAGCAAAUAUGCAUUAAUUCAUAAAAUAUGCAUUUGGAGUUUAUUAAAUGGCUUAUAAAAUAUAAAAUUAGAUUUUUAAAAUUGAAGGAAAAAUUGAGCCUCAUUCAGGUCUAUUUUGAUUAAAAACAGACUACAUAUUUGAGAGAAAAAAAAUUUCUAACUUAUUCUUUUUUUUAAUGUUUUUAUUAGUUGCUCAAAAUAUUACAAUGAUCUUGACAUAUCAUACAUUUGAUUCAAAUGGGGUACGUAAUCUUAUUUUUCCACAUGAACAGAUUGCAGGAUCACAUUGGUUAUAUAGCCACAUUUAUACAUAGGGCCAUACUAGUGUCUAUUGUAUUCUGCUACCCUUCCUAUCCCCCCACCUAUUUUUAAUAUUUGAUUUUUAGUUGUAGUUGAACACAAUAUCUUUAUUUUAUUUAUUUUUACAUGGUGCUGAGGAUCCAACCCAGGGCCUUGCACAUGCUAGGCGAGCGCUCUACCGCUGAGCCACAACCCCAGCCCUCUUAUUCUUAAAUGUCAACUUAAGAACUUUUAUUCCAACUUGAAAAGGUUGAUACACCAAAAUGGUAACUGUUCACUCAUUUGUGAACAGUUAGGUUUUCCAUCAUAAACGAUGUCUGGUGUCCUCUGUCUCUUCUCUACUGUUCCUUGUAUAAUAUUUACUUAAAAUAUUGAACUAGUAAGGAAGUGUCAGAAGACUGCAGUUUAAUUCUUUGCAAACCAUAGCAUAUCUAUAGACUGACCCCAAAACAGUCUUGGUGGUGCUGUUAUUAAAAGGCCACCAACAAGGGAAAAAACUGAAAAAAGAGAAGGAAGAAAAAGCCUUACUUUUCUAGAAAGUUUCCUAACAUCAGUGCACAGAAGUCAUCAUGUUAGUAGUGAGAGCGGGCCAAUGACCUUCAGUCCCCUCAGCCCAGCCCAGUUCUGCAGACAGCUCCUGUCCGGUUCAGUUGAGAGAUGGAUGUUAAAAGAUCCUGAUGCCACCAGCACCUUAUGGAGCCCAGAGUAUAAUAAUAGGGUAAAUUAUGUUUUCUUUUCCACAUCUGCACGCUGAGAUUGUUUUGGAGCUCUUUCAACUUAACUCAUUAUAAUCAAGUUGUACCAGCCUUUGUUUUAAUAAGAUUCUAAUCUCGAGGUCUAUCCCUCGCAUCAAUGACUUUACACUGUUAAUUGCUUUCUUGUCCUCCAUUAAAUUGCGGCUCCAAUUGCUUCAUCUUACCAGGCUCUUUGUGCUUUGUAUUCUGCCCCAUGCUUUGCAGGCACACUUAGUAACAUCAUCUUCCUAAAGAACAAAAUUACCUAUUAUCCCUUUAAUCUUGAUGUACUUUUUUAUGGGUUUGGUUCCUAGCUAGUGUCCAACCAGGAAGCUACUUAUUAUCUUCUUGAAAAAAAAAAAGUGUUUUUUUUUUAAAGCAGCAUAGUAUGCAUGGCCAAAAUUUAUUUCUAGAUAGAACUUACAGAGUUUUAUUGUUUUAUAGGACCAAUUAAAAAGACAAAGGGGUCUGUUCUCCCCUUGAUACACCAGAGUGACUUCCAUUAACAUUAGUGGAAGGGAACCCCUUGCAUGGUGAUGAGUGAAGCCAUUGUAUUAGCCAAACAGAAGCUUCUGGAAGGAACGGCUCCCUGUUUUCCACAGGAGAAGCUACAAAAAAGCAAACAGCUCAAAUCGCAAAUGUGUUUCCCCCCUACGCUUUCUGCUUGUUUGUACAUUCAAGAAAAUCAGUGAAUAAUUUGGAGGCAGCUCCUUCCUUCAGAAAUCAAUUGGAUGUGAAUUUGUUAUUUUAACGUGAAUGACACAACUUAAAGAAGGAAAUCAGUGAUGAAAAGCAUCCGGGGGAUUUGACAGGUCUUUGCUAAAGUGCCGUCCUGGGAGACCUGCUUCUGGAGGCAGAGGUGAGAUUGGAAAUUGGUUACCUGACGAACUCUGUACACGGAAGCCUAAUUUUCAAGGGAGACUGGCUGACAGUGUCAAGCUCCUCUUUUGACACACCGUCCCUGAAAUCUAUCAAAAUCUGGAAACUGUUUCUGACUUCUCAGCAUAGCCUCUGUGUCUGUGAUCCACUUGGCCCCCUGUGCACCUUAUGAAAUUUUAAAAUUUUAGACUAACAUAAUAAGUCACAAACUGGGGAAGGUUCUUAUUUAUGAUUUCCUUCUUGGGUUGAUUGCUUAGGAGUUAAUUGUUUAAGGUGUGACUAGCUUCCUGCUAUCAUCUCUCUCUCUCUCUUGCUCUCUCUCUCUCUCUCUCUCUCUCUCUCUCUCUCAACAUUUACACAUUCAUUUUGUAUCUGGCAGAUUUCAAGUUCAUAUUGGUUUUUAACCUUUGAAAAUGCACUUCAAAGAUAGAAGCAGUCUGCAGAGUACAAGGCGGCUCCUUGGUAUCUUUCCAUGUGACCUCCAUUUCCUUAGCCUCAACUUGCAUUUAGCUGUAAAAACUGGGCUCAGUAGCAUUAUUUUCUGCUCCGCAUUUCUCCCUUCCCAUGACUGGUUAGCACCAUCUCUGGAAUGUUGUUACUAUUCAUACUGACCUGGAAAAUGCUUCUGAGAUAUUUUCCUACUUUAAUUGCUUCCUUUCUUAACUAUGACAAAUUCCCUGCUUCAUAGCAUUACCUGUGACUUUCCUUGGAGCCAAGAGACAUUCAAAUCCUUUAGCCAGAGUUCCUGUUUAUUUAGUUUAAAGUGUCUAUACUGCUGUCUUAUCUAUCACCUUUAAUAUUCUCCCUUUUGUUUUGGGAUCCAGUUUGACCUUGAUAUGCUCUUAUCAGAAUUCCUUGAAGAAUCAUCUUAAUUUUCUUUUCACAGCAAAACUGUAUUGAUGAUUUUUUUCCACAUUUGGUAUUGUGGAGUGGUUUACAAAAUGUUUCCAAAGGAACUUGGGUGUGCAUGGGUGGCAAUGAAGAGGUGGCUAGGGGGUCCCAAUGAGCAUUUCAUUUUGAUUUUGUAUUUUGAAAAUUGUUUUAGUCCCCUUAACAUUCCUCAGUUUGUUAAUUCUGAAAAACUGACACCAAGAUGAGAUGAGAUGUGCAAGAGCUUUCCUGGGGGAGAUGCCUGUAAAGGGCAAGGACACAGGAAGAAGCAUGAUUGAGAACACAGACCAGGAUGUAUGUGUCUAGCUCCCGCUCGGGGAGCACAGGAGGAAGAAUGGCUGGGUGGGCAGGGGGUAGUUCUGAGAAAGUUUUAGUCAGGCCAAUGGGAAGUCCUCAAGCCAGUGACCUGCUGGAGAAGUCCCCUGUUGGCAGAAAGGGCCUGCACCAGUACCUCACCCUGCUCAGCAUCAGCUGGAACUAUCCUGGGAGACUCUGGCAGCAGUGAACAUGGUGCUGGAUCCAGAGGGGCCACAUAGGGUUCGUUAGGGGAGCUGACUGGUACCUUUUUUAGGCCACCACCCCCAGUGGUUAGUUUUCUUACCUAUAGUGUGGCUAUUGCCCCCAGAGGAGGAGAUCUACCUAUCAGGACAGUCUUGCUCUGACUAGCCAUUUACCCAGUACCAACUACUGAUCCUUUGGCGAUUAUGGUGGGGUAACUAAUGGGUUGUAUAGUUUUGUUUUGUUUUGUUUUUUCUUAACCACAGAAUCUCUGAAAUUGGUGAGAACUAUAUGAUAAAUUAAGUCUAAGGCUGAAAAUCUACUUCCUGUUCCUCAUUCCAGAUUAUGUACAAUUGUAUUUCUAAUACAGCACAUGACGGGUUGCAGAGAUCAAGUCCUCUGAGAAACUUUAAUAACAGACUUCCACGUGAGGGUGCCCUAAGUUGGAACACAAGGCCCCUACCAUUUCAAAUCCCUGGAGAGUAAUUUAAGCCUAAAUAUUUAAUCACCUUACAAAGGAAAGCCCAAAGAAAACACAGUCUGCAAUCAGAUCCUCUUGUCCUAGUGAGCUAAAUUUCAAAAAUUAAAGCCCAAAGUUCAUUCUUUUUGAUUUCUGAUAUUAUUCAGUGCCAGCUACUGGGGUUCUUGAUAUCCAGGGGGGAGUGAGCAUUUCUAGCAGCUUAAGCCUAGAGUGUCCAUCCAGGUCAGUGGCUAUAGUUCGUUCCUUCAGUGCUACACAAAUGACAGCCUAACUUUGAGGGAUCUGAAAAUCCAUAAGACACUCCAAUGAGUACAAUCCUGCCCUCACGGGUCCAGCCCCUAAAGUACUAAUCCUCAUACCCAGUGUUACUAAAACUGCAUCAGGGAGCCUGGGGUGAAUGAGUGAAGAAGUGCACAUGAAGAAAGUCUCGUUUUUAGUUCUCCAAGGAUGCCACUCACUCAACACCAGAUGCCCAGAACCCGUGACCACUAAGUAGAAAUUCAACUGAGAAAAAUCUCUUCCACGUGCUAGUUAGACCAUGUACAUUUAUACCUAUGGGGGAAAAUCCAACCAUGUAAGUUUAACUCCAGCAAAUGUUCUUGAUCCAGUACUUCUCCCCUCAAGAGGCUAUGAACCAUGGCUGUCAUGUGUUCCCUGGAACCCUCGUAUGCAGUGGCUUACUAAAAUAUAGAAGAGGGUUGACAAAUAGUUGUCAUAAUAAAAUAGAAUUUAAUUCCCACCUAUGCCAUUCAAGCUUCGAUGUCAGCUUCCUGGAAGAAUAGCCAGGGGACCUAUUUAUAAGGGGACCUAUUAAAAAUCUGUUUCAAUGUAAAAUUAGGUGAUCAAGUUUCCUUAAUACUAUGCAACAAAAAUGAAAAUAGAAAUAAAUCAGACUCCAAGACCAAAGACUCUGAUUUCAGAUUCUAUUUUCAUCAUAAGAGGCAUAUUAUUCUCAUUGACUAUGAUAAACAAAUGUUUGCUGUAAUAACUGUAACUGGCUUAAAAAGUGAUAAACAUAACAUAUAUAUACUAAUAAAAUUGUGCAUUUAACAAUGCACAAUUUUGUUUUAAAGCUGCUUUCUGUGGAUAACAUUUGAAAACCACUGGUUCAGCAAAAGUAAAAUUGGCUUUGAGCUUGGGAGUUUUGCCUAGAUUCAAGUUCCUCUCUGCCAUAACAUUUGAGUUGCAGGUAACUCUUUUAUAAAAUGGGAAGGAUCACAUAUACCUCAAAGUUGUCUGAGCAUUGAGAAGAAUUCAAUCAAAAAAUCUUAAAAGCCCCAAGCACAGAGCAUGCUCCCUAUAUUGUUUCCUUCUCUCUCUCUCUUUCUUCCCCUCCCCUGCCCCUCUCUCUAUCUUUAAUUUUUCUUAGUUAUACAUGGAUAUAAUAUCUUUAUUUUGUUUAUUUAUUUUUAUGUGGUGCUAAGGAUCAAAACCAGUGCCUCACAGUGCAAGGCAAGUGCUCUGCCACUGAGCUACAGCCCCAGCCCUCCUUCUCUCUUACUUAAAUGUUUUUGCAUAAACAUUUACUAAGGGUCUAUUUUGUUGCACACCUGUGUUUAUCCACAGGUGUGCAACAAAAUAGACCCUUAGUAAAUGUUGACUUAUUUUAUUUAUUAAUGUGGAGAUACUUUAAUUAUUUUAAAUAAAUAAAUUUUAAAUUGGUAAAGUAGUUUUCAUUAUUGGAAUUAACUGAUUUCUUCUAAGAUUUCAAAUUGUUUUGCCUAUCUCUUGGUCCCAGCAUUGCCUCCUACUAGAAUUUAGUGCUUUGAGGGGAAGGACUAUAUUCUAGCCUUCAUCUUCACAAUAAGGGCCAGAUAGCCAUACUCAGCAAAUGCCAAAUGAAUAUAUAUUUUCUGAAAAUUCAAGAAAACAUGUAUAUAAAACAUCUUACAUACUAGUCUCUGUUGUAAGUGCUUUGAAAAUAUUGACUUGGUUAAUCCUUAUGACCCUCUGGGGUAGGUAGUAUUAUUAUACCCAUUUUAUAGAUGAGGAAUUUGAAGCACGGAGAGUUUAAGUGACCUGGCCAAAGUCACACAGAUUGUCAAAUGGUAGAGCCAGGCUCGAAGUCCAACACUGCCUGGCUUCCAUGUCCAUUUUCCUAAUCUUUGUACAGUGCUGCUUCCCCUUAAUGAAAAUGAUUGUCAUCGUGGAAAAGGGAGUUGCAGUAAUAAGCUGAAUUAGGAAUAAUUCAGUGCUCAAAUUUUUGUAUCAUGGUUUCUAUAGUAACCUUAACUCUUCUUUUCCAUAUGUGUACUUAUGAAAGAGGCUUUCCUAUGGUUGAGCUCAGCUACUUGUAAGUGACCAAACCAGAAACUAUAAUCCAAAGGCCUUGACCUGCAAAAAUGUUUGAGAAUUGAAAUAAACUUUUUACUCUAAAAACGUUACAAAAUUGAAAUUAGGAAAUAGCUAUUAAAUGUCAUAUAUUGCCUAAUACAUUGUAAAAUUUAAUAUUCAUAAGCAUUUCAAUACACUUGUAAACAAUUUAUAGGUUGAAUUUGCUUAUUUUAUUAGAAUUUCAAGUAGGCAGGAUCACUAUUGAAUGAUAAUCAGUCAUACUUUCUAUAGGAUACUUAAAGUAAAUAUUUUUAAAAUAUUCAAACUCUUUAUGACAAAAAAAUACAUUUAAUGUGAGUACAUUUGGCUAUGUAUGAUGUGACUUGAAGAGGAACCUAUGAAGGACUGAAGUAUUGUUGUUAGGACUCAUGUCAUUUCAGUCCUCAACACAUUAGCCAGCAAGCUGCCCAAUUCUCUGCAAAUGGGCACUCAUACAGAAAGAGGCAAAGGAGAAGGCAUACACUGUCUUAUUUAUGGGUUUCUUAAGUAAUCAAUUUUUUAAAAAAUAAUAGCUGUUUUUCGUAUACAUUAUCAUGCAUGUGCUUGACUUGGUGAUUCUAAGCACUAUUUCUUACAAGAAGCAAUAGAGAGCAGUUCCUAGGGUCCUGCAAGCACACAGGACCCUCUCCCUCCAUUAGCCCAUCUGCUUAACUUUGAACCUCCCCUGACUCCUCGGCAUCUAGCACAGCAUCUGCAUACACAGGAACCCGUAUGAAUUUUCUGAAGCUGCUGUAAGGAAUUACCAUGACCUAGGCAGCUUCAGACAACACAAAAGCAUCAUCUUACAACUCUGGAGGUCAGAUGUCUAAAUGGAUCUGCAGAACUUCCUUUCCAGGCUCUAGUGAAGAUCUCUGUCCUUGCUUUUCUCAGCUCCUGGAGGCCCCCUUCCUCCAUCUUCAUAGCCAGGAGUCUCUAGGAGAGACUUUUGCUCUAACCUUCUCUUCUGCCUCCCUCUUCCACUUUGAAGGAUCCUGGUGAUUAUAAGGGGUCCACCCAGAUAAUCCAGGAUUAUCUCCCCAUCUCAACAUGCUUAAUUUAAUCACAUCUGUAAAACUCCUUUUGCCAUGAAUUUUCAUGUAAGAUAAAUUCCAGAGAUAGUAUGUGGGUAUCUUGCGGGGUUGGGGGGCAUUAUUCUGACUACCAGAAACCCACUUGGCAACCCUAGGUGAACAGAUAGGGAACCUGAGCAUUUGCCAAGUGACUCUCAGGGGCUUGCCAUCCAUCUCAGCAUUCUCUGCCAGGGUUUCCCUAAUGCGCAUAUUCUGCCUCUAAAGUGACGGUUGCCUCUCUUCCUACUCACUACUGUUCUCUUAAACCUGGUGAUAGGAAAGUUGUAUGAUUCCCUCUCUUUCUCUUAUUCUCUUAGUAAUGAAACCUUGUGAGACAGGAGAUGGGGAGAGCAGUGUGUGUAGAGAGGUGUGUGACAUUUGCAUAUACACACACUGUUAUAUUUUUCUUUCCUAUCCUUACCUCUGGUUUUUCAUUACUUUUUAUUUUAAAAAUUAUUUUUUUUAGAAAAUGGUCACAUGCAUUUCAAAUUUUUAUGUUCUGACCUCAUUAGUGAACUUGAUCUCUCUCCCUGUGCUCCAUCCCACUCCUCAUUUUCCUUGUUCCUGUGGGUUAACAGUGUCAAAGGCAGCCAUGGAGUAAAACUGCCAAUCAGAUCUGCCACUCAAUAGCUAUGAUAUUCUCUGCAAAGUCCUAUGUCUCCUUGUGCCUCAGUUUCUUUAUGUGUAAAAUGUAAGUAAGGGUAGCUUUUCCACUUCGUACCGCACUUGGGAACAGUAUUUUGCUUCUCACUCAAACAUAUCUGAUUCCUAAAACCAUUAAGCCAGGAGAGGCAGGCCAAAUGCCUCAGCUUAGAUGGGAGUCCUCCCAGUCAGACCCACCCAGCUUUCAGCUUCAUCCACCACUCCCUCCUCCACUGCAACCUCCAACAAAACACGUCUGGCCAGACCCCCACCACGCCAGAGACAGGAGAUGACUAAAUGUACUCUUUGUUCUCUUGUUCUUCACUUUGAUAAAUUUUAAAUAGGAGAGGAGUGGAAGGGGCAAGUGUCAAACAGUGUUAGAGGGAUUUUCUAGAAUUCCCAGGGAGAAUUAUCUUGCCUGGAGAAAGAAGAAAUAUACGGAAUGUGUUUAAAUUCAGCUAAAAUGUAUGUUUCAGUUUAGAACACAGCUAGUCAGAGAGGUAAGUGGUCAGAAAUACCAGGCCCAAAGGAUGUUUUAAGCAUUAUUUAAUCUUAUCUUCCCUAAAUAAACUAGAUGGGAGAGCUGGGAUAGCCUGAACCUCACUUCACUCUGUGGGCAUUGGGUGUGAGCAAAUAAAUGGAAAGUCAUCUUCUACUUGGGGUGUUUCCCCAUGAUUUGGGGAGUGAAAACUAUGAGAAGUCUCACCUCUGGGCAGGGCAUGGCACUCCUGAGGUUCCCUCUUCUUAUUCCCCUAAUUUCUUAGCACCACCACCUGGUGUAUAAACACCAAAGACAACCCAAGAAGGGCCAUUGCCACAAUGCCCGCCCAAAGUCUCUCCCACAUAGAGGGAGUGCCCAGACCACAAGCACAUCCCCUGAAGGGUGGGGACUGUGGGAACAGGGAGAGGGGUUGUCCAUACAUCCUCAGCUUCCCUCUUUGUCCUCAUACUCUUUGUAUGGGCUUCUUUUACUUUUUAAGAGCUAUGUCAAGGUGCUCCAUUUGAUCACUCCGGGUAGGAUGAAUUUUUGACAGGUGGUUUUCACCAACAACCAUCUCUCUCUCUCAGCAAAGCAUCCGGGAUCCAGGCUCUGGCCUUUCGCACCUCUAGGCCUCUGUAAUUGCCACUCCAGUAAUUGAACCUCCCUCCUGCCCUCCCCACUCACACCAGGUGGUUCCUGCCCAUUGUCAGUACUCAGCAUCGUGUCUGUGAAGAUUCUCCUAAUGACCACCACACCCCAACACACACAGCAAAGAAAGGUCAUUAAUUAAUAUUGUAUGCUAGCCUUUAAUGUACUAUUCGGAUGUAUGUGUAUGACAGAGCUUUCCAGCAGACUUUUCCUGAAAACAUUUUGUGCAGUGGGCUAUAACUGGUUGUGAUGAAAGUCAAGUUACCUGCCUUUUAAAGGCAUUUGAAUGUAUAUGAAAGGGCAAGAAGUGGUGAUAACCACAGAGGAAAAUCACAACUUCUCAUCUCGCCUGCUAAUAAAUUUUUCUUUUAAGAUACUAAACAAUUACAGCAACAGUCUACUAAAAUGCAUGACUAUUAUUUCCUUUUUGCUUUAUAGUACACAGGUUUUCAUAAUCAUUACCACUGUAUCUUGAUCAUGCCGCUAAUGAGAGCUGUGUAGCUGUGACAACCUCAGCAAAUUCUUAUUUCUGUUUGUACUUCUGUUUCUUUUUGUACCUCACUUUCUUUAUGUAUAAAAUGCAAACAGGCAAGCAUUUUGUUUCAUAAUACUGAUGCAGUGCACACUUUAUAGAUGUCAACACCGAGGCCCAAUUUCAUCAGUUAAGGCAAAUGACUUAUCUAAAUCUACAAAUGACUUGGAACUGGAGAGGAAAAUGUGGUCAUCCAUCUGCCAUGUGAUGACACCAAACCAGCAAGAGGGAGACACAGGUAACAGAGCUUGGCUGCUCCCCUCUGGGAGCUGCUGCCUUGCUUUUCCCAUGAACCAUCCUGGGUUCCUCCCUUUGCCUCCUUUUUGAGCUGCCUAUUAUUUUAGUAGUUGGUUGCAUGCUCAGUUGGAAAGUUUGAAGUCUAGGAAGUCAUCAUGAUGAUUCAUUUCCUGCGUCUGCAUACCUUAACAGAGCUCCGUAUGGUGCGCUUCCUUUAUGUACUAUUUUUCUCACCACCACACCAUGUGCUAACAUAAGACUAUUAAAUGAUUUAAUCUCAUGCUUCUGACUUAAACAGCUUCCCACCCAUUGGAGUGACAGGAAGCAUUUGGCUGGAGAGCUACAGGAGACGGUGCAGCCCGGUUCUAGAAGUCAUCACUUGAUAAUGAAGAUAGCAAAAGGCAGCUACAGCAAGCAGGGAAUCCAGGGAAAUGAUACAGAUACCAUAAAACAUUGAUGAUUUUAUUGUAGGAAAAGCUCACGCAAAUCAAUAAGGACAACCUAACCUGCAGAUACAAAAAGGUCAAAAUACUCAAAGAAGCAAUUGAUAAAUAGACUAACAACUAAUAAAAUUUAUGAAAGUGAGGAAAAGUGAGGAUUACUGUUUUAACAUCUAUUUUAUUGUCUACUAGAUAGAUUAUAAACAGUAAUCCUCACCUGUCAAAUUAAUGAAAAAUUAAAUCGAUAUUACAUACACAGAGACAUGGGGGGACAUGUGAUAAAACAGAUAUAUUGGUAGAGUAUGACAUAAUAGAUCUUUCUGUAAAACAAUUCGGGCUGUGUAUCAAAAUUGUCUCUACUCUUGGGCUCCAUAAUUUCAUUUUAAGGGAUCUACCUCAGGAAAACCAUCAUAAGUAUUGUUGAAUGCUCCAGAGCAGAGAUGGCCAGCCAACAGUGUUUGUAAGGGGGAGAAAGGAAAGCUGAACAACACUAAGAAAAUGACAUUUCACAAAAAUGCCAAGAAUAUUUAAGGACUUGGAAAAAUGUCAAGCCACAGUUCAUUCACCUAAAAUCUUGGGAGAAUGUCACCGCCCUUCCCAUGAUGGUGGUGGCAAAGUGGCUCUGCACCUGAGUGAGCAUACAAGACAGGGAGGGAACAUGUGGCUGAGGACCAGGGAGCCUGGCUGCUGCCACUUGCUGGCCACAUGGCUGUGGCAGUCACUAGACUGCCCAGAGCUCCCAAGUCCCUCCAGUAUGCCCUACGCCUACCUUAGCAGAGGAAUUGUGAGAUAAUGUGGCAAGCAAGCUGCAGUUGCUGCUGCUGUUGGCACAGAAUGCAGACACUGGAGAGAGGAAAUUAUUAGCGAGAUGGAUAAUAAACUGUGAAAGUACUUCACAAGCUAGAUUGCAGUUAUGUAUAAGAUAAUAUUUUAACAGAUUCCUAAUUUUCAUUCCUUUCCACAUACAGAACAGUCAUACCCCAGCUGUCAUCAGUAUCUUAAACAUAAUUCCAAUUGCCUAAUUAUGCAGAUGCCCUCGUCUAACACAGUCCUAAGUCCUUUGAUCAGUCCCAACACCAGUUCCCAAAGAUGGCUACAGAACCACUCAGAACCCCACAGGACAACACUGUGGUUAAGAGCACCAGCCCUGGGGUCAGGACACCUGGUUCAAAGCCCAAAUUUAUCACAGCACUUGCAAACCCUUAAACUAGGUGCUUAGCUACUGUAAAACCACAUUUCUGUAGUAUCGGAAGGGGACAGAAACCUUGAUCUCAUAAGGGCCACAAGAGAAUUAAUCCAGGUAAAGGAUUACUGUACAGCUAGUGCCACAGUUAGUGUAGAGUAAAAAUGAAUGGCAGGCUUUAUUAUUACCCCUGCCUCUAACUCACAGGUGGCUUCCAGUUACAGAACAGUGCCCACGCUCUCCCAGCAUUCCCACCUCGGUCCAGUGAGGGAGGAUAGAAGCGGCCAGCAGAGUUCAAGAUGGAGUUAGCCCAUGCAGAAGGCAGACAACUUGCAGCAGUGAUGUACAGGUGUUAUUGAUGCCCAGACGGCUCAUGGACAUUCUCAAGCCGUGAAUACUCAACUGGGGACCCAACCCCAAUGUAAAGUUCAAGUAUAAGUGCAAGUUGAGAAUAAAGUUAACAUUUGAAAGAUUUCUUAAAGAGAAACAUUCCAGAGAAGGAUGUGGAGAGGAAGUCAUCUGGUAUGUUCCAUAAAACAUGGAAAUGAUGGGAAUCUGCAGUCACAUUGGCCCAAGAGUGGAGUUCUGGAGUCUGUAAGAGGCUGACAAUUGUCCAGGCAGAUGGAGAUACAUUUAUGCCGCAAUGUACCCAGCAUGAGGCCUCCUCUGCCUCUGCAGCAGUGGGUGACAUGCAAGGCUGGAGGAGCCUCGUGGACUCCUGGUGGAGGGCCAGGCCUAAGCCCUUCCCUUCCCCUCACCUGAUUCCCUUUCAGCUUAACUGUACCCCACCCUUGCUUAUAGCCAUUUUCUAAUCUUCAUUUUUAAUUCCUGUCGACUAGUUGAGAACUUUCUAAUUUAUAAAUAUGUUCCCUCUCCUGAUUCUUCAAAGAUCAAGCAGUGAGACAAAGGGAAACAGAAUCAGGAGUCAAACCUCAACUCUGCUACAUCCUCUAUUUGUGGCCUUGGCAAUGUUAUUUAAUUUCUCUAUGCCUCCAUUUCUAGAUUGGUAACAAAAAAAUACAGAAAUAUAACAUCCCAUCCCAUGUUGUGAGAUUUCAUUAAAAAAAUAUUUGGUGAGAAACCAGCCAUAUAAAAGGUGGUUAGUAAAUGAUGCUUUCUUUCCCUUUUGGUGGAAGGGAAAAAAUGUUUAAAGGCAAAUGUAAAAUGUUGUUCUUGUGGCUUUGUAACUACCUAGUCAAUAUGUUUGUAAAUAUUUUGAGGAGUAAAAUAUCUGACCAUUACAACCAGGUAAUUGAGAAGCACAAUCCUAAGGUCAAGUGCUGAUGAUAUAAAAUAAAUAAGACAGAAUUCUUGCCAGUUGGAGCUUUCAGCAAUUAACACAUACAUACACAGGUGCAUACAAUAAAGAAAUAUAUUUACAGAAACAUAAGAUGUUCAUAUGUGCUUACUUGUUCAUGACUGUUUUGAUGGAGACUGCCUCCCGAGUGAUUGAUGAUCUGGUGGCGGGGGCGUGAAUGAAAUUGCAGACCCCAGGGUAUCAAGUUCUAAGAGAUUUGAGUGAGAAGGUAGAUUUUGAGCUGAGAAGGGUCACGUGUUGAUGUCUAAGAAAAUGCAUUCUAUAAAUUGUGACACCUCUGAAAGUGAAGUCAGCUGGCUUUCCUAGGCCAGCAAAUUGCUGGUGACCCUAGAGAAUUGUGUGAGGCCACAAUUUAAUUGCACAAGCUUUAAAAGAUCUGCAGUCCUUUAUCCCAUUAAUUCAACCUGCAACUUUGUUCUCUUGUCCCUUUUGAAUAUGCAAUUCUCAUUGAUUUCAAUGGAGUUACAGACACAGAGAAAGGGAAGAAUUGGGCCAAUUAUCUGUUCAAAGCAGAGCAUCAUUUAAAGUAUAGUGUUAAAGUGUUUUCAGGCACAUUAGUGAGUCAGCUCCUUCUCGUUUGUCCAGAAGGCUUUCCAGUUUGCAUGCAGCAUUUUAAAGGGCGAUCUCCUUCCUUAAAAUCUCAGUGUCUUAUCCAGGCACCAGUAAUUUGAUUGUGGAUGCUGGGAGGCAAUGACCCCACAUUUUAGCCUCAGUGUUACUGCUGAAAUGCUUCAGAUUUAAGCUAUUGCCUAAUCAUAAUCACCAACCCUAAAUAACAUUAAAAUUUUUACAAUGCCUAUUGAACUCGGACUGCUGUUCCACACAGCAAGGCAAGUCGACAUAGCCUUAGCUUUCAGACACCUUUGCUCCAAAUAGUCUUGGUCUAUUGGUCAUGCACCAGCACAGAUCAAAGAGGGAAAAUGGUUGUAAGUAUAACAUUCAAAGCAAGUGAACUUGCACAGCGUGAACACGAUGCUGUGAUUUCAGCUUGCCCUCAUCCUAUGGGCUAUGUGUUAUGGCAUUUGGCUGCAUAGAAAAGUUCUAUAAAACAAAUCCAAAUUUUAUGAUUUCCACUCUGUGAUACCAUGGGCAUUAGAAUACAUGAAAGUGUUUUUUGAAAACUUCUUUUGGGGAGAGAUUCUGAUGAUGCAGACAACCACACACCCCAGCUUCUUAGCUGCUCUGUGCUGGCCAGGAACUUCUCAGGGCUGGUAGAAGUAUAGCCCUGGGAGCUCAAAGUCCUCUUUUUGCUAGGAGCUUUUUGACCAAAGAAAGUUAUUUCUCCUGUACUUUGAGAUAUCCUGACUUCACGCUUCCAACACUCCUCCUUUUCCUUCGGUCUGGGUAUUUACAAUGUUUAGUAGGACUAGGAUCAGGACUGGCCUCCAUCGCUAAUUGUCUCAGAUAUGGCAGAAAAAUUCAGUGUGAAGUUCUGCUUUUGCAAUACAACUGAAGAAAUUUACCAUCUAUAGCCAUGCGGGUGGGACAGUCCACCCCACAUGUGACAACACUACAGAUGCUAUCACCUUGCAGCAGAGUGGAGGAAACAUUGUCCAGGCUUUGGGAUGGAUUCUUAUUCUGCCUUCAAGACCUACAAGACCUAGAGUAAUCUCUGAGUUUUGAGUUUCUUCCUCUAAAACAGGGCCAUGAUAUCUACAUGGUAGAGUGAUUGAACUAUAUAUGACGAAAGUAAGCAAAAAGUCUGCCCAACCAGAGUGGGACUUUGAGGGGGGUGGUAUUUGUUGUUGGGUUUUGUUCAUUUUGUUGCAUUUUCAGAGGGAGAUAUUAUUUUAAGUGUAUUACAGACUUUCCCUGGAGUAAAAAGUUCAUAUGUGAUUAACAUGUUAAAGAAACAAAAACUCUUACUUAUUUUUCACAACUGUCAUAAGAAACAAAAAGACCCUGUGAAAUAGCUUACCAGAGAGUUCUGACCAAAUUUUGCUCCUACUAAUGCUCAGAGGGAAAUCUGUUGCAGGGCCUGAUUCUUACUAUUUCAUGUCAGCUCAGUGCUGACUCACCAGUAUUCCCUGUGUAAACAAGUAACAAAAUGAGUGGGAACAGCAAAAAUCAUGGCUGUUAUAAUUAUUAAUGUGUAUUUUUUGAUUGACUUUUUUUUACAUAAAAUCCCAUGUGUAAUCAUUUUUUAAAAAGUAAAUAAUAGGUCUCAGAAAUAAUAAUUAAUAUGACAUUUAAACGAUUUCAGAAUGUUUCUUGCUUGCUAUAAAAUAAUCUGAAUUGAAGUAAUGUGUGCCUUAGCUUAUAGCAAUCUAUCUUCUAGUGUCUUCUCUGUCUUCUAGGUAGUUAAAUAGUCAACAAGUAGUGCUAAUUGCAUUCGUCAUGGAAUUUAAGGUUAAGAGGUUCUCAGGGAAAGCUUAAAUAAUUUGAAGAAUUAAUUCAGUAACUUUUAAGAAAUGAUGAGAUUUUUUAAAAAUUAACCAGUGAGUAUUUACAUAGUAGAGGUAUCCAGGGAUUAGGGAUUUGAGGAUGCUAAGCUGGGAAAAACACAUAGCCAGACCCUCUUUGGUGUUAGCUGAUGAAACAAUGAACAGUAAACCUCCAGGGGUGGAAUUAUAUUGCACAGCCUUCAGGUGCUAAAGAAGCGCAGAUGGAGAGAGAUUCUAGUGAAGUCAGUGGUAACAGGACAGCUGGUGGAGAAGGCAGAUCUUGUGCUUGGGCCUGGAGGAGUUAACACACUUUGGCUACUGGCUUAGUCAGCUUUUUCACAGUUGACUAAAAAGACCAGACAAUAACAAUUUUAAAGUGGAAAGGUUUAUUUGGGGGCUCACAGUUUCAGAGAUCUCAGUCUGUAGAAGGCCAGCUCCAUCCCUCUGGGCUCUUGCAAGAUGAAGCAGGACAUCACAGCGGAAAAGAAUGUGGAGGAAGGUGGCUCAAGAUAUCACACAGCAGAGAGAGAGAGAGCUGUGCUCAACAAGGACAAAAAAAAUGUACCCCAAGGGCACACUCCCAGAGACCUACCUCCUAUAGCCACACCCUACCUGCCUACAGUUACCACCCAGUUCAUCCCUAUCGAGGGAUUAAUUGACUGAUUGGGUUAAACCUCAAAACCCAAUCAUUUCACCUCUAAACCAUCUUGCAUUGUCUCACACAUGAGAUUUUGGGGGAUACACGUCUAAACCAUAACAGCUAGUGUGCUAAUCAGCUUUCUGUUACAACAACAAAAUAGCUGAGGUAACUGACUUAUGAGAAGGAAAGGUUUAUUUUGGCUUAUGGUCCCAGAUAUUUUAGUCCAUGGCCAAUGGGCCUAUUGCUUUUGUGCCAGUGGCAAAGCAAUAGGUCAUGGAGGGAGGGUGUGGCAGAGAAAUCUGCUUAUUGAUGACUGCAGGGAAACAAGGAGAGAGAUGAUGGGAAGGGGCCAGGAUCCCGAUAUUGCCUUCAAAGAAACUUCCUCAGUGACCUUGCUUCCUUCCAGGAAGCCCCAUGUCUUAAGUUCGAUUACCUUUCAGUAGUGCCAUAGGUAGGGACCAAGCCUUCAACACAUGGGCCUUUGGGGAAUAUUCAUGAUCCAAACUAUAGCAGGUAGGCAAAGGUAACACAUUCCUGAAGUGUUUUAGACCUUAGUGGGCAUCUGUGAAUUCUCUCACGGUAUCAUCUGGAAGAGAUAAUUUGCAAACUUCAGAAUUUGACUACAAAUGGCUAAAAUGGUUGGACCUUGCUCAGCAGUAAAACUCCGGGAAAUAUGACCCCACAGGAAAAAGGAACACUUCUUCUGAGGCCCACCUCCAGUUGGAAUGCAGUAUGCCCAGAGGUUAUACAUGCAGAUCUUCAAUAGAUAAGGGGGUCAACAGAUUGUGGUUAUGCAAAUGAGGUGUUCAAAUUCUAUUCAGGAGCACAAGCAAAUAAGUUAGGAAGAGAACCUGAAAGUUAGCUAAAUUGGAAAGCUGGCUGAAAUGUGACAUAGAACAAACUUGGUAAGGAAUGACGGGUUCACUCCGCCCUGAGGAGGUACAGCAGAAUGGAGAACGACUUCCGAUAGAGCUGUGCUCAUUAUGAUCUCAGCUCAGAGUUCUCCAGUGAUAGGUGCAGAAGGCAUAUUGGAAACUUGCCACAUGUCUAAUUAUUUUCUGCAUUAUCAUGGAAAAGUGCACACACUUAAGAACAUGGUGAAUGUCAUCCUCUUUUCUUUGGAUAAAAGGAUGAUGAAGGUAUUGGUGCUUGGUGCUCUUUAUGCUAUAUGAAAUUGCAUAUUUACUGGGUUGUUUUAAAUUUUUUGUUUUAAUUAGUUAUACAUGACAGUAGAAUGCAUUCAUGCACAUUGAUAUAACAUACAUAGAUGGGAUAUGAUUUUUCAUUUUUCUGAGUGUACAUGUUGUAGAAUCAUAUUGGUCAUGCAGUCAUAUAUAUACACAUAAAGUAAUAAUGUCUGUUUCACUCUACUAUCGUUCCUAUCCCCACAUUCCUUCAACUCCCCUCCCAUCACUUCCCUCUACCUAAUAUAAGGUAACUCUCUUCUUCUCUAGUGUCCCCCCCUAUUGUGAAUUAGCAUCUGCAUAUUAGAGAAAAUAUUUGGCCUUUGGUUCUUUGGGGAUUGGCUUAUUUCUUUUAGCAAGAUAUUCUCUGACUCCAUCCAUUUACCAGCGAAUGCUAUAAUUUCCUUCUUCUUUAAAUCUCAGUAGUAUUCCAUUGAAUAUAUAUUCCACAUUUUCUUUAUCUAUUCAUCUAUUGAAGGACACCUAGGUUGUUAAUUGAGCUGCUAUAAAUAUUGAUGUGGCUGUAUCAAUGUAGUAUGCUGAUUUUAAGUCCUUUGUAUAUAAACCAAAGGAUGGGAUAGCUGGGUCAAAUGGUGGUUCCAUUUCAGGUUUUCUGAGGAAUCUUCAUACUGCUUUCCAUAGUGGUUGCACCAAUUUGCAGUCCCACCAGCAGCAUAUGAGUGUAAAAAAUAAGUUAUAGAAUACAACUUUGGGUGCUGUAUUAUAAAAGGCAAUUUAGCUCUUCAUUCUCUCUCUGGGACAACUUUCUCUGGAAAAAUCUAAAUACCAGGUCAUGAGGACACUUACCUGUGGUGAGGUCCACCUGGUGAGGAGCAGAGGCUCCUGCCCAGAGCCAUGUGAGUGAGUUUCAAAGUGGAUCCUCAAGUCCCAAUCAGAUCUUCAGAUGACAGUGGCUCUGUCAGUGCCUUUCUGUUUUGGGCACCAGUUAUUGAACCCAGGAUGCUUUACCACUGAGCCACAUCCCCAACCCUUUUUAUUUUUUAUUUUGAUAUAGAGUCUUACUAAGUUGCUUAGGGCCUCACUAAGUUGCUGAGGCUGGCUUUGAACUCAGGAUCCUCCUGCUUCAGCCUCCCGAGCUGCUGGGAUUACAGGCAUGCUAUGUCAAUAUCUUAACAGCAGCCCCUUGUGAGGCCUCAAGCAGAACCACUCUGCCAAGCAGCUCCUGACUUUAGAUCCACAGAAAUUGAGAUCAAUAAAUGUUUGAUAUUUUAAGCACAUAAAUUAAAGGGUGAUUUGGUAUGUAGCAAUAGAUAGCUAAUACAAAGGGAUGUACAGAGUAAUGUGGCAUCCUAAAGUAAAAGCUACACAAAGAGGUAAGAAUUCCAAAUUCCCCCCUUUUUUUUUUUUGAUACUAGGAUUGAACCAAGGGGCACUUAAUUACUGAGCUACAUCCCCAGUCGUUUGUUUGUUUGUUUGUUUGUUUAUUUAUUUAUUUAUUAUUUAGAGACAGGAUCUCACUAAAUUGUGGAGGCUAGCCUCAAACUUGCAAUUGUCCUGCCUCAGUCUUCUGAGUUGCUGGGAAUAUAGGCAUGAGCCACUGCAGCCUGCUAAGAUCUCCCUAGUUUCAGAUUGACUCCCAAAAGAAAAGAAACAAACCCUGACCUACCACUGCUUCCUAUUUAAGAACACAUGUCAAAAGCACACACUUACAGCUGCCAUUUUUACAUUUUUUCAGAAGGCUUCAGGCGUUCUAGGUUCUCCUAACAGUUGGGGCCACUACAAAGGUGCUGAGCUGGCAAGGAGCCAGGACCCAGAACCCUGCCUGGCCUGUGCCAAGUGGACAGAGCCAGUGAGAGCCUGUUGACACCCAAAAGGGCAAAAACGAAGACUGCUCAAAGUUGUCUGAACCUAGAACUGCUAUUUUACACUAACCUCAAUGUUUCAAUGGUUUCAAUAUAUAAUGAAUUUUCCAGAAAAGAGAAUCACUAUAUAAAACAUUAGAAGUUUAUAUUCAUUUUUUUUAGAAUCUUUCUAGAGUUUUUCAAAGCCCAUCAGGGACAACAUUAUAUUAAGUUACUUAUAUAUGGUGGAAAAGACAGUGGUAUCAUCUGCAUUUCUACCUGAAGAAUCCAUGGUGAUUCUACAAAUGAAGAAAGCAUUAGAUUACUUCUAAUAUAGCCAUAUGUAAGCACUGCCUAAUGAAAUGUACAUUCAUUUAUUUUAAACUGCUUUCCACUUAUUUCUCCUGUAUAUUGCAGUUUGAGCACUGUUUGCUUUAAUGAAGAUUGUUUACGUAGACAUGGUACAUGUUCUGUGACUUUUCAGAGACUAAGAAGCACUAUAAAACCCUUGAAAGAAGGGUAUUAAGUCUCGCAUUGAGACCCAUUGCUCAGGCUGCUUGCAGCUGUGUUGAGAGGCAGAGUGGCAGAGUGUGUGGCAGACCUGGGUUCAAAUCCUGGGUUACCAGCCUUUUAUUUUCUCAUCUUUCAGACAAGCAAGUACUUCAUGGUUUUGUUCAAGACAGUGCUGGGCCCAUGGUCCGGCAUGAUAACAACACGUGCUGUGUGUGCUGUGAUCUGCUGUGUAAUUGGUGUGCUUAUGCCUUGUCAUGAGUAAAUCAGUGAGUUUAUUCCUCUCAGGUGUGCUGGGUGAGAUGCCAGCUUGAUUCUGAAACCUAACAAUAGUCAUGCUUAAAAAUAACAAUAGAGAAACCCGGUGAGAGAUAAGGGAGCAGAGAGAGAGGGAGGGAGGCACACAGCACCCAGUGACCUACAUCCUCCAAGGAGGUCCUACCUCUCAGUAGUCCAGUCGGCCAAAGGAUGAACCCACUGAGGAGGUCAGAGUCCUCAUGUCCAUCACUUCCCCAAACCUCCACCUCUGGACAGGAGACUUGGGAGGACAAUCCAGAUCCAAACUGUAACAAAGUGAUUACCGGUGCCACAGUCACGGAAUUCAUGAAAACAUUGAUAAAACAGGGAGCUCCUCUAGUCAGUCCACAUAAAACAGUCAUAUAAACCCAAUAUUGUAUAGAUAUUAGUACUAAAAUUGAAAAAAAAAGUUUCAAGAGAAAAAUGAAGAUGUGAAGAAGUACCAAAAUAUCAGUACUUAUUUCUAUAACUGGUGUAUAUAUAGAAGAUAUUUAAAUGUAAAUUACCUUUGAACUAAAAUGAGAAGUUAGGAAUAGCAUAAUCACAGAAAUGGUUAUUAAAACCAUCUGAAAUUUCCUGUGUUCCACAGUAUCAAAUAAUGAUACGAAAAUCUAAGUGGCUCACAGAUGAUGGUGUAAGAGAGAUUUUAGUAGACAUUUUUGUAGUUUCACAAAAGGAGGUUCUUAAAGAAUAGAAGGAGGUUUAGGUAAUGCCAUUAUUUAAUCAAAAUGUCAAAUACCAGCCAUCACACACCACCUGCUUUUUCAAGAAAAGGAAGCUAGGAACUAAAGGAGGUCUCUUAAAAAGAGAUAGAAAAAGGAUAAAUGACCAAAAAAAGUGGAAAAUAAUUAUAGUCUAAAGGAGAUGGGUGUAGGGUAUCGUUAUAAAAUACAUUUAUCUCAGAAAUUUAUAUGUGAACUAAAGUGUACUAAAGAAUAAAAAACUUUGCUUUUCAUAUGUCAAUCUAUCACUGAGCCACACCCAGCCUUUUUUUUUUUUUAAUUUUAAGACAGGGUCUCACUAAGUUGCUGAGGCUGGUCUGGAACUUGUAGUCCUCAGCCUGGAGUCGCUGGAAUUACAGAUGUCAUCACAGCUCCCAUCUUAGAAAUAAGCACUUUUUAAAGGAUGAGGAAAGAGGCUCAAGUUACAUUGAGUUUUAACAUUAAGAUUCUCACAUUCCUUUACAACUACCACCUCUGCAUUUCUGGCUUGUAUUCUAUUGGAGUGUAAUAAUACAUUCCUCCAUUACCUUCUAGUGGCAGCUGUUUCCCAUGCUUAGGGUUUGAUUCUUAAAGACAUUGUUCAGGUGCUGAGAACAAGUAGCAGGUGCCACCUAAAUACUCCAGUUUCAAUCCCAGAAGAAACUUCCCAGAAGAAACUUCUGGGACUAGUAAACUUCACAUCAUGUAGCAGUUGAUUUUCUAAAGAGUUGUGUCAGAAUUGUGAAUCCCAUCAUUUUUAAAUGGGUUAUCCAAAUUUAAUAACCUUUUCACAACUCUACAUUUUCCAAUAUUAUAAAAUAAAAAAGGAUUAACUGAAGUUAGAUAAUUGAGGGUUAAUCAAAAAUUCCUGUUUUAAGCCUAGGUGUGAAUAUGCUCCUUAAACAUUUGUGAGCUCCCCUGCCUUCCAGAUUGCUGGCUCACCUAGAAAGACAUGGUCAAGGUUAGACCAGCCUAUUGAGGCUGCUGCUCACACAUGACCCAGGACUGAAGGUUCAGAAGGCGUUGGCCCCUUCCUUGCACCCCUCUGAACCCAGCCCCAUGCUCACCAGUUUCUUAACACUAACAUUUGCUUGAAGAAAUUCUGCACAUAUUCAUAGUGAGUUUGACAGUGUCUGAGUUAGGGAAAAUAUUUCUAUUGUAAUACUUACCUUUGUUAACUGGGAUUUGUGUGCUUUUGUGAAAAGAUGGAAUGAAAGGUAGGUUUGUACACAACCAUUUAGCUAAAAUCCAACAUUGUUAAAGUUUUCUGAAGAUAAAUAGCUCAUCAAAAUUAAGUACACUUUAAAAUAAAAUAAUGCAAUCUUUUUACAUAUAUAAAUAAACAACCAGAAUAGUUUUCUUUCUCAAAUGUCAGUAAGGAUUAUCUUUAGCAAAAACACUCCAUCAAUAUUGACUUUUUCAAGUUGACAUAUGUGACGAUAUAAGAACAGAUUUUAAAAACUAAUAAGAAAAUAAGAAAUAAGGUAACCUCUUUCUUAUAAAAAAGUAAUGUGCAGAGAAAAAGACAUAGAAUAAGAGGAGAAGAAUCUAAGCUUAUUUCUACAGAAACAAAGAUCUGAUGGGAUAAGGGAACUUAGAAUUUUUAGCACAAGGAAAAUAUGCACAGUGAGGGGGCACAUAAGUUAUUCUCUUCCUCUCCUUAAGGAUAUCAGUGUUUCUUUAUCCCACAGUGAAGGGAGAAUAUGAAUUAUUCCCAGGAAUCCAACAUAAUGGAUGAAUUGCAAAAUGCUUUUCCAUUUUUUAAGAUCAUUCUGUUGUCGCAGUAUUUUUUUUGUCUAAACCUUUACUUAAGGAUUGAAGUGUUUCUAAUGAUAGUGAAGUAACUCUACUAAAGUGGUCCUACAAGUUAGUAUGUUAACAUCCUAAUGUAACCCAGUAAUUAUAUGUAUAUAUAUUUAAAAUAUUUUUAUUAUAAUAUUUACUAUAUAAAUAAUAUAAAUAUAAAAAAUAUUUAUUAUAUAUAUAAAAUGUGGUAUACAUAUACAGGUAAUACAUACAGAUGUAUGCUGUAGGUCAAAAUUUGAAAUUACAUUUCAUUCAAAAAUGAUUAAUAGUGUGAACAUUUGUUAAGAAUAUUGUGAUUACUGUUUUUAGUAAUUUCCUUUGUAUUUGCCUAGGAAUAUCUAAAGAACAAAUUAAAAUUGAAAAAUGGACAAUAACAUAGAAGGAUCUUCCUUUGUCCUAAGAGUANCACUAGUAUGGCAAUAUGUAAAUCAAUGGAUGUGUAACUGAUGUGAUUCUGCAAUCUGUAUAUGGGGUAAAAAUGGGAGCUCAUAACCCACUUGAAUCAAAUUGUGAAAUAUGAUAUAUCAAGAACUAUGUAAUGUUUUGAACAGCCAACAAUAAAAAAUUAAAAAAAAAAAGAAAAUUAAUUUAUUUUGUUUUUUCAUGAAUGUAAAUUAAAGCUCUACAAACUAUUGUAGUAAACUUAACGUUCUUUUUCACAAAUUAAAGCUAACCAACUUAGUGUUAAUGAAAGGAACUAUGUUCAAACACAAAUUCUAAAUAACUCUGGUAAAAAGAAAAUCUCAUACUUCAUAAGAUUUUCCUUACAUAAAAUUCAUGUAACUUCAACAGAAAGUCAUUAAAAUAUAAUUUUCUAUAGCACAGCCUGUAUUAAUUACCUUGCAUGAAAGUCUGAAGAGUUCCUUAAUAAAUGUCUGGUUCUGUGUGUCCCUGGAAAGGAGAAUUGUGUAUUGAUUAGUUAAUGAUCUCAAAUCAGGGGUCCCAGUUUCAGCUGGUGAUGAUCACUGUCUUUUCUUUUUCCUGGAUUGAAUAUCCUGAUCAAAAUCAGAGGUAAAACAGUUUUUUUAAAAAAACAGGGAAAUGUUUUGCUUCUGCUUAUAUUGAUAAUGCAGAGAAUGCCAAAUAUAAAUUUAAUUUGAUAUUUUGCAACAACUUGUUAAUUCAUAUGGCUUAAUCCUCUCUCUCUCUCUCUCUCUCUCUGUGUGUGUGUGUGUGUGUGUGUGUAAUACAUCUUUAUUAGUAAAUGAGAAUUUUAAGAAUGAUUUUAUAAACAUGCUUUGUGAACCUGAUUUUCUCACACUUUUAAGAUGAUUUAUAUGUACUACACUGGGAUUAUAAGAAACAACAACAAAAAAAUAUUUCCAAGUCCAUUGAAUCCUUGUGUCCUUUGACUAACUAUUCACAAACUCUAUUUGAAUACUUAUUCUGAACAACAUAAGAGAAUAAAAACCAUUAUCUUCUCUUGCUUUCCGUACCACAAUCACAUUUAUGCUUGGUUUUAACUCAUUUCAGCAAAAGGAAAUUUCAACUUUUUAUAUUGACUAAAUGCAAACCGUAGUGGCUAAUGUAUACUCACAUUUCAAAUAGGAAAAAUUCAGAGACACUAUGUUUGAUUACAUUAAUUUCUUAUUAGGAUUUAGAAUUUUUAUGUAAUAUUAAAUGUUCCUUUUGUAAUAUUAAAUUUUUCAAUGUUUGCUAAAUUCAGUACAUUGGAGUUAAUGCUCACUUAAUUCUAGGACUAAUCAUUUCAACUUCAAAAGAUAAAUCUAAAGCAUAAAUCAUUUGACACAUUGGAAGUUAUUUUUCAUACUAAAAGUCAUGAAAAUUAAUUAAAUAAUGAAAUUAAUGCUGACAUUAUCCAAAAUCAUCUUGGCUUAUGUUCCUAUGAACCAGAGAAAUGUGAAGUAGGGAAGAACACACAGUCUGAGUAGAUCACAGAGUCUAUUUAGUGGUCACUAUAGAGUGAGAAAAUUAACUGGUGGAGGGGGUUGUAGGCUUUUGGUGAGGAACACGUGGAAUAUUUUUGCACCCACUUUUUGGUUUUAUCUUGGCUGUCUGAACAUCUUCUUUCAAAAUGUCAGCAGUGAUUAGAUUAUAUUAUGGGAUAAUUAAUAUGAACUUUUAUCUGAAAGCUAAUUUUGAGUAAUACUAGAACAAAACAUAUGUCAAUAUGUUAAUGAUGGAAAGUUGAGCAGAUUGCUUUUAUAUAUUUUUAAAAAAUACACUUUUUCUCUUUUCAGUUCACCUUACUUUUGAAAUGCCAAUUCAAUAUAAAUGUUUGAGAAAGGUUAAAUGCCCUGUGAAAGACACACCAUUUGAAGUCUGGUGCUAUAGUUUCUAAAUCCUUCUGUAGAAUGUGGUAUAGAUUCUUGUGGUAUGAAAACACUGGCCCUUUCAGGAAGUGUGGGAGGCCUUUCCUCUGGGCCUGGGCUCUGGGCUGUGGCUGUGACUGAUAAGCCAAGCGCAGCUCACAUCCGAAUGCAGUGCUCCAUGCUUUUCUUGUUGUGCUAUGUUCCUUGCUUCCUUGUUUUAAGCAGGCCUUUCCCCCAAUUAGUUGAAGUUGCUAAACAGCCUGUCUCAUCCCAUGGUAAUCCUAGGGAUGUGCUGGACUUUUCCCUUCCCCAGAGGUUGACCCUGCCAUGUUGACUCACGUGUCUAAAUAAAGGCCGUGCUCAGAAUUAGAAUGAACAGCUCCUCUGGCGGGAUCAUAACCCUCCGGACAUGACCUCACGUACAUGCUAUGAAGCGGGGAGGCCACAACUGGAUUCUGAUCUGCACAGUUCAAACAGCCUCGCAGUUCAGCUACCUUCAAUCCAAUCAUUGGGUUUGUUGGAAUUGAAAUCAGAUUUGGAAUAUAAUUGGUGGAGUUAAUAUAUCCAGCUGAGCCCACGCCAGUCACACACGCAGUUCUAUUCAAAGGCACAGCCACAUUUCAUCUCCAGCAGCUCAUUCAGUAUUUUGUGCAGGUGACAUUACUUAUCAUCCCAUAUGCAGAGUGCUGUCAUCAUGAGCAUCAGGACCUCCUUUUUGUGCACUCUUUCCAUUUCCACAGACUACUCUGGUUUUCUAGGAAUAUUAGGUAGCCCUUUGGUGCACGGCAUAUGGUCAGGAUUUUUAUUUCUCCAUCCACUUCUCAAUUAGUUCUGACAAAGAAGUAAAAGCAACUGGUUUGCUAUUUCUAACUCUAGAAAAUUACAUCGGAAUAAAAUGUAAUUAGUUAAAUGGGUGCUAAUUGCAUUUGUUCUGAUAAUUCUGAUCCAGAUUUGUCAAAAUGCUUUAAAUAUAUACUUUUACAAAAAAGGACAUAGUCUUAAAAUUACCAGUUGAUUUUAAAUAAGUUAUGUCCUUUCAAGAUCCCCAUUUACAUUGUUUUGGGGCAAGUUAUAAAUAACUUUAUAAAAAAAUUGUAAUCUGUAUUUCUCUAACAUGAGAAAUUUUGGAUUGAAUCUGAUGAUAUUAUAAUUUUUAACCUGAUAGUACCAUACUUGUGUGAUACUUCAUGUUCUUAUGUUUAAUGCCUCUAAAAUGUAAUAAUAAGUUUGUUUUUCUUAUUGGAAAAAAAAAAACUUUCUCUAAUUAUGGGAACUCAUCGACCACUGGGCUGAAAGUCAGAGGCAGCUGGGUGGUGAACUGGCCUCUCGCCCAGACCUCAGAGCAAGACUAAUUUGAAACCCUUUAUAGAACAUAGCUCACAGCCUACAACCCAGAAGAUCUCACUCUAAUCAACCAUUGAUCCCAAGAGGUUUCCUUUAUUGACCUGAAAAUAUUUUUUUUUCAUCUUCAUGCCAGCUAAGGCACUUACAGAGAAUAGGUAGAUGGCAUCUACCACUGAAUAUGCCUAAUGAAGAGGGCAAAGUCUCCCUUCUCUCCCACAGAUGACAUUUUGGUUCUCUUCCCAGUGGCAUCCUGUAAUGACACAUGAUACUAAGAAUGCCUCUCUCCCUCCAUCUCUUAACCCAUUCCAUCACCACUCUACGAAGAACCUGUGCUUGGCAAGGUGCCCCUUCUGCAGACUCACUUGGCAAAUCAGUUAGGUGGUCAGGGAUUGUGGAAGCCAGGUAAGAGAAUUCACUCCUGUCUGUAGAUACCUAGGUGUGGAUGCAGGGCAGUUGAUCUCCCUGGAUAUGACAUCAGAAAGUUCCAGUUACUCUAAAGUUGCUUCCCUCUAUGAUUUACCUGCCUAUGGAGUUUGAAAGGUUCACACCAAUGCUGACUCUGUGACACUUCUCAAUUUAUAGUAGCUCAAAGGCCACUUUGAUUAUUCCAAAAGGCAAAGUAGAGCAAAAAUGAUACUUUUUUUCACUCAGGGAGGUCAGCAUUUAUGGGACAGACUCAGAUUCUCAAAAUUGUUUCAGAGAAUGGAGGUUUCUUUUAUACCAGCUCAAUCAGAUUAAAGAAGGUCAGUUAAACAAACUACUUCCAAAAAGUCCCUGUUUUGAAUUACUGCAUUGAAUGUGAACUAUCAGGGUCCUGGAUCUCUUAGCAAACAUCAGAGAAGGGUUUCAAGGCUGUUUUGAGAAACAUACUGUCCAACUAUACGGCCUUUUCCUUCUGCAAAGAUUUAUCAAGGAUCAAUGUGGCUAUAGACACCUCUGUUUUUGUUAAAAUGCCUUUGGCCUUUAAGUUAUCUGUAAUAACUUUUAGGAAGGUCUAAGCAAUUUAAAAUAAUAUUAAUGGAAAAACCAUGAUUCUCUAUAGCAUUUUCCCUUCCGUUUUAUCUAAAUGGCUAGGAGUGAGGAUUUGCAUAAUUUUACUUAGUUUUCUUCCCCCAUUUUUGCCAUAAUCUGUGUUUAUAUAGAAGCCAUAAAUUUGCUUUACUAAUGGAAUUUGUUAAAAUAAUAUUUUGACUUUGCAGAGAUAGUUGUAUUUUUCUGUUUAUUUUAAUGUUGAAACUUUUAAAAUACUGUCAUGAGCUUAGAGGAGCAAGAACAUCAUGUUGGAAAAGACUAAAAUUCAUUGCUUUAGUUGAUAGCUUGUCUUUUAAUAUUCAUUGUGGUAUAUCUGUGCUGUGUCAUAUUGUAAGCCUUGUAUCUGUCUCCUACACUCCCCCAUAUCCUCACAAAAAAGCUAUAGAAAAUAAUGACACACUGCCACCAAAAACUGUUUAAUCUUGACUUAAAUUUGUAGUGUAAUUUCUUGAAAAUGGGUAUCUAAGAUAAAAACAAAACAAACUAAUAAAAAGCAUGUGUGUCAGCUGUAAUUUUGCCCAAAUCUCCCAAGAAAGAUAAGACCAUGAAAGGUGAACUAAUUUGUGUCUUGGGGAAGUGAUCCUUUUAGGAGCUGAGGGGAGCUGGCGGUGGGAAUUCCAAACAAGGUUUAAAAUACCACAGGCUUCUCCAAGGGCAUCUGGGGAGAGCUGAGUUGCUAGGGCUUUUGACACCAAGCCAGGGUGGCAGCUGUUUUUGUAUUUCGUCCAUCUUGUUCAAACAGCCACAAAUAUUGAAACCUGUUCAGAGAUGAUGUGGACCAAGAUCCUGAGCCAGAAGCAUAAUUACGUCAUCUCUCUCUCUCUCUCUCUCUCUCUCUCUCUCUGUAGCCUGUCCUGUUCUUGGGAAGGGGCAUUAACACAUUGGGAGUACAGUGGCACCUGCAGGAUCAUCUUACCUCGGUCACCCUCGUGGACACAAUGAACCAGUCACACUGAUGCCAAGGUGUGCCACGGUGUUCCCACCCCAGUCUGACUUAUCCCCACCCUGCCCACUGAAACCAAGUACUAGAUGAGAGAGAUGGAAGGAGUCAGACUUGUAUUUCCACAUACUUUAGAGUAAAGGAGACCUGAGACUUCUCUUCAGGAUCCAAUCCCUCAGCAGCACACAGCUCCAUGGCACCUUGCUCCAUUCCCAUUCAAGCAGUAUUGAUCCAGCACCUGUCUUACUUGAGAUAAAUAAACAUUGGGACCUAAGAGUAAAUACUCCCUAUUUUUUAGGUAUUCCCAAUCAAAAGGAAUAGUCAGAGUCAUAAAGAUAAAAAUCAUGCUAAAACAUAAAGAGUUAGAAAACUAAAUUUAUGUAAACACACACACACACACCUGCGUAUGCUCUAUUAGGCUGCUCAGAAAUUGCUGGAGCUAAGAUCAGAUCUCAGCCUCUUUGCUUUGAGACUCACAGCCAGUUUCUUGACCAGUAUGGCUGACAUCAUAGAAACUUCACCUAAGUACAAACCAUAGCUCAUAUUAUAUAUCAGUACAGUUCUGGCUCUUGUAGAAGAAUGUCCACUCCUUCCCAAAUCCUUAACUAGUAAGACCGAAUGCACAUUUCUAGUAAGUCCCUGACUUCACCACAUGACAGCACAUGUGACAGGGGACAACAGCCAUGUCUGGGACCUUGCUGAUGGCCUGCUAUAGAAGGGCAGCUGCAACUAUAAGUUUGUAGACAGAAGUGACCUUAGAAGUCACCUACUCCAACUUUCUUCCAAGAGAUGUCUCUCAAGGGAUGCUCUGAAUUUCAAAUCAGGAAAAGUUUGGGAGCCACAAACUCUGCUGGCUUAGAUUUGCCAUGAAAUUGGGAGCUAUUUGCUGCAAACAGAAAUAGGACCCACAGAUUAUAACCAGUUACUGCUGAGUCUUCCUACAGAGUCUGCAGCCAGUUUCAGUGGGGGUAUCCCCACCACCCUAGUGUUCUGUCUUCUGCUCCAUCAGUGACCUGCUUGGUUUUCCCUCCUCACUCUAUUCUAUCAAGGUGGACUCAUCCACUCCAGGGCAGAGACUGCCAGAUUCUAUCCCCACCCCUAGCAGAGAGGUGUUGCCAGGAAGCAACAUUUGCUAAUGGCAUUGGAAGGGUGUUGUGGACUUUUCUGACCCAAUGUGGUCUAAGGAGAGAUACACCAUUUCUACCCUCUCAUCUCCCACCAGCUACCUAUGUGUCAAUGCUCAAAGCAACCUGGGUCAAAGAUGGCAGAAAUAUCAUCAGUCUGCAUCCUUGAAUAACAUAUAGGCCAGAGUUGUGCCCCCUUCACACACUCUGACACCAACCAGGAACACUUUGCAUUGUGCCCUAGCUUAGUGUUCUUUAAGAACAACCAACUACAACUCUAUCUGCGAUAUGCCCUCUAUACAUGCUCAUGGAUUUUACCAGUACUGUCAUCCACUCCUAUCUGCAUACAUUGAUACAAAGUCCUAAGGCAACACCUGGUUUAUUGUAGACUUUCAGCUAGUGUUGACAGAAUGGGUUUUUUUUUAUUAUUAUUGUUGUUGCUUUGAUUACUAUCAUCAUUAAUUUUUGCCUUUGACCAUACUGAUUCCACAUCUCUACUAGUUUUAGUUUUUCUUUUGGCUCAAAUCCUGUAGUAGAUUCUUGUGCUCAAGCUACAACUUUCCUCCCAGGACUGCAAAGUGAGCAGAGUGGGAGUCAAGGGCCCAGAGCCCUGGGUUGAGGUCCCCCCACACCCCCCACUGUGUGAGCUCCAUGGAUCACUCACUAGCUCUGUGCCUCCUUUUGGUCAUCUGUGAAACUAGGACAAAAAUAGCUUCCUGACCCACUUCAACAGAAUAGUUAUGAGGAAAAACCUAGAUCAUGGUAGAAAAGCAUUUUUAUUAACUCUGAAAAAUGUACAAAAGUAAAUGAUUGGUUGGUCGUAUUUCCAAUAGCAUAGACAUUAAGUAAUGCUUUCUCUAUGGAAUGUUGUCACCCUCCAUUGGGUCCUUAUAGCUUUCAGCCAUUCCCACAUUCCUUAGAGAGUGGGUAACUGACGUAAGUGCUAUAUGUCUUCAUGGGCACAUCCUCAAAUUUUUAUCCCAGGCAUCGAAAUAACUUGGCCUGGAGAACUGAACAUGGUGUCACCAUCCUGACAAUGCUGCCUGCGUUGAUAUUGUCUUCAGGUCUCUGAGUACAUCUUUCUAUCAGUUUCCCCUUAUUUGACAUUCACCCCACAAUAGCCACACUGGUUUUGGAAUGAGUAAAUGGAUGAAUGCUACUCCAGGAUACAGUAAAAUUUUCCAGUGCUCAGUUUUUUGUUUAUUGCUUUCUAUUUGGCUUUACCCUCUUACAUGACAAUAUGAGGAUGGUGAUAUGAUGAAGGGGUGGGGAAGGACAGGAACUGACAUUUUGACCUCUUAUGUGCCUGGCACUUAUCUAAGCCUUUUACAUUUAAUCUUCACCAUUACUUGGUCCAAAGAACACAUGUGCUUGGCACCCUAUACUGUAAGCUCCAUGAGGGACAGAAUUAUUUAUAUCUUAUCUGUCCUUAGGGACAAGAACAGUAGCCUGGCAUAGUCAGCUCCUAAGAAAUAGUUGUUGAAUGAAGCAAUUUACUCUUCAAAUGACUUUGAUCUUUAGGACUUUGGAGUUUUCUGGGCACUUGUAAUCCACUAAGUACCUAAUUUUGUAUAAUAUUGUAUAAAAUGCUUUCUCAUACAUAACUUCAUUUAAUGUAAAGCAACCAAUGACAUUUUAUCACUAGAAACACUAAAAUACAAUUUUCUGCCAAAUGAAACUAAAGUAUGGACAUCAUUAUGUAUCAUAAGAGUCCAGUUUCUUCAAUGAAUGACAAACACUUAAAUUAAUUCAAAUUAAGGAUGACUAGGGUUUAAAAGAAAGAAUUAUCAUAUAUUAGAACUGUUUUUUUUUACUGAAAGAAGAAAAUACUAGAAUAAAUUGCCCCAUUCUGCUUAAAAAGAGGGAAUUCUCAGUUGAGUGCCAAAUUUAUAUACCAAUGUGGAAAGGUAGCUACAAGGCUGAUUCUUUGAGUUUAUAAAGGAAAAGAAAAAUGAAAAAAAUACUUCAAACAAACCACAUAAAAUUUCCUAGUAUGUAAUUAAAAUUAGAACUGAUGAAAUCUAAAAGAAGCUUAAUUUGCUAGCAACCAUGAGGAUUUUCAUUUCACAAUGACUUGAGACAGUAAUGGCCAUGAUCUACUUUGCAUGUCCUAACCAAUGGGGGAAGAGUUCCUAUUCGAGAGUGUUCAGCAACAUCACAGGAAAUGGUAGAUCAGGCGCCUGUGGGUUAGGAUAGGAUUACAGUCUCUACAACUUGAAGAGCAUGUCUUUAAAUGAAAUUCUAAAAUAUUAUGAUGGGUUGAAGGCCAAGUACAACUUUAUAACCAAAAUAUGAUGGUCCUUUGUAUUUAAACACUGGCAUCUGCAGCCGUCAUUGGUUUUAAGUAGGUUUUUAAGUAGGUUAGGGGAAGCAUUUCCUAAAACUCUCAGACAAAUAUGACUAGUCCAUUUGUCAUUUUGGUGUCUUCAGCACAUGAAGCAUUUCAAUUUUUAUCCAACAAUGUAACCUUUGGAGUUUUGCCUAAUAAUGACUUCAGUUGUGCUGGCCUUCCAACAGAUAAAUUGAAAUGGAAAUGCGUAUUUUCUAAUUAUGCAUCUAGACCUCGCUGUAUAUUGGCAAGGGUGGCCACACUGAAUGUUAAAUGAAGUCUGCACAAUAGCGAGAGUCUGUGUGACAUCAAAGUUUCCCAAAGUCACUUUCUUAAUCAUGUGAAGGAUAGCCAGGACUCCGAUCAGUAGUAUGUGGCUAUAUACAAUCAGAGGAAAAACAUUUAAACAUCCCAGCAUGGUAUUUCCAUUUAAAUCUGAUUACAGUGAAAUAAAACUGUAGCCAUUAAAGGUUUAGAAGAACUACAAAUACAAGCAGUAAAAGAAGACAGAUAGUAAAUGAGGUAGUAAAACAUUUCAGCAGGGCAAACAGUUUAUAGCGCUCAUUCAGUCUUCCCGACGCAGACUGUGCAAUUCACCACAGACCCCGCACCGUUCCCUGAACUCCACUUAAACCUGCAAUUAACCUUUCACGCCUAAUGAAGCUGUUUUCCUGGAAAAUUAAAAUAUAUAGUGGUGCCUGCUUUUGCAGAGACUUGGGAGGAGAGCAUUUCAAAACCAAUGACUUCUCUAAGGCUUUUGUUCAAAUGUAAAAUGGAAGUGCUAUGUUUGUAUAGAAAGCAGGAAUGUUCUUUCCAAGGCAGUUUCAUUUGAUGUGCAGUAUUUUAUUACUGUACUUAUUAAUUGUUCUGCAUAAUUGUUAAAAAAAACACACAUCAGUAAUUUUAUGAUUAGAUUGUUACUGCUAGAGUAUUACCAUUUCACUUCCAUUAGGGAAAACCAGAGUUUUACUAACAAGAACUAAAUUCCUGAUGUUUUUCCUUGGCGGUUUUUGUUGUAAAUUUAGCAAUUGAAAAAGAUGUAUUUACCAUUUAAAUAUUUAGCAGUUAGUCAUUUAUGUUUUUUCUCUUUAGAGACUAUUUGCACCUGUUCAAAGAGAUAACAAGUUCUUAAAUUUUAGGAGGCAAAUGUUGUUUUUCUUUUAAGAGUGUGAGUAAUGGUCUGAUUUGGGUUUGCAUUGUUCUAUCUAUUUACAAAAUAGUUGUGGUGACUUUUGGCAACCAACCUGUGACUACUGACUUGUGCCCAUUUGCUGAAGGCAAUUCUGGUGGUUCCAAGAGGACCUGCCUCCUUCACAGUUCACCUGCCCUGGGUGACCUAGAGCAGCCACCUGCUUGACAAAGACCAGUUUGACACCCCCAAGAGGCCAUGGAAGAUGGAAUAGGAAAUAGAAGAUGGACUUUCUUUCUUACGUGGUUUAUACUUCAUAUUUAAAUAAUCUAAAUGUCACAGUGUCUGGUAUUUAAGAAUUAAAGGUACAAAGAGGUAAAGUUUAUAAUAAAUUUUUAAGCCCCAGCAUUUUUAUUGAAUCUACCGGUAUAUUUUGAUGUAAAUUCUGCUAGCCUGCAGCGUCUGUGCAUCAUCUUGACAUGGUAAAUGAAAUUCCUUUAGACCGCCAGUCUAAAAUAAUGAAUUGUUCCCCCAGUUAAUUGUAUUGCUUUGAUAACAAGGAACUAUGCUAGGCCUAGAGAACACAAUAAGUGGAUUUCAUCAGAUGAUUUGUGUGACGUUUUGAAAAAUGAUCUUCAGGAGUGACCUGAUUUUAAUGGAACUCUCGCCGCCUCAGCACGCGCCACUGCGCAGGAUCUGGCUGGGACCAAGCGCCUCCUCCCAGGGCGCAAGGCGCUCGGGGGGUCUUGUCUGGAAGACCUCCCAUCGGGAAAGCUCCUUGGGAUGUCUAGCCCGGGAGAAAGAGCGCACCAGAUGAAACUACUUCUAGGUUGCUUUUAUUUUAUCGAUAUGUAUCUUUUUGAAAAAUCCAGGAAAGACCUUAAGUUGCCCUUAUCUCUUCAUUGCCAGUGUGGAAAUAAACCCAAGACCAACAAAAUGGAAACAAGCAAAAGCUAUUUAUUAGGAGCUUGUUAUAGAGAGGGAGUGAGCCACCAUCGCUUGUGUUUUGGCAAACACUUGAGGUCAGACAGAGGCUUGGGAAAGCUUUCAGAGGAGCAGGCAAGCCCCAGGUGGGUCGAGAUUGGAGCACCUGGCUCUGGGGAGCUGGAGGCAGGUUAACUGCAAGUGGAGCCUUCUGCUCAUUUGGUUAGGUGUGCAUUUCCCUCCCUCUAGUUGUCCUAAAUUGGAAGUAGGGACAAAUUAGGGAAGCUGUCAAUUAUUUAAAAAAGUGCAAGCCAUCUGGACACCGCCCCCCCCCCGCCAGUACCAGGGUUAUUUUUUGACUUCAUGGAUUGUUACUAGAGAUAGCAGUUUGAACUCCUGCUGGUCUGACUUAUAGCAGGCUGGCUUCCUGGGAUGGUCAUUGUAGAUAAUGGGUUGGUUUUCUGAGCAUGUCGCUGCUGACUGUGGUCAGAACUCUGUUGUUUUGUAUAGUCUUGCCAUUAUCUGUAUGUUCAGUCUCUUCCCCACAUAGAGUUCAGUUAGGGAUUUGGGGAGGUAAUAUUAUCUUUUAAAGAGCUACUAACUUGACUUUAAAUCAAUUAAGAAAAUUAGAUUCCUUACAAUAACAGAGUGUGCUGAGGGCAGUGGCAGAAAUGACUUCCUCCCCCUCCCCCUGAGUUCUGCCCACACUUCGCAAUUGGGGAGGACAUGAACCUUGAUUCUUGUAACCAUGUCCUCCUGUAGGAUGAAAGAGGAUCUAGGAACUUCUGGAUUGUUCUGGUUAUUUUCUGUCUUUGUAAAGUUCAUCAUGUUUUAAACAUGAAAAUAUGCAAAAAUAAUAACAAAAAAAAAUUUAUCCUCAAGUUGACAUUCUAGGUAAGUACACACACAAUGUGGUUAGUAAGGUUAUUGUGUUGUUCAUCAUUAAAUUACAAGAUUUAUAAGGAAGGAUAACUCAUGAUGGGUUACAAACUGAUCUAGUAAAGCACUCAAGCUUAACUCUGAAUGAAAUUGUCAUUUGACCCAUCAAAAAGAUAAGACCUGAGCAAGUGGGUAGGGAGUCCUCUGUGAAGGCACAGGGUGGACAUUCACAUACCACUGCCUUGGGGAAUGGGCCGUCUCCCAUCCACUUAUAUCCAUUUAUUCAGAACCUGAAAAUGUGGUUGAUUGUCCUGUUUUCACAGGGAAAAGAUAAAAAGCUGUCAAAUAAAAAAUCAACAUGAUUUGCAAUUUUAUUUGUAAAUUAAGAACUGAAAUAUGGUUUAUGACUUCUGAUUUUUCAGCUGAAUGUGUCUCCAAGCUUCAGAAUCAUUAGUAAACCCAGGACAUGUUGUGAGAGACACUACUUUAAUUAGGCUUUGGACUUUGUAUACCCUGAAAUACACAGAUACUGUGACAGCCUUGAAUUAGCAUAGAAUUUCCUGUUUUGGCAACUCAAAACUGUUUACUCCUCUCUGGCUCUGUAUCUUCUAUAAGGAAAACAACAUUUGCUGCCAUAUGUAAAUGGAAAAGUAUUUUUCAGAGCUUCUUUGGCCCAGGUCAUGCAAUAGUUUAAUGAAUAAAAUGAUUUCAUCUUUGGAUGUUGUGAUCAUUGAAAUUAGUGUAAGUGGUCUCUGUGCCCAUUAAAGGAGACAUACAUUAUUUGUCAUAUUUGGCUGUCUCUGCGUAAAAUGGUGCCAGGAACGAAAGAGCAGGAAAUUGUAAGUUAUGACAGAAGUAUGCCAGGAGAGCUGGAGAAACUUAAGGUCUGUCUGGACUGAACUUUCAGUUAGCACAAACACAGUCUGUGAUUUUUUAAAAAAUUAAUGCCCUUCACCUCCAUUUUAUAGAGCAUAAUUAAUGUCCUUCACCUCACCAUAUUAAUUUAAACUUGGAACCUGUGCUAUCUCUCAGUAUUUCAGGAUAAUAUUUAAUAUCCUAGAAAAGUAAGCCACUCCACAGCAGGCCUUAAAAGGUAAAUGUAUACAAUUAUUAGGCUAGCCACCAAUCAUCAUUAAUUUUGUGAAACCUUCCCUCUGACACCAUACAUUUCUCCUUCUUCCCCAAUACCUUCUCUUUUGUUUCCAAAUGUACUUGAGUCUACCUUUUCCUUUUAAAAGAACAUGUGCUCAUAUAAUCACAUGCAUCAUCACAUCAUAUCACUUGGGCUUGUUGCUUCUGCCAAGAAGAUAUGCCUGUAUGUCUCUGUCCUUUGCUGAACACCUUAAACGAGGGACUUAAUGUCUGCUGGCUACACUUCCUCCCACCCCGUGCCCUGCUCUACUGUCAGGCUUCCUUCCUCAGGCAUGAAAAUGGCACACAGAUCACUAGGGUCUUCUUUGAGGAGUCUUAACAGCCUGUCAUCUGCAGGCCUUAGCCUGCUGGCCCAAUGUGACACGUUUUUAAAGACUUCUUGAUCUCUGCCCUCCCGACUUCCCUGACACCUGGGCUAGGCUGUAUGACCUUCCUCUCUGUUGGCAUUUCUUUCUAUUCAUAAAUCUCUGGAGUUUUGUUCUUGCCAGAUCCUAUUUGAAGCUUACAUAGAAUAAAUUGACCUACAGGGAUAAAAUAAUUCAGUGACAUCUUCUGUGGGGUUAGAUCCAAAACAGAAGUCUUCAUCUAAGAGCAACAGGUGGAGAUGAUGGCCGUGAGGGCUUGGGGUGGGUCAGCUCACUUGGAAGUCAAGCCUCCAAGACCUUGGAGAAAGAGAAUGAGUCAGAAGUUCCUCAGUGAGCACUUCUUAGACAAGCCUAAGCAGGCUGGCCCUGUGAUGUAGGAUGGUGAUUUGGGAUAUUUUGUUUUAGUCAAGAAUGAUGGGAAUCUACAGAAACUGAAGUGGUCACUUGUAGCUAUGCUAAGGCAGGGUCCACCAUUGAACCAUUGCUUGUGUUAGUUUAGUAAAGUCUAUUGUCUCUGAGUCUCUAACUGAAUGUUCCUGUAAAUCAAUGAGCAAACAAAGUAACAAUUAUUUACUAUAACAAUACAAUGUUUUUUCAGAAUUGCCUAUGAUAGCUGGAGACCCAUUUUGGAUCAUAUUCUGGCAAUAAUACCCACAGUCCUUUUCUAAGACAUUUAUUAACUAAACUUCAACAGGUGGUCUUUCUUCCAAGUCCAUUUGUGCAUAGCACAGCUCUGCCCUCGGGGUGCUUUUUUGUUAAAAACAGUUUAAAAGAAUGAAAUGGCAAGGCACUGAAUGGGAAAAAAUAUUUGCAAAACUUUAUCAGGUAAAAGACUGGCAUCCAAAAUGUACACAGAACUUUAAAACUCAACAAUAAGAAAACAACCCAAUUAAAAGUGGACAAAAGACAUGAACAGAUACCUCACGACAGAAGGUAAACAAAUGGUAAAUAAAUACAUCAAAAUAUGCUCAGCAUCAUAUAUCUUAGUAAUUUCAGAUUAAAACAACCAUGACACACUGCUACACAUCUAUUAGAAUUGCUAAAAUUCAAAAUGAAGACAAUAGCAAAUGCUGGUGAAGAUGUGGAGCCGCAGGAACUCUCCUUAUUGCCGAAUGUAAAAAGGUACAGCCACUCUGAAAGACAAUUUGGUAGUUCCUUACAAAGUUAUAGGCUUCCCAUGUGAUCUAGCAGUAGCACACCUAGGUAUUUAUGAAUUGAAAACUUAUGCCCACAUAAAAACCUGCACACAGACGUUUAUAACAGCUUUAUUCAUAACUGCCAAAACUUGGAAGUAAGAACAAUUAAGAUGCCCUUCAAUAGGGGAAAGGACAAAUAAACCAGGGUACAUCAUAUAACAGAGUAUUAUUCAUUGUAAAAGAAAAUGAGCUAUCAUUUCCCCAAAAGAUAUGGAAGUACCUUAAAUGUGUUUACUCAGCUUUCUUUCCCUAUAAUAAAAUACCUGAGGUAAUGAAGUUAUAAAGGGAAAAGGUUUAUUUUGGCUCAUAGUUUGGGAGGUUCUAGUCCAUGAUCAGGCAGACUUCAGACCUGUGGUGGAUGCUGCAUGCAAUGGCAGGGAGCACUUCAUGGAGCAACCUGCUCAUCUCAUGGCCAGGAACCAGGAGAAAGGGGCCAGGGUCCCACAGUCCCCUUCAAUGAACUCCUCUAGUGACCUAAGGACCUCCGACUAGGCCUCACUUCCUGAAGAGUCCACUGCUUCACAGAAGCACUACGCUGGGGACUAACCCUUUAACAAUGGGCCUUUGGGGACAUUCAGUAUUCAAACUAUAGAAGGUGCAUAGUUUUAAGUGAAAGAAACCAAUCUGAAAGGCCACACUGUCGGAUUCCAACUAUGUACCACCCAGGAAAGGGAAAAACUGUCAAGACUUUAAGCAAAGAUCAGUAGCUGCUGGAGGCUUUGAGGAAGAGUGUGAUGACUCAGUGAAGCACUGGGGAUUUUUAGGGCAGUGAAACUUUUCUGUGUGAUGCUGUAUUGGGGGGCACAUGACAGUUGGCAUUUCUCAAAACCCACAGAACUGCACAGCACAAAGGGUAAACCAAAAAGUCAACUGUGGACUUCAGUUGAUAAUCAUGUAUCAAUAUUGAUUCAGUUUUUCUAUAAACCUAAAACUGCUCCAGGUUUUUUAAAAUCUUUGUAUGAACUUUGUAAAACAAAAAAUAUCUAUAUUAACAGUGAAAAUUCUUCAUACAUUCAGAGCUAAUGUGUUCAGGCACAAAGACUAAGGUGUGGGAACACCACUGAUCAUGAUGUUGGUCAAACACUGAACUUGACUGUCCAGAGUCAGUCAGCUAAUGUUGUUAGAUUCUUGUGGUCCAAGUGUGAAGUGCACAUGACCAAGUUAAGCAAUAUUUUAGUAAACAGAAAACUACUUGAUGGCAAAUUAUCAGGAAAACUUUUCAUAACUAACAUAAAACAAGAGUGAGCAGGACCCUGGGCCACAGGGCUUGCCAUUCAGAAAUGGGGAAGCAAGCAUUUAAAUAUCCUUCUCCUUCCCUUCCAGGUCUUGCUAUUGCCAGUGCCCUGAUAGAUAUUUCACAGCAGAAGCCUUCAGAUAAUAAAGACAAGACUUCAGGGGUCCGAAAUCGAAAACACCUCUCCACACGUCAAGGAACUUGUGUCUGAGAAUGGAAACCACUCCUGUAUAUUCUACGCUGAUUCCCUUCACAACUGGCUUCCGUUAAAGCUGUUCUUUGGCCUCAGGUUUUAUGGAGGCCAAUCUUUGUAGGAUCCAGGGCCCAAGUGCAGUUCCCUCUAAGUGGGCAAUGUCUCAAGUGGCCAAAGAAUGUUCACAAGUUUUAUAAAAGUAACAGUAUUGGUGGUCACAGGUGAUAGGGUCAGUUUUUAUGACUGUUAGGAUUAUCAUAGCUGAUGUUAAAUUACUCUGAAAAAAGAUGUAUAUUGUUUCUUAAUGCAGAUGAAAAAUAUGUAAUUCAUAUAAAUCAACUGUUUAUAUCCCAAGACUUUAAAGAAAGACAUUUUAUAAUGCCUGAAUGAUGAGAAUUGUACAGUUUUUGCCUCAGAAGCAAACUUAGGUCACUUGUAUAUGAACAGGAAAUGAACAAAUCACAAUGACUUUAAAUGCUGUUUUAUCUUGUAAAUGUGAAAGCAAGUUUUUGAUUUAGUAGCAUGUAGGUAAGAUAUUUAAAUAUUUCACACGAGACCAUAUCAUGUUCAAACUCAAUUUGAGAACAUAACAAUUUUCCACCUACCUGGAAUGCAGACCAGAAUGAACCGUCUGGAUGGGUAUGUGCAACUUCACAGGAGGUUUAUUAGAAUUCUGAGUGUAGAGGACAUUCCUGUCGUCCAUGCCAACUGCCUAAGUCAUUAUCAGAGCUGAUAGAGCAUGGAAAAGCCUGUCCAGCAAUCAAUUUUUCCCCUCCUUCCAAAAACAGCCUCUGAUACCACAAUCUGAGGAGAUUGAAAUUUAGUGUGCAAGCUUCUGCUCCAGUAUGGUAAUUUUCUAAUUGCUUAGAAAUCAUUGGAUCAGACCUAAAUGAUCUAUCUGCAUUUUUAUAAGAACGUGUCAGUUUCUUUGGACCUUCCUCUUCUAGCUGCUAGAGUUUAUUUAUCAUUUACAAAUAUUAUGAAAUGCAUUUUGAGAUGACACCCCCAAAUCCUUUCUGUCAGCCAUUUCACAUAGCAUAUACAAAGAGAAGAGCAUUGCUGGGCAGGCCUCAGCAGACCCCUGUUUCUAACAUGAACACACCGGUGUCAUGGGAGUGAGUCUCCAGUUCAAAAUUAAGUCCACUGUUGGCCACGCGCAGCACAUUCUUAAUGAUUCAAGAUUCUGAAUUAUGGCAGAAAGAAAAAUUAAAAUAAAACAGAUUUCAUUUUGGAACAUAGAAUCAUUUGUGUCCUAAUACUGACAACAGUUCAUUAAGCUCUGUAGCAUUAACAGAUCCAAUUUGGAUUUGCAGUUUUUGACUUUGGGGUGACUACAGAAUAUAUAAGAAAAAUGACAGAAAUAUCCAAAGCUGCUGUAUGCAAUAUAGUUUUGUUUAACAGGAAAGUCACUCAAAUUUAAUUGAUGUUUAGUACUGUAUAUGUACUCUUCAUGUUCUUUGGAUUUCUGGAAGGUAAUGACACUUUACAGUUAAUGCCUAGUUAAUUGCAUGCCAUGGAUGUACAGUAGCGGAAUACCACCCUAUUGUGAAAUUAAAUGUCUAUUUCAGAUGCCAUUUAUACAUAGCUUAAUUUGAUGAGGAUUGAAUGUAAUAUAUAACAGGAAUGAUCAUAUAAUAUGUAGUUGCAUCUUAUAAAAGAUUGCUAGGUUGCAUCUAACCAUGACUGUCAUUAUUUUGAUAAUUAGGCACUUAUGAAUUAUAGUAUCUAUUCCUUAUGUUGGCAUGAUAAUUUUGCUAUUUUCCAUGCAUUAAAAGUAAUGCAAAUUCUUAGACUAAUUUUAGUAAUUUUAUCUAUAGCCUGUGGGGGUUUUAGGGGCAAGGGGCGGGCUGGUUGAUUUCACUUCCCUAUGAUAUUUUCU
rnacentral:lncRNA from 1 species